rnacentral:lncRNA from 1 species
GCUUUGCUGUCCGGGACAUGAGGCAAACGGUGGCUGUUGGAGUCAUCAAGAGCGUGGAGAAGAAGGACCCAACUGGAGCCAAGGUGACCAAGGCUGCCGCUAAGAAGAAAUGAGGUGUCUGCUAGCUGGUUCUGUGUUUUCUCGAGGGAUACCUAGUUGAAACUUAAUAUAUCGUCAUUGCUGUUAUCGCGUGAGCAACUAAACUGUGCUGGCAAUGUUUGUCUGGUCGAUUGAGUAUUGUUAUUUUCGUUAAAACCAGGGUACUAUUAAGACUCAAUUUCUGUUAUUUUUGUAUCGAACAUCGGGUGUUGGCCAUAUGUGGUUAUGAGUUUUGUUACUACCCUUGUUGAAGUGUUUGCCUGUUUACUUAUUUUGCUCGUCCUUGCCAGUCUGCUGGGUUCAAAUUUCUCCUGCUCUUCGUUGGCGCAUAUCGAGUAUUUUGAAAUACUUGCGUUCAAUUAAGUACUCAAUAUAUCUCAAAUUGUAAGUUGUUUGACUUUUUAAAUAUUAAGUUUGACCACUCGUCUUAUUCAAAGUUUUGUAUAAAAUAUCAUUUUUUUUUGUAUUGGUUUAUUAAUAAAAGUUCUUCAAGAAUAAUUUAAAUUUGACUAUAUUUGUAUAAAUUUUUUGAAUAAGACGAGUGGUUAAAUUUGGUUUAAAAAAAGUUAAACGAUUUAUAAUUUACAAUUUAGGAUGGAGGUAGUAUUUUGAAAUAUUCUUCCGAAACGUCUUCGAUGGCUUCAAAACCUAUACUGCUUUCCUUAGUUUUAACUUUUGCAUUCCAUUAUAGCUUCCCUUUAGUUUCACCAUCUUUAGCCUUGAUUAGCUGGGUGUGUGAAAAAAAAUUUGGUACCGUAGCAUUUAUGUUUAUAUUUGACAUUUAUUAUCAACCAUGACUAAUCUCAUGAUUUAUAGGUAAGAUUUACGUAUUUAGUGCUCUACGUAUAUGUUAUAUGCUGAGAUUCGAUGUGACGGUAAAUAUUGAAUAGUUUUUGGAUUUUGGAGAAAACUAAACAAGGUCUUUGUCGCUUGCACUUCUAAAAAAACAAUUGUCAGUAACUAUAUAUUAAAAAAUAUUAAUAGUUAUAAUAAUUAAUUAGUAUCAUUAGAAAGAUUUUUGAAUUUAGUGUAACAAAUUUAUUUGGAAAUAUAAAUGUGCACGUAUUUUUUAUAAAUCAAGUUAAAUUUGUGGCACGUACACCAAUGUCAACAAUUUAAAAAGGAUAGAGAAAGUAGAUGAUAGAGGGAGUAGAUGUUAUGAGAAAACAGACAAAUAGAAAAACAAGAAAUGACGAUAGAAUCAAAUAAAUUAUAGAGAAUAAUAAUAAAGCUUUAGUACUGAUAAAUAAAUCAUAGUAAUAAUAAUAGUUUUUGUUUCCUCUAUAAAAAUACUCCAUUCCUAAGUCGGUUGUUCCAAACAAGCACGAUCCUUUGCUGAACGGCCUGCAGCCUGCUCCUACACUCGUCUGCCGCCAGCAUGAUGCUGUGCGCGUCGCGGGCGUCCUCGUUUACCACGUCCGGCGCGGCGCUCGCGCCUCCUUGGCUCCUUGCUGUGCUUCACCGCCACUCGCCAUGCUCCCCGCGCUUUGCCGAUGCCACCAGUGGCGGAGGGAAGGGGGGCCUGAGGGGGGCCUGGCACCCCCAAACUUCCCAUAACUCCCUUAAUACAUCUUAUAGAUUAGAUGUUUAAUUAUCUAAUUACUUAGUUAAUGAUAUUAUCUGUACUAAGAUUUUUAUUCUUAUUUUAUAUUAAUCUCUAAUAGUUUCUUAUACAAAUAGAUAUUUCUAAUAUUUUCUUCAUAUCUUUUAUUUUUAUUAUUGUCUAUCAAACAUCAGUUUGUCCCCUACCACACACUCUAAUUAGCUAGUUAAUUGAAAAUCAGCGUUUUUCUUGUUUAAUCCUUCUGAAUUGAUCUCCAACAAUGGAAUCUAUAUUAUUUAGCAUUAGUCUUCCUAUUAUCUUUCUUAUCUCCUAUGUUUCUAUCAUUAUUCGUCUAAACUCUAAACAAUCAUUUAGCCCGUUGUACUCAACUUUUAAAUACUAACAGUGGUAUGGUGUUUCUGUUUAACCUUCUAUUUAAAUGACCAUUUUUACCUGUUUAAGUGAUCAUUUUGUCUAAGACUAAACGAUAUGUAACUAAUUGUUUGUCAUUUGAUGUUAGGAUCUAGUACUAAUUAAUUUUGCCCCCGUUUAACUACUUGUUUUUAUUGUGAUUUUUUUUCUGGGCAAAGAAAUAGAAUGAUCAAGUGAAGGUUAGAGGCUUGAGACUCGUUAAAUUUUUCUUUUAUUUUUUUUAUUUUUUCUGCUUUUUUGCAUCGCAACACAAAUGUUUAUUUUGGUGCUAUGUAUACAUUUGUCAUAUAAUAUUUUGAUACACAUGAUUAUUUUUGGUUUGCACGGCCCCCUAUAUUUAAAUCCUAGCUCCGCCCCUGGAUGCCACGCGCUACGGACUACGGUGUACGCAUGAUGUGGAUGGCGUGCCGCCUGCGUGAUGGCGCACGUCGUGACCUGCUCACUAGCGUCCGUGUCUUUUCGCAAAACGUGAGAAAAAAAAGUAACGCUUGACUCGCAUUAGCGCCCAAACUAUCCAGACGCGAACGCCCGGUAUGGGGUGAGAACCAAGGUGCAGCGCCUGGUAGACUGACUGGACGGAGAAGCCCCGUUUUUAAAUUUUAUAAAUAAUCUAUAUCUAUUACUUUAUAUAUGUGUCUAAAUAUUUUAUGUGAUAAGUGUUAAAAAAACAAUUCGAACCCUAAGUUCUUCGGUGGGAGAGAAAGUGAAUUUAAAUCUUCACGUACGGUGGACCAAUGGGAGGAAGGAAAGUAGAGGAUCGUCUUGCAUGCUAGGAAAAAUCAGGCUUUUUUUUUUCACAAAAAUUUUCAAGAUUCUCUAUUAAAUCGAAUCUUGCGGCAUAUGCAUCAUACAUUAAUAUACAUGAAAAAAAUUAAUUAUACAGUUUAUCUGUAAAUCGUGAAACGAAUCUUUUAAGCCUAGUUACUUCAUUAUUGGAUAAUAAUUGUCAAAUAAAAACGAAAAUGUUACUAUGUCAAAAUCCAUUUUUUUUUUUGCAAACUGAACAAGGCCUCAAUAAAGAAUUUACUCAGCGUGGGAAGAAUUAACCAUUUUUUAGUGGCGGUGCCAAAAAUUAUACAGAGGAGUAUAGGCUGAGCGUAGCUCAUCUGUUAAGUUUUUUCAAGGUGCAUUGGUUGCACUUACACCUUUGACUAUACUAGUUAAGUAUACGUUUAAUAAAAUAUAAUGAAAUGUACGUACACAUUUAGUAGAACCUAAGUGUUUUUAUGUGAUUUUAUUGUCUAGUGACAUAAAAAAUGUACUCCCACCAUACUAGAAAUAAAGUUAUUUUGGACAGUGGCACAGUCUCUAAAGCAUAACUUUGACUUUUUGUUCUUAUAAAUUUUUUUAUCAAAAAAUAAUAUAUGUAUAUUUUUACGAAAGUAUUUUUGAAGACAAAUCUAUUCAUAUGGUUUUCACAUUUCCAAACUCAACAACUUAAAAGUUAUUCAUGAUUUAUAUUCCCAAUGUUUAACCAAACCUUGUCCAAAAUAACUUUAUUUUUAGUAUGGAGGGAGUAUAUAACAAGAAUUUUUUAUUAUAUCUUGCAAAUAUAAACAUAUCAUAUACGCUUAUAAAGCAAAACCCUACUAGCAAUUUUUUUGACAUCUAAGGUACUACAAGAAAUGUGUUAUCUUAUGACGAUUAUGGCAUGACAUGUGAUUAAAAUGUCACUAAAUCAAUCAGUUUAUGACGUUCUUUUGAAAGCCAUCUCAACUUAGUGACAUAUAUGAUUUCAUGUCACAAAAAAUAUCUUCAAUGUAGUUAAACUCCAUAUCGUGACAAUGUUUGCCAUGUUAGGGUUGUUUAAUUCCCAAAAAAUUUGCAAAAUUUUUCAAGAUUCUUCGUCACAACAAAUCUUGCGGCACAUGCAUGGAGCAUUAAAUAUAGAUAAAAAAUAACUAAUUGCAUAGUUUAUCUGUAAUUUGCAAGACAAAUCUUUUGAGCCUAGCUAGUUAAUCCAUGAUUGGACUAUAAUUUUCAAAUACAAAUGAAAGUAUUGUAGUAGCUAUUUUGCAAAAUUUUCGGUAACUAAACAGGACCUUAAUUAACCCCUACAGUCUUGGGUUAUUUUCCGUUUCUCCCAUAUAAGACCUUGUUUAGUUCAAAAAGUGAAAAGUUUUCGGUACUGUAGCACUUUCGUUUGUUUAUGACAAAUAUUAUCCAAUCAUGAACUGACUAAGAUCAAAAGAUUUGUCUCGUGAUUUCCAGCUAAACUGUGUAAUUAGUUUUUGUUUUCGUCUAUAUUUAAUAUUUCAUGCGUGUGCCAUAAGAUUCGAUGUGACGGAGAAUCUUAAAAACUUUUUGGUUUUCAGGGUGAACUAAACAAGGCCUAAGAAGCUAAACAAGUCAGCAAAAUUGUUUUUGACAAUCUAAUUUUCAUCUUCUGACUCCGUGCAUCAUCAUGCCAAAGGCUGGUAGCCAAAAAUAUCUGGGCUUUUAUCCCAUGCCUCCCUCCCAGUAAAGAACAUCGAUCCCUCCUCUUCUCAUCGACAUCCUAUCCACCGCCUCCCCUCCCCGCCUGACCUUGACACGGACGGAGCCCCUGCGGCUGGCACGUCGGCAGCCCCCUCCGCCUCUGCUUCCGCUUCCAUCUCCGCCUCCUUCCUCCCUCUCUCUGCCUCUCCCCACGCGACGGCGCAACCAACUGGAUAGGACGAGGCACCAACCGGCGAACGGCUUCGGUGAGACGGUGGCGGUGCGCGGGCGCUGGCGAGCCCCGUAGGUGGCCGCCGCUGUGGAUGCCACCCAACGCGGCUUCCUCCUUAUAGUCCAUGUGUGCUCAUGGGCUCGACGAAACAACAAAACCCUAGGUGCCUGUGUUCGGCGGCGGCCAGAUCUGGAGGUAUCUCAUCCUCUUAUUCUCUUUCUACUCCAUCCCAUUGCUCGUCACCCAAAUCCUCUCCUCCUCAAUCCUCCCCUUUGUGCAAUGCAGAGCACCUGAGUGUGAGGCACUGACCAACAGGGAGGCAGUAGUAAAUGAGCAAGCUACAAUAGCAAGCACGAAGUACUUGAAAUUUUAAAUGUAGUUCUCCAUUCUCUGGAAUCACUAAUUAGCCUUUGUUUACUUGCAUAUUGCAGAUUUUACAAUUUGAUUAAUUAUUCAAGCCCCUGUUAACAUUGCUUUGUUUUUUUAGAGGACCUAAGAUAUUUUAGGUCUGCCCUAAUUUUUACUGGGUCCUAAGUAAAUUAGAAAUUUAUGUACACUGAAAAAUAUAGCUACUUUAAUGGUAGAAUGAAUAUUAAUAAGAAAACUAGGCAGGAUAUAGUCAGAUCGGAUCAUAAAUGUCCUAUUUUUGUGACUGGGUGUUAAAACAAGAGACAUGGUUAGUUCUGUCCACUAGAUAGAUAUUCUGAGCGGAGAUUUGUCUUUUCAAAGCAUCACUAUUGAUUUGAGAUUUAUUUUGAAGCAAAUGACUGAUUUAAGAUUGUUGUACUGUUAUUACUUGCUAACCUGAAUUUCUAUGCUCAACUCACGAUAUUUGUUAGGUGGGCAAUAUGUCAAGUUUUGAAAUACUUGAUAGAAAUAUCAGAACCUAAAAAACCUAUGUCUUCAGUUUGACAACAUCACUAUUCUCGGCUCAAUUGGCUACACUAGUUUCAUCUGUGAUCAAUUGGCUACACUAGUUUUAGUUGGCAGAUGCAGCAACCUGAAACCGAGAUAUACGUUAAAUAGGUGUUUGCUAUUGUCACAUUUUUUUGCCGCUGUCUUACCAUGUUAUCUGAUUUGUAAACAUGAAACUGCUAUUGGCAGAUGCAGCAACUUUUUGUUGAUCUAGUUGCUGAUUUGGUGCUUCGUGUUAACCAGCAAGGAGUCGGGCAGAUAGAAUCUUCUUUUCUUCUGUUGCUUGUCUUGGUUUUCUAACACCUUUGACAGGUAGACAGGUAUAGUACCUCUUGAUCCAAGUAUUUACUACUUGUAUUAGUUUUUUAUUGUUUUAUGUUUCGUUUUCAAUUGUCCAGUUCAGUUUUAGACUUAGAAAGUAGACAUGUAGUGUAGCUCUUGAUCCAAUUAUUUCCUGCUUGUCUUUUAAAUGACUAAUAGCUAGUUAAUUCAUCUUCCCUUACAACAGUUUAAGAAUCCUACUUGCUUCUUGUCGAUCGUAAGUGUCAUCUACCACUUCUCCCUUCCGAAGGCGUCGGCUGCUAGAUCCUAUAGCCAAGCGAGAUUCAAGGAUGAACCAUCGUAUCCAUGGUGGGCAUAUAGAACCAUGACCUGUCAGCUGCUCCUGCUGUUUGGAGGUGCAUGAGUCAUUCGUGCGUUGCUCCAUUGUGGGCUCUUCUUCUAGGAUUGGACCAUGGAGAAGAUAUGUUGAAAGACACAUAUAUAGGUAUAAGAUUUAUCUUAUGACUAUUCAUGCAUUUAUUAGAUUACAGACAGGAUAGAAGCCGUUAUAUUACAAACAUGAUAGGAGCCGUUAUUAGAUUACAAACAAGAUUUAUCUUAUGACUAUUCAUGCUUCUAUUAUGUAGUCCUAAGCUGAUCUAUCUAAUUAAACUAGAACCAUUAUAUCUUGUUCCAUAUUCAAUAUUAUUUUAACAGCUUAUUGCUUCCUUAUUUUAGGCAUAUAGUGCACAUAGUUAAUUACAAGUGACUGUAACACAGGUAUCUAUUGGCUAAGUCAAUAUUUCUAACGUGGGUGCACAUGGAGAUUUGAGGCUUAAUGGAGAAUUGGUCCACUCAAAGUUGAUAGGUUGGAUUUCAGUGAUCUUGUUUCUUCCAUGUCCACGUAACGUUGAAUCAGGAUGGUGAUUUUUGAAACAUCUGCGUAUAUAUAAAUGUGAAAUGAAGGUUACUUUGUAAACUUAAAGUUUCCUUUGUUGACAUGUUGUAUAGUAUAAAGAAUUAUCCACCAUACUUGAGAAUAUACAUGCUCAUGACUUUGCUAGAGAUUAUAAGUAUUAUCAUAUUUUCUUUGUAUGCUAGCUUUAUUGAAUUGAUAAACAAAGAACUAUAAUAAAUUUGCAACAGUAGUGUUUUAGGUGGCAGCUUACUUACACAUGACUAGUUGUGAACUUAAUUGAUAUAGUCUAGAGUGUUGUUCAAACAAUGCAUGAUGUUGGUGUUGUGAGAUCAUAUAUGCAUAUAUUAUUGUAAUUGUUGUUUGAUUUCUUCUGACUUAUAAAUGUAAAGUUCCCUUUGACUUCUCCAAUUGUUUCAACAAGUGAUAUUUGUUUCUGAUCGAUCUGUUUUCUACAGAGCAUGGAGAAAUUCAGAAACCUAAGGUACUCACUCAUGCUCCUGACACCAAGAAUACCUAGCUGUCAGCACCUGUUGAACUAUUAGUUUGGUGAUUUGUUUCAACAAGUGAUAUUUGUUUCUGAUCGAUCUGUUUUGUUUUCUACAGAGCAUGGAGAAAUUCAGAAACCUAAGGUACUCACUCAUGCUCAUGACUCCAAGAAUACCUAGCUGUCAGCACUGAGGUAACUUUGUGACUAAGGUCACUCGUUGAACUAUAGUUUGGUGUUUGUGAUGAAUGUAGUAAAUAAGUUGUUGAAUGACUUGUGAACCUGUUGAUUUGGUUAUGAAUGGAAUAUAUUGUUGGACCUACCUAUGUUAAUGUGGAUUAUAUGAUGUGAGUGGGGUACGUGAUGGUAUGGAUCAAGCCAAAUCAAGAAUUAUCCUACGUGACAAGGCCUACCAAUCUAUGACAUAAAAGUAGAAGUCAUAAACGCUUGUGACAUCUACAACUAAUGUCAUAAUAUUAUGACAUGAACACUUAAACGUCACAAGUUGUCAUUAAAGACACACAUCUUUUGACAUUUCAGUUUUCGUCAACUUAGUGUCAUAAAUGGUGAUCUGUGACUUAUUUUACAUGAAUUAUGACAUAUAACAAAUGUCAAAAGAUGACACAUUAUAAUAUCCACGUCGGUAGGACACAUCAUCCACUAACAUACAUUUAGUUAUCCGCAUCAGCAUGUCAUGUUAUCCACUAACAUUAGUUUAUAAUAGUUAGUCUCUUACUUAAAAAAAUAUAUGAAUAGUUAAAUUGCAGUCCAAAUCAUUAGUUUCGCAGCAACGCGUCGGAUGUUCUUCUAGUAUUAUUAAAUCUCUAAUUCAGAUUCAGGAUCAAGAUCCUCUUCUAUUUCGAGCGGAGUAAUAAUUAAACAAAUAGAGAAAAUCCUAGGGAAAGGAUAAUGGUCUCAAUUCUCAUAUGUCUUAAACUUAUUCCUUCCUCCAUCACGAGAUGUUAGUCUUUUGAUUAAAAAUAUAAAAUAGAUCUUAAAAUUACAAAAUAGAUUUCAACCAUUAUCUUUUAAAAUAUGUUGUUGUUUGUAAAAAAAAUUAAUAUUAAAUUUAGAAAUAUUUUUAAUAUAAAUUUAUGAUACAAGUUUUAUCUCUAUAUAAAUUUGUAUGUAACUGGGAUAAUUAUUAGUUAGAAAUUAUUUAUAAUAUUUGAUUUUUAUCAAAAUAAGAUAUGUUAAUUAUUUCGAGACGAAGGAAUACGGUGACUAGGGCCGGUAAUUUUCAGUGGACAAACAUAGCGGUAAUUUUCAGUGGACAAGCACAUGAGCCUCGAGCCAUCGAUCCCAGCUCCAACGCUGCACUAGGAAGCACCGGCCAGAAAAGUGAACCGCCCUGCUUAACGCUCACAGUGUUGUUUGUGCCUGACCUAUCCUGCCACUCAUGACGACCUUGGGCCUAGCCCAUCCUACCAUCCAUGAUGAUACCGGUGAUAAGAAAAGUUCACAUUACUUCUCUCAACUUUCAUAAAAGUAUAUUUUUUUUCUUAAAACUUCAAAAUCAGGCAAAAUAUCUUCCUUAAAUUUUAAAACUGUUGAUCUUACCUCCCUGUCCUUGUUAUAAGCAGUUUCGAAGGCAGUUUGGUCUUUUUUUUUUCUUUUUUGCUAAAUCUUUAAAAAAUCAUAGUAAAACAUAGGAAAAUCAUGAAACAGAAAAAUCCAAUGUUAUUGAACUUAACAUGAGCAGAUAUACAUAGUAAACAUAUAUGAUAGGCUUUAGAAUAAAGUUUUUGCUCUAGUUUUAGAUCUAUGCUUUUUUAUAAUUGAAUGAAAUAAUUCAUAGUUGCAACUUCUAUGGUCCAAUGGCGAUGAAAAUUUUAUGGUGAACUAAUUAUUUUAUGCUUAAAUUGUAGUAAAGAAUUUAUAUUCAUUGGAUCAUGUAUAACUUAGUUAUAGAUUUUAUUUAGGUUAUUGCUUGUUAGAUAUAAAUAAAUCUAUAACUAAGUUAUACAUAAUUCAAUGAGUAAAAUUUUGUACUACUGUCCAAUCAUACAAUAAUUAACCCACCAUAAAAGUUUCAUCAUAAUUGGACUAUAGAAACUGCAGUUGUGAAUUAUUCCAAUUAAUUAUUAAAAACACAGAUCUAAAGACACAAAAACUUUGUAGUAAAACAUACCAUAUUAUAUAUUCACUGUGUAGAUACUCAUAUAGAGUCUAACAAAAUUGGAUUUUCUAUUUUAUGAUUUACCAUGAUUUUCAAAUAUUAAGAUGAAAUAAAUAAAAAGGGAAAGAUACAAAACUAUUUUUAAAACUACUUGCAACAGGACCAGAGAGGUAAGAUAAACGGUUUUAAAGUCGAGGAAGGUAUUUUGUCUGGUUUUAAAGUUCUAAGAGGAAAAACAGAUUUUCACGAAAGUUGAAGGAGGUAAUGUGGAUUUUUUUGCUAUUUUGACCCAACCGCACAUAGCUGUGCUUUUCAUGGUGUUGACAAGUGUAUCGGGCUGAUACUGCACAUGCAUAUAUCCUGUUAUUUGGACUCAUCAUUGGAUCAUUCAGUUAUACGUUAUGUCCAUCUUUUAAUCAGUCAAGACCCCAACUAGGUGAAAAUUUAAGACGUAGCUACUAGCAAUUUUCAAGGAUAAUCACAUCGUAAAAGAACAUAUAUAGUUGUCUAACAAUAAAUAGGUAAUUUGUUCAUCCAAGGCAGUUACUGUAGGUUAAACUUCAUACUCAGCCACUAUUUGGAAAGUAUUCUCAUCUUAUGCAUCCUUAUUGUUCUUGUGAGAUGUUGUAGACCCGACAUAUUCAUUUAGCGCUACUGCUGAUAUUUUCCUUUGAUAAAUUAAUACAAUAUGAACAAUAGUUAUUAACAGCAGGAACAAUGUUGCAGCGCUUAUAAACCUUGCCUACGAAAAGCGUCCACGACAAGAAGUACUAAAAUAUUUCUGUAUUGAUAAGGUGAAGACAUAUCUAACUAUCUGUUAUGAUUUGCCAAUCAAAUUAAGUCUAGUACUAUAGUAGAGUAGUUGCUCCUUCCCUCCAAGCUAGAAAAGCUAUUUUGGAAGUAAUUUGGUAAAGCAGAAAAUGCAAAAAUCAUAACAGGAAUCACAACCUUAGGGGAAUGAAAGAGGUACUAAAACACCAUCCAAUGAUAUCUCUAUUGUAGUAGUGCCAAAUCUUGCAUUUGCACAAAUAGGAAUGAUAAUUUAAUUACCAUAGUACAAGGAAUCAAAUAAUGUUGCAUUCCAUAUAUCUGAACCUUGAAACCCAUUUCUUCAUUUUCUUCGGGUUAUGUGUGGGCUAAUACAAAGUUGAAGUUUUCUAAAAGCAACCGUUCAACAUGGGAGUAGCUAGUUUCAAAAUAGUUGAAUCAGAUUUCAUGAGGAGGUGACCUCCUACGUUUUCAAGGAUCUGCCUACCUGAAACCAAACCCAAAAGCAUACCUGACAACUGUUGGUUCAAUAUAAGAAAUAGAAGAUUUUAGUCACAUUUAGACACACUUAAAUUAUUUUUUAUCUAUCAACAUUGAAUAAUUUCUAUGUAAAGGAAGAGUUGAUGGUCUUAAAGGUGGCUUGAUGGACUCUGACACCAUUUACAGACCACUAAGUUUUGAUACAAAAUGAAAGUCGCACACAUCAAGUAUAAAUUCAAACUUCUUAAAUCUCGGAUCUCCCGUGUCUCCAAAAUCUCUAUGCAAUUGAAUUUUCUCACGGUGCCUCGUCCCUUGAUGUUUUUCUCCAUCUUCCUCUAUGCUCUAUCGCAUAGUCCUACUCGCUCGCGGUACCCGUGCUAGUAUACUAUAAAUUUAAAUUUUUCUGAGCGACUAAAAUACUUUUUUGAAUUUAAUUUUCAUGUUUCGUUUGAGUACGUACGUGGUUGGCCACGAGGCAGGGGUCGGGGCUUGUGGCGUGGUUGGCCACACGGAGUUUUAUUUUUCCUUUUUUUUAUUUUAAGAAAAUGUAUAGCUCACGUAGUACUACGGUAGUAGUAUGUGUAGGUCGGACGCACUUUUUAAUUCAUUUGUGGCCCAUGAAGUGAUUUUUGGGCCCAAUAGCCCAUUCAUCCGUGUCCUAACCCUAGUCUGCCAUAUAAAAACCUAACUCCAUCCGGUUCUCAAACCCUAAGACGCAGUCGGCCGCCGCACACCAGGAGAAGCCGACGCGCCGCCACCGUAUCCGCGGAUCAGCGGCGAGCCGUCACCACGCCACACUGCUUGCCGCCCGACGAGGUAUUCUCCCGCACGCGCGCGCUUCUCUUCCUUCUCUUUUCGUUGUGCUUUGAGCUUGUUCGUUUGAUGCGCUUCGAGCUUGUUCGUUUGAUGCCCAGAUCUACUAGGUUUGUCGUCUAUGUGUGAUGAGCUGAGCCGAUUCAUGCACUGGAUUUCUUAUCAAGUGUUGUUUCCGUCUCCGCUACCUUUAUUUAGUGUCUAUGUAUGAACUUGGGUGCAGUUUGCAAUUGAUUUGUCGAGCCAUAAAUUAUAAACGUUUCGUUGUUCUAGACUGAUCCAGAUUCCGAUCUAUGAUAUUACAUGGCUGAGGCACUUCUACGCUGUUUUAUGUGUCUGAACUGAGCCGAUUCAUGUGCUGAGUAAUAAUCAAAGUUUUGAUUCCGCCUCCUCGUCUACCUUUAGUAUGUACUCCGUAUAUAAACUUGAUUGCAGUUUGCAACUGAUUCUCGGCCAUAGAUUAUCACUGUUGCGUUGUUCAUUAGAUCCAGUUUCUGUGGUAUUAUGUGGGUGAGGUAGUUCCUCUUUGGAUUUUUCCUAUCCUUGAGAUUGUUUGAUUACUGGUUUAUUCCCAUGUUUGUUUAUUUCUAACUAUUUUUAGAUGAUGAUUUCUAAAUUCUAACUGUUUUUAUCUGCUAUUUUUUAUGUAAGCAGCAGCGUAACAGUUUCCUGCAGCCAUGGGUAAGGAGAAGACUCACAUAAACAUUGUGGUCAUUGGCCAUGUCGACUCUGGCAAGUCGACCACCACUGGCCACCUGAUCUACAAGCUUGGUGGUAUUGACAAGCGUGUGAUCGAGAGGUUCGAGAAAGAGGCUGCGGAGAUGAACAAGAGGUCGUUCAAGUAUGCGUGGGUGCUUGACAAGCUCAAGGCUGAGCGUGAGAGAGGUAUCACAAUUGAUAUUGCCCUGUGGAAGUUCGAGACCACCAAGUACUACUGCACGGUCAUUGAUGCCCCUGGCCACCGUGACUUCAUCAAGAAUAUGAUCACUGGCACUUCUCAGGCUGACUGUGCUGUUCUUAUCAUUGACUCCACCACUGGUGGUUUUGAGGCUGGUAUCUCCAAGGAUGGCCAGACCCGUGAGCAUGCUCUCCUUGCUUUCACACUUGGAGUGAAGCAGAUGAUUUGCUGCUGCAAUAAGGUAUGAUUCCAGGAAUUCCUAUCUAGUCUGGUUCAUGAUCUGAGAUGCCUGUAAAUAUGCGCUUCAAUAGUCUAGGCUGCACUCAAUUAUACUGCCUUCAAGUUGAAUACUGAUUGAAUAACUAAUGUUGGUUGUACUAUAAAUUUGGCAAAAUGAUACUCUGUUUACUUUGAAUAAUCCAUCUGCUUCCUACAUAUAUAUGAUAGCAUUUUUUCUGCAUAACUUUGCAUAAUCCAAUAUAAUAUUUUCAGGAAGUUUUUCCCGAUAGGUGAUGUGACUUUGUAACUCCACCUGAUUUUUGAAAUUCUCUCAAGUUGUUGGAAUGCUUGCAAUGCAUAUGUAAUUAAAGGAUAUGGGUUUGCUUAAAUGUCUUUAUAUGAUUGCAGUAGUUAGUUUACUACUUUACCUUGUAAAUUAGUAAUGGAACACUGAUUGUUUUCAUUGAAUACGCCAUCUACUUUAUACAUGUUUAUGUAUGAUAGCAAUUUAUUUGCAUUACUUUGCAUAGUAUAAUUUGAUUAUCCAGGAUAAUUGUCCCCAUAGGUGAUGUAAAUUUUUAAUCCCACCUUAUUUUAGAAAUUUUCUUAAGUUGUUGGAAUGUUUGCAAUGCACAUGUAACUAAAAGUUAUGUGUUUCUUAAAUGUCUUUAUAUGAUUGCAGUAGUUAGUUUACUUUGUCAAUUAGUAGGAUUUGUUGGCAUGCAUCUGUUAAGGUCAGUAUUUUUGGGCCUUGUUUAGUUCCCAAAAAAUUUUGCAAAAUUUUUCAGAUUCCCCGUCACAUCAUAUCUUUAGACGUAUGCAUGGAGUAUUAAAUAUAGACGAAAAUAAAAACUAAUUGCACAGUUUAGUCGGAAUUGACGAGACGAAUCUUUUAAGCCUAGUUAGUUCAUGAUUGGACAAUAUUUACCACAAACAAACGAAAGUGCUACAGUGUCGAUUUCCCAAAAAUUUUUGGAACUAAACAAGGCCCAUGUAUAUGCCUGGCGGUUAUUUGUGUUUUCCCCCCAACAAAUCUCAUUCCUUGUGCAAGUGCAGUUGACCAGUUAGUUCUGAUUAUUAUGUUCUUUCAGUUUUACUGUUUGCUUGCUGUUUAGGUAACUUAUCUGAAUCAACUAAUGAUAUUGUUUGGGUUUUGCUGCUUUACAGAUGGAUGCCACCACACCCAAGUACUCGAAGGCCCGUUAUGAUGAAAUUGUGAAGGAAGUCUCUUCCUACCUGAAGAAGGUUGGAUACAACCCAGACAAGAUCCACUUUGUUCCCAUCUCUGGUUUUGAAGGUGACAACAUGAUUGAGAGGUCCACCAACCUUGACUGGUACAAGGGCCCAACCCUGCUUGAGGCUCUGGACUUAAUCAAUGAGCCAAAGAGGCCUUCAGACAAGCCCCUGCGUCUCCCCCUUCAGGAUGUGUACAAGAUUGGUGGUAUUGGAACUGUUCCUGUGGGACGUGUUGAGACUGGUAUCAUCAAGCCGGGUAUGGUUGUCACCUUCGGUCCUAGUGGCCUUACAACUGAGGUUAAGUCUGUUGAGAUGCACCACGAGGCUCUCCAGGAGGCCCUUCCUGGUGACAAUGUUGGCUUCAACGUUAAGAAUGUUGCUGUGAAGGAUCUGAAGCGUGGGUAUGUGGCCUCCAACUCCAAGGAUGACCCUGCCAAGGAGGCUGCUAGCUUCACCUCACAGGUCAUCAUCAUGAACCACCCUGGGCAGAUUGGCAAUGGCUAUGCCCCAGUGCUGGACUGCCACACCUCACACAUUGCUGUCAAGUUUGCUGAGCUUGUUACCAAGAUUGAUAGGCGAUCUGGCAAGGAGCUUGAGAAGGAGCCCAAAUUCCUCAAGAACGGUGAUGCUGGUAUGGUGAAGAUGGUUCCCACUAAGCCCAUGGUGGUGGAGACCUUCUCUGAGUAUCCUCCUCUUGGUCGCUUUGCUGUCCGGGACAUGAGGCAAACGGUGGCUGUUGGAGUCAUCAAGAGCGUGGAGAAGAAGGACCCAACUGGAGCCAAGGUGACCAAGGCUGCCGCCAAGAAGAAAUGAGGUGUCUGUCUGGCUGGUUCUGUGUUUUCUCGAUGGAUACCUAGUUGAAACUUAAAAUAUUUCGUCAUUGCUGUUAUCGACGUGAGCAACUAAACUGUGCUAGCAAUGUUUGUCUGGUCGAUUUAGUAUUGUUAUUUUCGUUAAAACCAGGGUACUAUUAAGACUCAAUUUCUGUUAUUUUUGUAUCGAACAUCGGGUGUUGGCCAUAUGUGGUUAUGAGUUUUGUUACUACCCUUGUUGCAGUGUUUGCCUGUUUACUUGUUUUGCUCGUCCUUGCCUGUAUGCUGCGUUCAAAUUUCUCUUGCUCUUCGUUCCUUUUGAUCUUUAAGUUGCCAAAAUUGCAUAUCGAGUAUUUUGAAAUACUGUCGUAAAAGAAAGUAUUUUGAAAUAUUCUUCCGAAACGUCUUUGAUGGCAUCAAAUCCUAUACUGCUUUCCUUUAGUUUAACAUCUACAAUCCAGUAUAGGUUCCCUUUAGUUUUACCAUCUUAGGCGUUGUUUAGUUGGCUGGAUGAAAAUUUUAGCUUCCCUUUAGGCUUUGUUUAGUUUGCAAAAUUUUUCGUUUUUUGCUACUGUAGCACUUUUAUUUUUAUUUAACAAACAUUAUCUAAACAAGGAGUGACUAGACUUAAAAGAUUCAUCUCACAAAUUACAUGUAAACUGUGUAAUUAAUUUUUAUUUUUAUCUAUAUUUAAUGUUUCAUACAUGCGACUAAAGAUUCGAUAUGAUGGAGAAUCUUGAAUUUUUUUCGAACUAAACAAGGUCUUAGUUUUACCAUCUUAGGCGUUGUUUAGCUGGGUGGGUGAAAUUUUUUUGGAUUCUGUAGUAUUUUCAUGUGUAUUUGACAAUUAUUUUUAAUUAUGGAUUAACUAGUUUAAAAGAUUUGUUUUACGAUAAAAUUGUAUAAUUAAUUUUUAUUUUUGUCUAUAUUUAGUGCUAUAUGUAGAUGUAACAAAAAAUCUUAAAAAGUUUUUAGAUUUUUUGGAGGAAACUAAACAAGGCCUUAAUAUGCCUUAAAACAUAGGAAUGGGGUAUAGAUGUCAUGAGAAAAUAGAGGAAUAAGAAAAACAAGAAAUAACGGUAGAAUCAAAUAAAUUAUAGUAAUAAUAAUAAAGCUUUAGUACUGAUAAGUAAAUUAUAGUAAUAAUAAUACAAGCUUGAAUCAGUUGUACUGAAUAAGUAAAUUAUAGUACUUUGCUAAGAUUAUAGAUUAUAGUUUUCCUUUAAAAUAAGAAGCCUGCAACAAUGUUCCAUUGGAAAGGAACAUGACAAUUCAUUGCUCCUGGCCUUGUUUAGUUCCGAAAAGAUUUCGGAUUUCGGUACUUAGUACUUUCGUUUGUUUAUGACAAAUAUUAUCAAAUUAUGGACUAACUAGGAUCAAAAGAUUCGUCUCGUGAUUUCCAGCUCAACUGUGUAAUUAGUUUUUGAUUUCGUCUAUAUUUAAUGCUUAAUGCAUGUGCCACAAGAUUCGAUGAACUAAACAAGCACAUCACCUCUGCUGAACGGCCUGCUCCUGCACUCGUCUGCCGCCAGCAUGAUGCUGUGCGCGUCGGGCGUCCUCGUCAUGCUCCCGCACUCCGCGCUUUGCCGAUGCCACGCGCUACGGUGUACGCAUGACGUGGGUGGCGUGCUGCCUGUGGGAUGGCGCACGUCGUGACCUGCUCGCUAGUGUGUCCGUGUCUUUUUGCAAAACGUGAGAAAAAAAAAGAGUAACGUUUGUGUCUACGGGAGUAUUUGGUUGAGGUAGCACAUUUAAAUUAUAGUAAUUAGUAUCUAAUUAUAAAUUAAUUAGAUUUAAAAAUCAUCUUAUAAAUUAUUCUUUAAUUGUGUUUUUAAUUUUAUAGAUAAUCUAUAUUUAGUAUUUCAUAUAUAUGUCUAAAUAUUUUAUAUGAUAGGUGUUAAAAAAAGGUCGGAACGCUAAGCUCUUCGGUGGGACUGUGGGAGAGAAAGUGAAUUUAAAUCUUCACGUACUGUGGACCAAUCGGAGGAAGGAAAGUAGAGAUAUCGUCUUGCAUGCGAGGGAAAAUCAAUAAAGAAUUUACUCAGCGUGGGAAGAAUUAACCAUUUUUUAGUGGCGGUGCCAAAAAUUGCACAGAGGAGUAUAUGGGCUAAGCGUAGCUCAUCUGUUUAGUUUUUUUCAAGGUGCAUUGGUUGCACUUACACCUUUGACUAUACUAGUUAAGUAUACGUUCAAUAAAAUAUAAUGAAAUGUAAGUACACAUUUAGUAGAACCUAAUUUUUUUAAUGUGAUUUUAUUGUCUAGUGACAUAAAAAAUGCACUCCCUCCGUACUAGAAAAUAAAGUCUUUUUGGAUAGGGACACGGUCUCUAAAGCAUAACUUUGACUCCUUGUUUUUAUAAAAAAUUUUAUCAGAAAGUGAUAUAUAUAUAUUUUAAUGAAAGUAUUUUUCAAGACAAAUCUAUUCAUAUAGUUUUCACAAAUGAAAGUAUUUUUCAAGACAAAUCUAUUCAUAUAGUUUUCACAUUUCUAAACUCAACAACUUAAAAUUUAUUCAUUAUUUAUAUUCCCAAUGUUUGACCCGAACUUUGUCUAAAAUAACUUUAUUUUUUAGUGUGGAGGGAGUAUAUAACAAGAAUUUUUUUAUUAUAUCUUCCAAAUAUAAACAUAUUCUAUACUUCGACAGUCCACUAUCAUUUGUAAUUAAAGUUCACUAACAAAAGCAAUUAUAAUAUCCACGUCACUGGGACACAUCAUCCACUAACAUACAUUUAGUUAUCCACAUCAGCAUGUCACGCUCUACUAACAUUAUUUUAUAAUAGUUAGUCUCUUACUAAAAAUGUAUGAAUAGUUAAAUUGCAUUCCAAAUCAUUAGUUUCGCAACAACGCGCGGGAUGUUCUUUUAGUGUUAUUAAAUCUCUAAUUCAGGGAUCAAGAUUCUCUUCUAUUUCGAGCGGAGUAAUAAUUGAACAAACAGGGGAAAUCCUAGGAAAGGAUAAUGGUCUCAAUUCUUAUAUGUCUUAAAAUUACUACUUCCUCCAUCACGAGACGUUAGUCUUUUGAUUAAAAAAUAUAAAAUAUAACUUAAAAUCACAAAAUAGAUUUCAACCAUUAUUUUUAAAUAUGUUAUUAUUUGUUAAAAAUAAUAUUAAAUUUAGAAACAUUUUGAAUAUAAAUUUAUUGAUACAAUUUUUAUCUCUAUAUAAAUUUGUAUGUAAUUGGGAUAAUUAUUAGUUAGAAAUUAUUUAUAAUAUUUGAUUUUAUCAAAAUAAGAUACGUUAAUUAUUUCGGGACGGAGGGAUACGGUGACUAGGGCCGGUAAUUUUCAGUGGACAAACAUAGCGGCAAUUUUCAUUGGACAAGCACAUAAGCCUCCAGCCAUCGAUCCCAACUCCAAGCCUCCAACGCUGCACCAAGAAGCACCGAACCGCCCUGCUUGAUGCUCAUUGUGCCAUUUGUGCCUGACCCAUCCUGCCACUCAUGACGACCUUGACGACCUUGGGCCUAACCCAUCCUGCCAUCCAGGACGAUACUGGUGAAAAGUCCACGUUACUUUUCUCAACUUUCACAAAAGUAUAUUUUUUCUUAUGAAACUUCAAAAUCGGGCAAAAUAUCUCCCUUAAAUUUUAAAACCUUGAUCUUACCUUACUGUCCUUGUUAUAAGCAGCUUUGAAGGCGGUUUGGUCUUUUUAUUUUUUAGCUAAUUCUUUAAAAAUCAUAGUAAAACAUAGGAAAAUCAUGAAACGAAAAAGGCUAAUUUUGUUGAACUCCACGUGAAUAGAUAUAUAUACUAAACAUAUAAUAUGAUAUGCUUUAGUAUAAAGUUUUUCAAUAGUUUUAGAUCUAUGUUUUUUUAUAAUUGAAUGAAAUGCAACUUAUAUGGUCCAAUGGUGAACUAAUUAUUAUAUGCCUAAAUUGUACUAAAAAUUUCAUAUUCAUUGGAUCAUGUAUAACUUAGUUAUAGAUUUUUUAAGGUUAUUGCUUGUUUAAUAUAAAUAAAUCUAUAACUAAGUUAUACAUAAUUCAUUGAGUAAAAUUUUUACUACAAUCAAAUCAUACCAUAAUUAACCCACCAUAAAAAUUUCAUCAUAAUUGGACCAUAGAACUCGCAGCUGUGAAUUAUUCCAAUUAAUUAUUAAAAAGCACAGAUCUAAAGACACAAAAAACUUUAUAGUAAAAUAUACCAUAUUAUAUAAUCAUUGUGUAGAUACUCAUGUGGAGUCUAACAAAAUUAGAUUUUAUAUUUUAUGAUUUUUUGCGAUUUACCAUGAUUUUCAAAUAUUAAGAUGAAAUAAAUAAAAAAGAAAGAGACAAAAUUGCCUUUAAAACUACUUACAACAGGACCAAAGAGGUAAGAUAAACAGUUUUAAAGUUGAGGUAGGUAUUUGUUUGGUUUUAAAGUUUUGAGAGGAAAAGUAGACUUUCGCAAAAGUUGAAGGAGGUAAUGUGGAUUUUUUUUUCCUAUUUUGACCCAACCUCACAUAGCUGUGCUUUUCAUGGUGUUGACCAGUGUAGCAGGUUGAUACUGCUGAAAGGAUCAAGAUGCUCAAGACGAGGGGUGAAUUGGGCUUCUCUAAAAAUUUAAGCAACCUAUAAGCCUCAAUUCAAUCCUUGUGCCUAAUUGUGUUCUAGAGAGCUACCGGACAAAAGUUUUGCAAUCUACUUCCAAUCCUAUUCUAGUAUGGCAAUUAUAGAAAAUAUAAAGUUCUGAAUUUAAGUACUAGAAUGUGAAGGGUAAGAGGAAGAGAAACGCCACGAUGUUUUGUCGAGGUAUCAGAGAGUCGCCAUUCCCCACCAGACCUCAUUGGAGCACACAUGUAAGGGCCUUGCUCCCCCUUGAUCCGCGCAAGGACCAAGUGCUCUCUACGGGUUGAUUCUUUGACACUUCGUCGCAGUGAAUCGCCCACAACCGCUCACAAGCUUGGCACGAGCUACCCACAAGAACAUCGGAUGAUCUUCGUGGCUCCAAUCACCACCGAACCGUCUAGGUGAUGACGAUCACCAAGAGUAACAAACAAUAAACUCUCACUUGACCCACACAAGGCUAAAGAGAGUGGUGGAUGCACACUUAAACUCUUGAUCUCAUUAGAGAAGGAUCACUCAAGAAAUCACUCAAAUCUCAAUUAUGUCUAGGCUCUUACUUCACCCUUGCACCAUAAGGUGUUUUUGAGCCGAAUAAAUGGGCAAGAGAGGUUUCUUGGGCAUGGUGGAGAAGUAUAUAUACCUCCCACCAAGUCCAAGAGUCGGCCAUGUGCACCCGACACUCUUGAUGUUGCAACGGACGCUUGCGCAGAGAGUCGAGUGCCUCAACAACAGCUAGUUGCGGUAUGAAAACCCUUAUCACACCGGACGCGUAGGGGCGUCCGAUGCCCUCACUCUGGAUGCAUCUAGUGCGGAAACUCUUUUGACAUGCUCCUUGGGUAAGGGAAUAGACACACCCGGAAGCGUCCGGUGCUGUGUCCGGUGCCAUACCCUAGACACGUGGCACGCUGGCUCAUCACCUGCAUACACCGAACGCACAAACAGUCCUAUUGUUGUGUUUGAUGCCAGCGUCCGAUGCCUAAAGUCAAUCAACACUUCAUCGAAACGCGAACUUUCCAAAACAAAGUUUGAUCCUCUCGAUCUAAGGACUCUCUCUAAGUUGCCUAGUGCUAGAAUUAACAAGUGUGCACCACACCUAGACCUAAAGUCUUGCCUCGGUUAAGCUACCCGUUUGUUGCCCCCUUAAUAGUACAGUCAAAAGGAAAAAUAAAGUCCUAAACUACUCUAAACACCCUUCAACUCCAAAUGGCACUUAGACCUAGUCUAAUCCUGACGAUGUCCAUGAUCCUUUAAAAACUAAAACGAUUUCUGCCAUCAAAGUGGGCACGAACUCAAUAGUCCAUUAAUCACCAUUACCAUGACCUAACUCAUAUGAUUGCCGCUGCAAAACAUACGUUAGUCAUAGUAAUCAACAUUGUCAUUAAUCACCAAAACUCACUAGGGGCCUAGAUGCUUUCAAUCUCCCCCUUUUUGGUGAUUGAUGACAAUAACCUCGAGUAUGUGAAAGAGAGUGAGGUUUUCAGACAACUUGGUUCAUAUAAGCAUGAGACAAAAAGAGCGAAAAGAGAAUUAGUCAAGCUUAUAUCAACCAAGCCAACAUCCUACAUCCAAAGAUGUGAGUCGAGUUCACCAGGAGAAACAAGUGGCUCAUAUGAAAUCAGAGUAAAACGCGGAAGCAAAAUAAUAUGAGCCAAAACACAUGACAUAGAGAGAUAAACAUGUAGCACACAUGACAUGUCUAGCAUCCAACAAGCAUAACUGAGGAGUGUAUCAUACAAUGCAUAAAGGUAAAUAUGAUGCAUGAAGUAUCACACAAAGAACAAAAAUACAGCUCAUAAGCUCCCCUAAGUCUAACAUACUCGCUCUCUCUCUCUCUCUCUCUCUCUCUCUCUCUCUCUCUCUCUCUCUCUCCCUUUGGCAUAAAGUACCAAAAACCUAAGAGUCUAUCGGUGGAGACAGAGCGGAUGAGUCGCGAGGAAUGGCCUCAAACUAGGUCAAGUCAACAUCUAAGUCCUCAUCGAUCGUUCUCUAGGAAGCUGUGCUAGGCUGAACAUCUACUUGACCCUCAGUAUCGUCACGUGUAGGUAAAGCGGUUUGGGUCGGCUCUACAAACUCUAGAACUGUCUGAUGUGUUGUCUCAGUCUCAACCUAUGACUCAACUCUGGUGGAGGUGGCUGGCAUAGACUCUAUAGCUAUCGCUGAGGCCUCUAGGAGAGUAGAAGACUGGACAAGCUGCUCAGAUGAAGCAAGUGAGGAGGACAGAAGCUCUGUAGUCGUAAUAGGAAUUAUGGAGGUUCCUUGAGCCUACUGUGGAUGAGGUGUCGGCAUGCUGGUAAGCUCACUAUAAGAGAAAGAUAACCCCUGUCCAGUCGAAGUCUCACGCGCUAAGUAUGACUCAGUGUGUGUCUGAGGAGUAAAGCCUGUACAAAGCAAAGUGAACUAUGGUGUCUACCCAAAGCUAGUAGAGAUCACACCCUGAGAGACCUGCUAAGGUGGAGUCAUGAAGGGCUGACUCUGAGCUGGAAGCUGUAGCGGCUGCUGAGACUGACUCUAAAGCCCACCAGGCUAUAACGCUAGAGUCGUGGUGGUAGAUGGACCGAUAGGAGGAACACCUAGAAGCUGAGACUGUGGAACUGUGACCCCUUUCGCUGCCACUAGAGCUACUAGAAGUGCGGCCUACUGAGCCUGAUAGGCAAGCUGCUGCUUUUAAAAGGAAAGAAGUUGUCGCUGGAGCUUGUCCUGGCGAGCCUGAAGUGCAGCAGCUAUGGUAGCCUGCUCUCUGUCACAUCUGGCCUAUUCCUCAGCCAUCCUCUACUGAUCAGCCCUCAUCCUAUCACGUAUAGCAAGUAGUGCUAGAUUUAUAGAGGAACUGCCAGCCAUGCGUUCAUGUGACCGAGGUGGAAGGUUAGGAAUAGGCUGGUGAUAGUCAUCAUCUGAACUGUCAAAGGUGAACUCAAACUCACUCUCUGCCUCUGCCUCUACCAUGGCUUCAAUAGCCAUGUGCUGCUCCUCUAUCUCAAGUAGAGCCCCUGAACUGCGUGUAGCUCUAGGUGUAGGUGCUGGAGAUGGUGCUCGUGGUGCAGGUGCUGCCACUGGUGAUCUCAAAUCAACAUAGGUCCUCAUCAUCUGGCGAAGGUCAUAGUGAGGAAACAUAGUCAUUGGUCAGUCAGCUCUCUCUAGAUCUAGGGAGGAAGUGGUGAAAGCCCUAGUUUGGUUUUGGAUAAUUGAUGAAACCCUAGUACUAACCUCUAUACUAAGUGUGUGUAGACUUAAUGAGGUUGGUACAUGCCAAGUGAUGGAGCAAGUGAUGAUCAUGGUGAUGAUGGUGAUGACCACAAGAUGAUCAAGUGCUCAACUUGGAAAAGAAGAAAGAGAAAAACAAAACCCUAUGGAGAUCAAGGCAAAGGUAUUGCUUAGGGUUUUGGUUUUGGUGAUCAAGACACCAUAGAGGGUGUGAUCACAUUUAGGAUAGAUAGCCGUACUAUAAAGAGGGGAAUUCUUUGGCUAAGCGGUUAUCAAGUGCCACUAGGUGUCAUUGUUCAUGUGCAUGCAUUUAGAACCUAGUGAGCUAACUUAACUCCUUCGAAGAAAAAUGUUUGUGAAAAUGCUAACACACGUGCACUUGUUGGUACACACUUUGUGGUGUUAGCACACUUUGAGAAUGAGGUGGAGUUUAAAGGGUAGAGAGAGGAUGGGUAGUCGCAUAUUUUGUGAAAAUGCUAACACACGUGCACUUUGUGGUGUUAGCACACUUCGGCGCUUUUCGAGAAAACGAAGUGCAUAUUUUCUAUUGCGCCGGUGGGAAAUUUGGAGUAGUCGCGGGAGUGUUUCUCGCUGAGAAAACACUCACCGGACGCUGGCUUCUGGAGCACCGGACGCUCAGACGUCCGGUGCAGACAGUGCCUGGCCCAGUUAGGGUAAGGCACCGGAUGAUAGGCACCGGACGCUGGCUUGAGCGUCCGGUGGUGCGCGUCCGGUGUGCGGGCGUUUUGCGACCCUCUCUGCGCAUGAGUCCGGUGUGCACCGGACGCGUCCGGUGCCAACCUGCUCAGCGUCCGGUGCUCUGCAGGUUACCGUUAGACUCUGACACGCGGCUGACGUUGGAGCACCGGACGCAGGUGUUGAGCGUCCGGUGCCCCUUUAAGAGCGUCCGGUGACCCCGAGUUAGACCCAGUGAGAGAGCCAAUAGCUCUAUUUGUUUGAGGGGUCUAUAAAUAGUUGUUAGCCGGCUUAGGGCUUACACUCUUGGCAUUCUAACAUACUUGACAUCCUUAUGAGCCUAAGCAAACACCUCCCACUCAUCUCCUUCGUAGAUUAAACAUCUUUGUGAGAUUGGGAGUGAUUCUAAGUGCAUUUGCUUGAGUGAUUGCAUCUAGUGGCACUUGGGGAUCGUUCUAGCUGCGGUUUUCUUGUUACUCUUGGUGGUUGCCGCCACCUAGACGGCUUGGAGCAGCGGAGGAGGAUUGGCACGAGUUGGUGAUUGUUCGUGGCCAUCUCCCGGUGAUUGUGAGGGGUCUUGUACCUUCCCCGGCGGAGAGCCGAAAGGUAACUCUAGUGGAUUGCUCGUGUCAUUGAGUUACCUCACUUGUGGGUAGGUUCUUGUGGUGUCCUAGUGAGGACGAGGUUCGUGCUACACCUCUUAGCCACCGAACCACCAAGUGUUGGUCGACACAACGGGGACGUAGCGUGCCGGCAAGCACGUGAACCUCGGGAGAAAAAUUAGUGUCUCAUUUGUGUUUGAUUGGCAUUCUCCCAGUGCUUGAUUGUUUAUAUUGGUCAUUGGUGCAUCCCCUACACGGCGGUAUAAAUAUCUCAUCCUAUCUUUACUUACCGCAAACUAGUGUAAUUAGUUUAGUUCCUUACUUUGACUUGUGUAGCUUAGUUCUCUAGUGUCACUUGUAGAGACUUAGUUCUUGUGUGCAUAGAGAUCAUAGCAACUAGAAUUAUUGGGUAGGUGGCUUGCAAACAUCCCUUUAGAGCUAGAGCAAAAAGCUUCGCUUUGUUAUUUACUAACCUUUUGCUCUAGUGAGUUUGUAGAUUUUUUAGAACAGGCUAUUCACCCCCCCUCUAGCCAUAUUAGGACCUUUCACCAGCCCAAUACACGAGAGGGGGACUAUAUAAGAAUCAAUGGAGCUGUCACUACCACGAACUACCCCGCGAUCUGGCAUAUAGGGUACAAUCGCAGAUAAAUACGGUAUAAGCACCACGCCUACACAAUAUCUAUCAUUUACCCAUGGAUCAGAUGGAUAAACGCUAUACGGUCCUAAACAUGUAUAUAAUUCCAAUCUAACUAAGCCAAGUAUAUAACUAUGAUAAACUAAGAACAAUAUAAUUGCGAAUAUAAACAAGUAGAGCAAAGUCAUAAUCAAUAUAUUGAAGUAGAACAAAGUCAUAUUCAUAAUAUCGAAGAACAAAGAUGAACAACUGAAGAACAAUAGAGAAUUACCAAGAAUCCUCUUGACAGAUCCAGAAACCAAUCGAAGAUUGACUCCUUCUAGUUCUAAUCCUAUGUAGCUAUGCUAAUCUAGAUAUCUAAUUGAUGUGGUGGCUCUAGGAUUGAUCAGAGGCUUCUUCUCCCUUGAUGAAUAAUGAAUUAGGGUUGAGAGGUCCUCUCCUCCAGGGGCCAGGGGGUCUAGUUUUAUAGUCCUUCCAAGUGAAUAUGGACCGUCGGAUCAAACCGACAUUGAUUGAACGGUUAUCUUUGAUCCUUUAGGUCGGUGGAGCGUAAUCCCAAAAGAGAGUCCUGAUUGGACUCCAGAGGGGGCGGGCGUCCUGGUCCCUAGGGCGGGCGCCCUGGGCCAGGCCCUGUUCUGCCUCCGCUUCGUUCCCGUGACUUCUGGAGUCUUCUAGAUGUAAGAUAAUUGCGCGGCACGUUAAUAUCUCUAUGACCCGACGUGUGGGCCUUUCUUCCGUAUUUCCCGAUAACCCCCUGCAGAAAUAGACAAACACCAAAACUCAUGGAAUUCUGUCAGAUAAAACCCUAAGUCUGGAUGUUGAUUGCAUUUGGAUCCUUUUCUUUGUUUAUUUGAUAGUUAAAUUUGAUACUUAAGGACCGUCAACAAACUCCCCCAAGCUUACCUCUUGCUCGUCCCUGAGCAAGGAUAGACUUAGCGAUAGACAAGAAGUUGUUGCAAUGCCUUUAAAAGUUGACGGUACACAUGCUUUUAAAUGAGGUCUCAUCCCUAAGUUAGAGUAAACUGUCAAGACUUAAAACUUACUUACUUUACCUUUCACCAUGGGACUGGUAACCGUCACUUCUGUCUUGAGUAGUUAAAAGAUAGAACAGUAUAGCCAAGUGCCAUGUCUCUUAUUCUUGAUCAGCUAUAGCUCUGGAGUUUUUGUAGAUUUUCAAAUAAAACUCAGAGAUUCCUUGUAUGACUCUCUCAGAUCUCUCUUUUGUGGUAUUUCUGGAUCCUUACCAAGGCAGUGAUGGUAUAUGCCUUCUCUCAAGUAUGUAGUAUUUGUGGUAUAAGGCAUAGUGACAUUGCCUUCUCUCUCACCCUACUCUAAUAAGGCUUUAAUAUCUAGAGCUCAUAGGUGGGAUAUAAAGUAUACAUACUCACAAGACAUUUAUUGUAUAGUCAAACCAUAGAUCUAGAGAAACAAGUCAAUAAGUCAAAUCAAGAUGUGCAUAUGAAGCAAAUGAAUGGUGUAUGACGAUGAUGGUGAUAACAAUGGUGAAAGUCUAAUUCUACUUUUGCUCUUUUGAGGGGAUAUAUACCUUCCUUGCUCUUUUGAAACUUUUUGAGGAGAAUGAGAUGCUCUAUAUUUUCUUUAUCUUUCCUCUCAGGUGGGUAUUUUGUACCCCUAAUUCUACUGUCGGACACUUGUCCAUUUUUACCUCUAGUCUCACUUUUUCUUUUCUUUCGAGGUUCCGGGCACUUGCCCCUUUUUAUUUCCUCGUAUCGCUCUUUUCUUAGAGCACUCAUGUAAGUGCAUUCGCUCCUGAUGUGGGUUUUGAUAAUUAAUGACAACCAAAUUAGGGACUAACAUGUUUAUCGAGCAUAAUCUACAGGUGUUAGUCCAUUGAUGGAAUUGAACAAAAACAUUCGGUGAAUUAUAGCACCCCUAAAUUUCCAAUGGAUGAACGGUGUUUUGACUCAAGUGGCUACAAAGUUUUUAUUCUUUGCUUGAGUUAUAGGAAACGCCGCACUAUCAAGAGGGAUGCAAAUUGAGUUGGUAAGAUGAGGAUAAAAGUGCUCAGGUCAACUUAGCUCUUGCGCUUGAGAGACACACUUGCACGCACGAACCACUAGGAAAUUUCUUCUCUGCCAGGGUGUGCCGGUAGUACCGACCCUCAGGGCCGGUGGUACCGGUAGUGCCAGUCCUUCUCCUGAGUUUUGCGAGAAAAUGAACUACCGGUAGUACCGGGCUCGGGCCGGUGGUACCGGCCAGCACCAGUAGUACCGGUGUGAAACGCCGGUAGUACCGGCAGGCCAAAUCUGCGCUGACUUUGGUUACGGAGAUUUGAAUUGCUGGUGGUACCGGCCUUCCACCGGUGGUACCGGGAAUGGUCGGUAGUACCGACAAAAGCCCGGUGGUACCGGUAGGCUUAUUUCUCGCAAAUCCUAGAGACUUCUUACCGUUAGAUCUGAGGUAGCCGGUGGUACCGGUGGUUGCCCUGGUAGUACCGGCAGUUGUUCAGGAUCUGUGUAUAAAUAGCUCUUCCCUCAUUUCUGACCGUUAGCUCUCCCAUUCCUUCAACUCUACAUUUGAGAAAAUAGUCUCCAAGCUUUGACUCACCCACUCUCUCUCCCUCUUUGCUCCUAGACUUCACUCCUUGAGAGAUUCGAGCUAGAGAAGUGAGAUUAGAGAGUUGGGAGCUUCGAUUUGUGACUUGAGCACUUGGUUUCUUCGUCUUGCCGGUUUGGUUUGCAUUUGUUACUCUUGGGUUCUUGGAACCCUAGCCAGCUAGGCGUUCUUCGUGGUUGCCCGUGUUGAUUCAUUUGUGAGGGCACCCCGAAGUGUUUGUAUAACCCUUUGAUUCUUAGUGGAAAUCUUGAGCUAACCUGUGUGGUUGCUUGAGGGAGGAGACCUAAGUGGUCGGACCUUCGUGGUCACCUCAACAGUGGGGAUUGCCGAACCUCGGGAAAAAUAUCUUGUCUUGCUGUGGAGGUAGCAUCGACUACCCUUGUUCUUGUGUUCUUCGUGUUCUUCCUCUGUACUCCCUUUCAUAGGUGAACAAGGGCCGAUCUACGUUUUGGAGAAGAACCGAGCCAAGGGAACUUCAACAUCAUCCUCUACUACAUCUUGGAGAGUGGGGUAACUCUCAGAUCUGAAAUCAAAACUCAAUCUACUCUGAUUUCAUAGCUCUCAUAGGGCGUCGGUAGUAUCAACAGUUGCGUCGGUAGUACUGGCUAUCUUACACCGGUAGUACCGGCCCAAACUGUCGGUAGUACCGGCAGGCAUUUAACUUCCGCAACUUGAGCUUUUGAGUUUCAGGUUUUUAAGAUACGCCUAUUCACCCCCCUCUAGGCCAAUUAGAUCCUUUCAACUCAUCUCAUAAUAUAGCAAGUGGUAGUAACCAAGAUAACUUGAGCAUUUAUUUCACAGGGGAAAAAUAGAAAUAUUUUUGGCUAUUCUCUCCCGAAUUAGGAGUAGAAUAUUUUUGGGUGGUUCUGGAGAUGGAAAUGAGUGGAUAUAUGUGGAUGCGUAUUUCCGGAGUAGAAGCAGCAUAUGUGAGUGAACGUGCAAGUGAAUCUUGAUUUAACCACAAGACAAUCUCCUAAGGGUCUACACAGCUUGACCACACUCAAUGAUCAUAAGUAGUAAAAAAUAAAUGUGUGGCUCAAAGUCUAGCAAGCAUGUAUAUAUGGCUGUGGUAGGAAUUUAAACUCUCAUCAUACAGGAACUCAUCAUGUGAUAUUUUAAAGAUUUUUUAAAGAUAAAAUUCUCCAGAAUUCUAGCAUCUCUAGGAACAGAUAAACAGCAUCUCAACCUUCCCAUAUCAUAUCCGUUAACAACUUAGACUUUAGAUCAAGUUUUCUUCCCACAAGUUCAGGUUUAGAAGCAAGCUUUAAAUUAUAACAGUUAUGUCUAAACUUGAGAAAGAACUCAAAUUUGAAAAUUAGGCAGAGCAACUAUUCAUCAUAUCCAUGCUAGAGUUUUAUUAUUAAGAUUCAGUUUAGCAUAGCCACUUUAUUUAUUUAUUAAGCACACUAAGCAAAAGAUAUAUAUAUAUAUAUAUAUAUAUAUAUAUAUAUAAGCACAAAAUCUUUAUUUGGUUUUCCAUAGUUAUGUAUAUUUAUAUUUUAAUAUAGUAUAAGUAUAAAGAUAGAUAUAAAUACUUAGCGGGAUAAAUGGGGGUGCUCUCCCCCAAGCUGAAUUUUGAUAUAAUUUCUUCUGAUGUAGCUAGCAGGUGGCAGAGGUGUAUUUGAAAGUCGGCAGUAUCCUGACAGCGAUUAGAAUGUCCUCCGUCUGCUAGUCUUCUUGAUUCUUAAAUUCUCUUGGCAAGGCGUUCGGUGUUUUUAAGUCCUCCGAACAAGACUCUCCGUUUUCUCAGUUGUCCUGGGGUUCAUUGGGUGGCGUAGUCGGUGCUUCCGGUAGCGCCUCUUCUUUAUAAUACCCGAUUUUAAAGACAAAACUAGAUAUGCACCAUAUGUGAGUUUUAGAAGCCAAAUCCCACAUAUAGCUACAAAUAAAGGGUAAUAUCAAAAGAGAAUGCAUAAAUAUAUAACGUACUUAGUAUAAAAGAGAUAACCUUUGAUAGCAAACAGCGCAUAGACUACUCCAACUUCGGGUAUUAACUUCUCUCUACAGGAUCCAACUGACUGGUUGAUAACAAGCCUAAACUUCUCCUGAAGGGUGGGGGAAAUAGCAAGAGUGAGUCCAUGUCGAACUCCACAAGUAUAGCAACUAGAUUGUAUAGCUCUCACAAUCUCAUGAUCAAUGUGACAUAAAUAAUGUAAAGCAUUAAAUAAUAAAUAAUGAGCAUAUUUAACACACAAGAAUCAUCAUCGUCGAUGCAAGAAUCCCUAAGGCCGCUUUUGACCGUGAGCAUGACUAGUAUACCAGUUUUAACACUCUGCAGAGGUUGUACAUCUUUACCCAUGAGUCAUGAUUUACCCUUUCGCCCGAGGUGAUCAGCCACUUAACCCACUUCCAAUGAAGGUUGGUAGGGAUCACUAUGAAGCCUUUCAAAAGUUCGUCUAACAUGUUUGAAAGCCCUAGUUUGGUUUUGGAUAAUUGAUGAAACCCUAGUACUAACCUCUAUGCUAAGUGUGUGUAGACUUAAUGAGGUUGGUACAUGCCAAGUGAUGGAGCAAGAGAUGAUCAUGGUGAUGAUGGUGAUAACCUCAAGAUGAUCAAGUGCUCAACUUGGAAAAGAAGAAAGAGAAAAACAAAACCCUAUGGAGAUCAAGGCAAAGGUAUUGCUUAGGGUUUUGGUUUUGGUGAUCAAGACACCAUAGAGGGUGUGAUCACAAUUAGGAUAGAUAGCCGUACUAUUUAGAGGGGUAAUCUCGUUGUGAAAACGGUUGUCUAAGUGCCACUAGGUGAUUGGAUUCCUUGCAUGUGCAUUAGGACCUAGUGAGCUAACUAAGUAACCCUUGAAAAAUGUUUUUGAAAUAUGCUAACACACGUGCACAAGUGUGGAGAAACUUUGGUGUUGGCACAUGGAAGCAAGGAAAGAAGCUGAGUUCUUUGUGUGCAGCGCGUUCAGGCCGGACGCGUCCGGUAUGAGGUCGGACGCGUCCGAGUUGAGGCACCGGACGCGGAAAGAGUUUUCGCGUAGAGUCCGGUGUGCCUCGUCCGGUGAGUUCGUUUCUCGGUGAAACUCUCUGAGUUUGCGUCCGGUGUGAACUAGGACGCGUCCGAGUUGGCGUCCGGUGCAAGCUCCUCUUGCAGAGCUCUCUGGGUGUGAGUCUGGUGCACACCGGACCGUCUGGUGUGUGCGUCCGGUGUGGCGACCGGUGUUGGCUCAAGUUUGCGACGCUCUCUGAGUUUGGGUCCGGUGCACACCGGACGCGUCCGGUGUGAACUAGGACGCGUUCGGUAUUUCAAAAGUGAGCGUCUGGUGCCUUGUCAGUGUCAGAGACAACGGCUACUUUUCUAACGGUCAGGAGCACCGGACGCUGGUCUGGCUCAUACCGGACGCGUCCGGUGUGAACUAGGACGCGUCCUGUGUGAACGCAGACAGUGGGAUUUCCUGCCAACGGCUAGUUGAAGCUUGGGACUUCUAUUUAUAUGCCUUGGCUGGUUCUUGCUCACCCUCUUGACUCUCUAACUUGUUGAUACACCUUGUGAGCAUACUCCCACACUUCCCACUCACCUUGUUCAAGAUUUGUUCAUCCAAAGUGAGAUUAGGAGAGAUCCUAGUUGCAUUUGCUUAGAGUUUGAGCAUCUAGUGGCACUAGUGAUCGUUGAGCAGCGGGUUUGCUUGUUACUCUUGGUGGUUGCCGCCACCUAGACGGCUUGGAGCUGCGGAGGAGCUUUGGCAUGAGUUGGUGAUUGUUCGUGGCCAUCUCCCGGUGAUUGUGAGAGGUUUGUGCCUACCUCGGCGGAGAGCCAAAGGCAACAUUAGUGGAUUGCUCGUGUCAUUGAGCUACCUCACUUGUGGGUAGGUUCUUGUGGUGUCCUAGUGAGGACGAGGUUCGUGCUACACCUCUUAGCCUCCAAACCACCAAGUGUUGGUCGACACAACGGGGACGUAGCGUGCCGGCAAGCACGUGAACCUCGGGAGAAAAAUCGGUGUCUCAAUUGUGAUUGAUUGGCAUUCUUCCGGUGCUUGAUUGUUGAUAUAUUUGGUGAUUGGUUCAUCCCCUACACGGCGGUAUAAAUAUCUUUUCCUCUCCUUUCACUUACCGCAAAGUAGUGUAACUAGUUUUAGUUGCUAGUUUUGUCUUGUGUAGUUAAGCUCACUAGUGUAACUUGUAGAAGACCUAGAGCUUGUGUGCUUAGUGAUCAUAGCAACUAGAAUUGUUGGAUAGGUGGCUUGCAAACACCCUCUUUUAGAGCUAGAGCAAAAAGCUACGCUUUGUUUUUUACUAACCUCUUGCUCUAGUGAGUUUGUAGAUUUUUUUAAUAGGCUAUUCACCCCCCCCUCUAGCCAUAUUAGGACCUUUCAAGUGGUAUCGGAGCCGUGGUCACCGUUUGUGAAGGCUUAACAACCUCGGUGCUCAAAUUAUGGCUCAAAUAGUGUUCAACCAUGUUGGGGGCAAACCACUGUUUUUUGAUGGCACAAGUUCUUUUGACUAUUGGAAGAGAAAGAUGAAAAUGUAUCUUGUAUCAAUCAAUGAUAGAGUGUGAGAAGUCACGGAGAAUGAUUUUGUGAUCCUUGACCCCGCUAACCCAACCGACAAUGAGAGAGCAAACAAGCAAUGCAAUACUAUGGCUCUCAACACAAUCUACAAUGGCAUUGAUUCAAAAGUGUUUGAACAAGUCAAAGAUCUUGAGAAGGCAAGUAAAGUGUGGACAAGGCUAGAAGAAACAUAUGAGGGCACUACAACGGUAAAAAGUGCCAAGUUGUAUAUGCUCAAGGACAAGCUAUCCAACUUCAAGAUGAAGGAUGAUGAGUCAAUCCCGGAGAUGUUCUAUAGGCUCCAAGUCAUCAUCAAUGAUCUCAAGGGACUUGGUGAGAAAGUGAAGGAUGAGGACUUCAUUCACAAGUUCUUGAUGUGCUUGCCCAAGAGGUUCAAGACAUUGAGAACCAUCAUAUUUAGAGGAGGAUUGACGGGUGUAUCUCCCAAUGAGGUACUUGGAGAUGUCAUGACCGAAGAUCAAUAUAAUGACAAUGAUGAUGAUGAGGUCAUGAAGAAGGAUGAUGAUGACAAGAAGAAGAAGAGUGUAGCAUUCAAAGCUAGCUCUUCAUCCAAGAGCAAGAACAAGGACAAGGCCAAGAAGGAAGAAUCAAGUGAUGAGGAGUGCUCCAAUGAUGAUAGUGAUGAUGAAGCACUAGCACUCUUUGUCCGCAAGUUUGGCAAGAUGAAGAAGAAGAAGGGCUAUCACACAAGAAAGAGAAGAGAUCACUUCAAGAACAAGGAGCAUGUGAGGCUAUGCUACAAGUGCAAGAGCCCCGAUCAUAUUGUGGCGGAUUGUCCUUACAAUAGUGACAAUGAUGAGCAUGACAAGAAGAACAAGAAGGAGAAGAAAGAAAAGAAAGAGAAGAAGAUGGUCUUCAAGAAGAAGAAGGGUGGAUCCUAUGUUGUGACAUGGGAUAGUGAUGCUUCCUCGAAUGAUGAUUCUAGUGAUGAUGAUAAGGCAUCCAAGAAGAAGGCACUUGCAAGCAUUGCUAUCAACAACAAGCCAUCACUCUUCGAUACUCCUUCAUGCUUCAUGGCCAAGGGCCACAAGGUACAAUAUGAUGAGAGCGAAAGUGAAAGUGAAAAUGAACAUGAUAGUGAUAGUGAUGAUGAAAAUGAAUUCACUAAUGAACAACUCAUGGACAUGCUAGAACAAGCCGAUUCACUUAUUCAAUCUAAAAACAAGAAGUGCAAAGAAUUGGCCAAGAAGUUAAAAGCUCUUGAGCAAUCCUUUGAUGAGCUCAAUGCUAAUCAUAAGAGGCUAGUGGAAGCCCAUGAGAAGCUUGGCAUGGCUCGCACCAAGCUUGAAAAAGCUCACUCCUUGUUAUUAGAAGAGAACAGGGAAAAGGUUGUUGUAUCAUGUGAUGUGGGCACAACAUGUGACUUAACUAAAGAAUCACCCAACCCACCUAUUGUUGUUGCCACUAACUCUUCAUGUAGGUCUUCAUCCACCACCACCAACUCUACCUCUACUUCUAGUGUUAGUGUCACUUGUGAUGCUUCACUAAAGAUUGAGAAUGAGACUCUCAAGAAAGAGGUGGAUGAGCUCACUCACGCCCUAGGCAAGGCCUAUGGUGGUGAGGCCCGCUUGCUAAAGUGCUUGGGUAGCCAAAGGUUUUCUCUCAACAAAGAGGGAUUGGGCUAUAUCCCCAAGAAAGGCAAGGCGGCCUUUGCAACUCACAAACCUAGCUUUGUGAAGAGCAAUGGUCGGUAUUGCAACAAAUGCAAGCAAGUUGGGCACCUAGAGCUUAAUUGCAAUAAAAUGAACAAGAACAAGAAAAAUGCUAAUGCACCUUACAUUCCUUUUGAUUCUUGUUAUGUGCUUACCAAGGGUGAGAAGGGUGUGCAUGCUAAGUUUGUUGGUACACCAAUUGUGGGUCCAAAGAAGAAGGCCAUUUGGGUACCAAAAAGCUUAGUCACUAACCUCCAAGGACCCAAACAAGUAUGGGUACCUAAGAAACAUUGAUUUGUUUUGUAGGUAAACUAUAAAGCCGGAGGAAGGCAUUGAGUGCUUGAUAGUGGGUGCACACAACACAUGACCGGUGAUUCAAGAAUGUUUAAUUCAAUCAAUCCAAAUGAUGACAAUGGUGUUGAUAGUAUCACAUUUGGUGAUAAUGGCAAAGGCAAGGUCAAAGGGCUUGGUAAAAUUGCUAUAUCCAAUGACUUGAGCAUUUCCAAUGUGCUACUAGUAGAGAGCUUGAACUUCAACUUGUUAUCCGUAGCUCAACUUUGUGAUCUUGGUUUCAAAUGCAUAUUUGGAAUUGAUGAUGUAGAGAUCAUAAGUGUAGAUGGCUCAAACUUGAUAUUCAAAGGUUGCUAGUUUUGUCUUGUGUCGUUAAGCUCACUAGUGUAACUUGUAGAAGACCUAGAGCUUGUGUGCUUAGUGAUCAUAGCAACUAGAAUUGUUGGAUAGGUGGCUUGCAAACACCCUCUUUUAGAGCUAGAGCAAAAAGCUAUGCUUUGUUUUUUACUAACCUCUUGCUCUAGUGAGUUUGUAGAUUUUUUAAAUAGGCUAUUCACCCCCCCCCUCUAGCCAUAUUAGGACCUUUCAAUGUUUGGGCCGCAAGGUUUCCUUUGGCACAAUGACUCGCAGCCUAUACACAUACAGACAGAGGCCACACUAUACCCAAAACGGUUCAGCCCCUCCGACCUUUCGGGUAACCUCUAACAAGCUAGAAAAGGUCUUCAUACUGAGCUAAAGCCAGAUCCAUUAUAGCCCUUAUGGUUGCACUGUUGUCCCGGUUAUCAUUUACAGAUAAAUCAAGUUCCUAAAAAGUUAUUUUUAUCAUUUAUUACUUAACAUUAAUCUAGUCACAGGAUCAUGGUCACAGAAUAAAAUUCAAAUGUUAUACUUGCCUUAAUCCAUUUGCUCUUGCUGAUCCUUUUAGUUCUGCUGGUCUUACUUGUUGCCAAAGCUCUGAUCUUGAUCAGCAAAAACUGCUUUCCGUCUAAACUCGAUCGUCGAUCGCACAAACAAGCGGAAACAAACAUACACGAAGCAAACAAAGCUACAAUUAGAACAGUACACCAAACAUAUAAAAAUAGUAUGAAAAGUUUAUAAAAUGAUUCUACGCAUCGCUACGAUUUCAAAGGCGUAAAGUUCACGAAAAUCGGAGUUAAAACGGUGAAGUUAUGAAUUUUCUAAGAUUUCCUAUAGAUAAAUAAUUAAUUAAAUGCUACUGCGAAAAUAAAAAGUUUCAAAAUAGAGAAAUAAUACUUCUAACAUGUAGAGCUCGUAAAUACAAAUCUAACAAAAUUUGAAUGGACAAAAACGGAGUUCAAAUGAUUAAACUGCGCAUGAUUAAAGGUAGACCGAUUAAAUAAUGGUGGAAGAUUUUGGAAAACUACCAUAACAUGCCUAGUUGCCGCUCGAUGUCCAGGAGACUCAUUGGCCAUAGCUUGCAAUGGCCAGAGGACAGCUGCAGGCAGCACGUGCGGCGCACAGGCAACAACGAUGAAUUAGACGACAUCAAAAGGAGAUGGGCUUCGCUUCUUACGUGCAGCAAGUGCAGAUAAAAAGGAGGCAUCCUGUUCCUUCGUGACUUGAUGUUUAGCUUGCUGAACGAGAGAUCAGGUACUGAAUAGAAAGAAAAUAAGAAGCAAAACAAAUGAUGAGUACUGAACAAAGAGAGAGUCACGCACCAGAAGAGACGAUGAUGAUGAGCACAGGCGAUGGACUAGAGAGAUGACAAAAAAAUAUAUAAUUUACUACCGUGGAAUUUCCAGACUAGGGGCUCUAUUUACGGUAUUUUUUGUGUUUCUCCUAAAGGGUUGGCACAUAUAUAUAUGGAGGAAAACUCUCCACAUCUACAUCAAUUAACAAUAUGGUACUAAUUGAUGUUGCCCCUUCCACCUUUACUAAUAAGCCUAAUUAAUUAUUAAAGCCCACUAGUAAAUAAAUACAUUGGCCUUUGAGAUCAUGGGUUCAGCGUUUGGGUAGAAUGAAAGAUUUAUUAUUUUCGAAAUUAAUUAUUUUUGUGAAUAGGAUAUUUUUAGAAAAGUCCAGAAUUAUUAUUUAAUUCAUGAAAAAUAUUUCAAAAGCUCUAAAAAUUCGGGAAAAAUUCUCGGAGUUAUUAUGAAACAUGAGGAACCCAAAUAAAGUAUUUGAAGCUCAUGAUAAGAUAAUUCGGAGCAUCUAAAAAUUAAAUUAUGCUCACAGUCAAGUGGGAAAAGUUUCACAAAAAGUGUUGGAAUAAAUCUUGGUCAGUUUUUAGAGAUUGAUUGAUGGUUGAGGAACUGAAAGGAAUGAUUUGGGUUACAAAGAAAAGAUUUUGGGAUACUCGAAACAAAAGCAUAGGCUAGAAAACAAGGAAUUUGAUUGUAGAAAAAAAAGAUAAAUCCGUGCCGAAGAAGGGAGAUCGACCUAGUAACGUAUUUUAAACACUCCACUCACUGUCAACACACAAAGGAGCAAUAAGCAAACAUUACAUCAAAUCUUAUGCACCAGCAUGUAUGCACAACAAUAUUGCUAUGCCUUAUGAUAAAUUUUAAUUUACUAAAAAAUGUUAUUUUUCCUAUAUUUUCAUGAGCUCAAAAAUACCAAAUUAAAUUAUUUUAGCUCUAUUUUGAAAGGACCAAAAUUUGGGGUGUUACAUUCUUCAUGUAUAGUUAUCUUCUCUCUCCACAUUUUACUCGGUGGUAUGGUUUCCUCAGGAUAAUCUUGUUCAAGCUGUAUGUCUUCAGAUCUUAUCACUUCUCCUUCAUAGUCUGCCCAUCCAUCCUUGAUGAUUUGCCUCUUCUGGUUGCGGUUGCAUCGUCUUCUUCUUGUCCUGACUUGCUUAGAGUCUUCAAUGAUAUAGUUAGGGUCAGUAAAAUAGCGGCGUACCUUCUCUAAGGGUAAGUGCAUAUGGACUUCUCCAGUUCCAAUGUAGAUGAUUGCUUUAACGGUGUUGAGGAACGGUCUUUCAAGGAUGAUGGGUGGAUCGUACUCGUCUUCUCCCAUGUCAAUAACCUGAAAGUCUGUGUAGACAAAAUGAUCGUCUAUCUUGACAGGGACAUCAGUUACUAUACCUUUAACCUCUCGAAAUGUCUGAUCUGCCAUCUGGAGCUGAAUGUAUGUUGUUUUUAGGGGCAUGGUUCCGAACAAGAGCCGAUAGGUGACUGAAAGGUCCUAAUAUGGCUAGAGGGGGGGGUGAAUAGCCUAUUAAAAAUUCUACAAAACGCUAGAGCAAGAGGUUAGUAAAUAACAAAGUGAAGCUUUUUGCUCUAGCUCUAAGGGGUGUUUGCAAGCCACCUAUCCAACAAUUCUAGUUGAUAUUAUCACUAGGCACACAAGAGCUAUGUCUCUACUUACACUAGAGAGCUACCUAAAGUUUCUACACAAGUAAGUAAGCUACUCUAGUUUGCAAGAAAGUAAGAGAGAAGGUUUGAUCUUUAUACCACCGCGUAGAAGGGAUGAACCAAUCAAUAAUAUAAAGUCCAAUCACCGGGAGAAAUCCAAAGUACAAUCACAAUGGAGACACACGAUUUUCUCCCGAGGUUCACGUGCUUGCCGGCACGCUACGUCCCCGUUGUGUCGACCAACACUUGGUGGUUCGGUGGCUAAGAGGUGUAGCACGAACCUCGUCCUCACUAGGACACCACAAGAACCUACCCACAAGUGAGGUAACUCAAUGACACAAGCACUUUACUAGAGUUACCUUUCGGCUCUCCGCCGGGGAAGGUACAAGACCCCUCACAAUCACCGGGAGAUGGCCACGAACAAUCACCAACUCGUGCCAAUCCUCCUCCGCUGCUCCAAGCCGUCUAGGUGGCGGCAACCACCAAGAGUAACAAGAAAACCGCAGCUAGAACGAUCCCCAAGUGCCACUAGAUGCAAUCACUCAAGCAAAUGCACUUGGAAUCACUCCCAAUCUCACAAAGAUGUUUAAUCUAUGAAGGAGAUGAGUGGGAGGUGUUUGCUUAGGCUCACAAGGAUGUUAUGUAUGUUAGAAUGCCAAGAGUAUGAGCCCCAAGCCGGCCAAACACGUAUUUAUAGCCCCUCAACCAAAUAGAGUCAUUGGCUCUUUUCACUGAGCAAACUGCGGGGUCACCGGACGCUCUUAAAGGGGCACCGGACGCUCAACACCAGCGUCCGGUGCUUCAACGUCAGCCGCGUGUCAGAUUCUAACGGUAACCUGUAGAGCACCGGACGCUGAGCAGGUUGGCACCGGUCGCGUCCGGUGCACACCGGACUCAUGCGCAGAGAGCUUCGCAAACUCGCAAGGUCACCGGACGCGAGCCACCGGACGCACCCUGAGCGUCCGAUGCUCACCGGACUCAUGCGCAGAGAGGUUUGCAAAACCUCCUCACACCGGACGCUCCAAGCUGCGUCCGGUGCCUAUCGUCCGGUGCCUAACCCUAACCGAGUCAGGCUGCCUGCUCACCGGACGCACAGGAACAGCGUCCGGUGCUUCUGAGUCAGCGUCCGGUGAGUGUUCCUCAGCGAGAAACACUCCCGCGACUUCUCCAAUUUUCCCACCGGCGCAAUAGAAAAUAUGCACUUCAUUUUCUCGAAAAGCGCCGAAUAUGCGACUACCCAUCCUCUCUCUACCUUUCAAACUCCACCUCCUUCUCAAAGUGUGCCAACACCACAACGUGUGUACCAACAAGUGCACGUGUGUUAGCAUUUUCACAAAUAUUUUCUUUGAAGGAGUAAAGUUAGCUCACUAGGUUCUAAAUGCAUGCACAUGAACAAUGACACCUAGUGGCACUUGAUAACCGCUUAGCCAAAGAAUUCCCCUCUUUAUAGUACGGCUAUCUAUCCUAAAUGUGAUCACACCCUCUAUGGUGUCUUGAUCACCAAAACCAAAACCCUAAGCAAUACCUUUGCCUUGAUCUCCAUAGGGUUUUGUUUUUCUCUUUCUUCUUUUCCAAGUUGAGCACUUGAUCACCUUGUGGUCAUCACCAACAUCACCAUGAUCAUCACUUGCUCCAUCACUUGGCAUGUACCAGCCUCAUUAAGUCUACACACACUUAGCAUAGAGGUUAGUAAGGGUUUCAUCAAUUAUCCAAAACCAAACUAGGGCUUUCAGUGACUGCGGCCAUUAUGUUGAUGCCCGAUCCGGUAUCGCAAAACGUCUUGUAGAAGUUGCACCCAUUGAUGGAGCAAUAGAUGCUUAGCAUUCGUGGGUCGUCCUUCUUGGUCAGAAACGGUGACUUAAGUCGAUGAUCUUGUCCCUCAUGAACUGCAGUGACCAUCUUAGCUGAUUCGGUCCACACUUGCUUGUUCAUGUUCCUCCUGUUGGUCCUCUUCCUUGAUUCAUGUCGAGAUUGCUCUGGGAUUUGUGUAGUCUUGUUCUUGAAGAAAAACGUCUCCUUUCUCCCUUUGAUGUAGAAACUGAUCUUAGCAGCACUAGCGUAGAUGACAGCUCCUGAGGUGUUUAAGAAUGGCCUCCCUAAGAUGAUGGGUGCCCUCUCAUCAUUACUGGUCUCUAUCACUACGAAGUCUGCUGGGGCAUACAAGGUACCAACUCGGACACAGAGGUUCUUCAAUAUUCCCUUUGGAAAACUUAACGCCUGAUCUGCAAACUGCAAACACAUGGUUGUUUCUAAUAAAGGAUAUGUAAAGAAUUUUUCAUAGAGUACCCUGGGCAUAAUGUUGACGCUAGAGCCAAAGUCGCAGAGUGCUUCUGGGAAGUCCAGCAUGCUGAUGGAGAUCGGGAUGACUGGGCGUCCUGGAUCGCCACUCUUGACCGGCAGAAGGUCAGUAGUAACUUCAGUGACGGGGUUACUCCAAUAGUUACCUGCAUCAAACAUCUCUACAAGAUUUGCAUAUUUUAAUCCUUCCAGUUGUGAUGGUAUACCGGGGUUAGUAGCAGGAACAGCAGCAGCUAUUUGAUUUAAUUGAGAUUCAAUCAUUUUAUUAAAGCUAAUUUGAUUCUUGAUGGCAGUAGAGAAAUUAUCCAUUCUAUUAUUUAUAUUUUCUAGCAUUUUAUUAUUAGAUGCCAAUUUCUUAGAUAGGUUAUCCAUUAGCUUUCCUUGAUUAGACACUAACUCUCUCAGAGGUGGAAAAUUAUUUUUAUUAUUAUUGUAAGAAUUGUUACCUUGAUAAUUACCUGAGUAGUUAGGCCUUUGUUGAUUCCAACCUUGAUUUUGUUGAGGACGGUUGUAGUAGUAGUAGUUGUUGUUGAUGAUGUAGUUCACAUCCUCAAGCAUCUCAGGGCAGUGAUUGCCUGAGUGUCCAGUAUCUCCACACUCCUCACAAGUCAUGUGAGAGUCGUAGAUGUGCAUAACUUUUUUCUUAUCUCCAGCUCUAUCAUCGAGCUUCUUCAUGAGCAGGUCUAGCUUUGCAGACAGCAUGUCUACCUCCUUGAGCUGAUGCAUACCUCCUCCUUUCUUGCGUGUCUGGGUUCUUUCUUCAUUCCAGCCUUGGUUGGACGCCAUCUUCUCCACAAGAGCUGUGGCUUGUGGUAUGGUGAGUGAUAGGAAUGCUCCUCCAGCUGCAGCAUCCAUGGUUUCUCGGGCACUGUUGCCGAGCCCAUGAUAAAACGUCUGCGUUAGUAGCCAGCUCUCCAUUCCAUGACGGGGACAUUCUAGGAUAUAGUCUUAGAAGCGCUUCCAUGGUUGUGGAACGGAUUCAUCAUGUUAUUGCUGAAAACUCGUAAUCUUUCCUUAGAGAGGAUUGGUCUUGCCCAUGGGAAAGAACUUAGCCAGAAAGUUCGUGGAGCAGAGUGCCCACGUAGUAUUCUUCUCCUUUGUAGCGUAGAACCACUGCUUCGCUCUCCCUAACAGUGAGAAUGGGAAGAGGCGAAGUAGUAUAGCAUCUCUGGGGACUCCUGAUAUGGUGAAUGUGCUGUUGGUCUUGCCCAUGGGGACUCCAGAAAGUGUUGGAGAUGAGCACUAGCAUCUUCGUGUGCUUCCCACAGAACUGGUUGGAUUGCACCAUGUUGAUAAGUCCAGGCUUGAGCUCAAAGUUACCAUCGAUCUCUGCAGUAGGUCCAGUGCGGAUGUUGUCCGUAGUGGGAGCUGAGAACUCACGGAUCGUUUUGUUCGCCAUGGGUUCGAACUCUAAAAAUAAGUUCCGGUGAUCUUCUUGAUUGGAUGAACCUUCUUGCUGAAGUGUUGAUGAUCUCUUCUUGAGCUUGGCUCUUGUUUUUCUGAAUAACACUUCGGGAUUGUCAACAAAAUUUUCUGGAAGAUGUCUUCUAUUCAUACAUUACCCUGCAUAAGAUAAAAUAGAAAAAUAUCAGGGUAAAACUGUAUGAGAGAAUUGAUAAGCUCAAUCAUAUUAGUGAUGCGAAUGAUGACUCUAAAUCCUAUAUUCAUUCCUGAUUAGUAAUCAACCUUCCCCGGCAACGGCGCCAAAAAUGCUUGUUGGACAUUCUUAACGUCACUACCAAAAGUAGACUUAGUUUUUUAAUUCUGAUAAUGGCGCCAAAAAUGCCAAACAUAUCCCUCAUGCCACUUAAGCCAAGUUGUCAUCCCCAGCAUGACAUGAGAGACGCGGUAUUGAAAUAUGCAAUUGCUCAUCUAAAUAAAUAAUAAAUGGGAUCUGCAAGCGCACAUAUUAACACCGAUGUAGCAUUUUAACCGGGAAGUAUUCCACGUAUCGUUAUUUAUAUUUUUACCACUGGGAAGGGAUUAGUAACCAUCAAUGUUGAUUAUAGAAUGUAAUAUAGAAUUGAGUAUCUAUCAUUGCAUGUAUAAUUGAGAACAUGUUGAUGCAAAACCUAGUCUGCAAACACAAAGGGCUAAUACCCGAUCCAAACGUUAAGGCGUGCCAGCCGAUUUGACCUUACUAUCGGCAAAGGUGGUAACUCGAAUACUUUAGUCCUGACAACAGCGAUGCGCCCGGAUGUCACGGCUAAGAGGUACUCACGCGGAACUGGAGGAUACGCCGAGCUUGAGUCGAUGAAUUCCUAAGAACUCGUAAUCAAAAAGAAAACGUAUGACGAAGUCGUCGAAAAGUAAAUGCUGGAAUAUGAGUAAAAACGUGUGUUUGAUUGAUUGAUAGAUGAUGUUGAUUACAAGGUCCUAGGGCUUAUAUUUAUACCCUGCUCAAAGAGCUACGACCAGACACGAUUAGAAUUCGAAUUCCAAAUUACACGGAACCCGUAUACAAAACGAUGCGAAUAACUAAGGAAAUAAUAAAACCAUCCUCCGUGACAAACCGAAAACUCCUCCACAUGACAACUGGCAGCUUCCGGACUCCUCCUUCGCAUCAUCGGCAAUCCCCUCGCCAUAGUCAUCGGCAGACCUUUUUACUUGGUCAUCGGCACCAUAUUACUGCCUGAGGACUUAGUCACAUUCAACCUUUCCCUCAUCGGCAACCAUCCUUAUCAGCAACCCGCAUCGUACUGCCACCCUAUUCUGCCAUCCUGGACACGUGCCCAAAAAUGGUGUCAACACAUGCCCCCCAGUUUCGGAGUAUAAAACUAUUAAUGCUCCGAAAUUCUCUGCAGUAAUGAUGUCUUCUCCGCAAUUAAUGCUCCUAAUCUGGUAACCGACAACCUCAAUCUGGACAACUCUGAUCCUAAUCCUCCGCAGAUCUCUCGAAAUCCCCAACUUCCUAAACGGGCAUCUCUUUUAGUCGUACAUCGGCAACAAUACCGUUACAAAGAUCUGCCGAUGCUCUGCCCAGGAGAUUCGCAAAAACGGUUACCUCCCCUCUAUCCGCCCAUCGGCAGGACGACCGUUAUAGAAUAUCACCGAUGGACCGACCAGGAGAUCGCGCACAGUAAAAUAUCUUUAGAUAAUGACCGCUUCCUGUCAAAUCACCUGCACAAUCCCUGGAUUAUCGUGCGAACAGUUACCAUAUCCACUUGAGUACCCUCGGGCCUCUCGGAUGCGGCAAAGAAAUAAGUCAGAUUUGCCCUUGUCCAUCUUGUCCUAUAAAUAGUUCCUUCUUGGGUACUCCUCCCCCAUUGCAUCAUUCCGCCAUCCAACUUCACUUUUCCAGCGGCGGCGCCAUUCUCAAUCCUCAAGAUCUCCGACAAGCAUUCUUCUUCAUCAACUCCGGCGCCCUCCAGCGUCCUCUUCACGACAAGAUGGCCGUUGGCUUCGUCGUCCCUGAGGUCAGACUUCCAUCUCAUCUGCUGUACCUUUUUCUUGCAUUCUUGUUCAUCUACGAUUCAUUCUCACCGAAUAUUUUCCUUUUCCUUUUUCUUCGCAUUUUUAUUCCCCAAAACACCAGGAGUUAUCCAACAAAAUUGUCAUCCCUACCGAUCAACCACAUCUUCAAUGCCUCGGCCCUCUAGGGGAUCCAGAUCCAACCGAUCUUAUCAAUGCAGAAACCAACAGGAUUCCCUUUAGAGCUGAAAACUUUGCUUUAGAUCUAUGGAAAGACACUUUUCGCUCUUGGCCCAGCCCUACUGUAGGGUGGAAAGACUGGUUCUUGAGGGUCAGCAACUCUUAUGAAGUUCAAUGGGGUGAGAGGAAAUUAGCUCAAUGCAUUAGGCUGUCCAUUGCCGAUAUGCACAGGAACGAGUCAUUGCUGAUAGCUGCAUCUUACUUUUGGUCAGACACCCUCAACGCUUUUGUUUUUGGCCACGGCCCUGCUUCUCCUACCCUUGCCGAUGUAGCCAUGCUUACUGGGUUAGAUAUAUCUUCUGCCGAUAGCACCCAUUUUUUUUGAUACCGCCCCCAGUGCCAAAGUGGAGACUCGCGCUAUCGGCGGUUGGUCAGGGUACAUCCAGAAGUACCGCGGGAGAGGACCUGUCACCAUAAAGGAGCAAACCACCUUUCUGAACAUGUGGCUAGACAAGUUUGUAUUCUGUGGUCGAUCGGCAGGACCGACUUCUGUCUAUCUAUCGGCAGCAGAAAGACUGGCUAGCGGCGGCCAAUUUCCUCUCGGCCGUUAUUUGCUCGGCGCUCUUUAUCACCUUCUUCAUCAGGUAGUCCAGAAACUCCUGCUUGGCCAACCUAUCGGCAACUUGGGAGGUCCUUGGUGGUUUAUUAAUAUGUGGCUCAAUCUGCACCUGCACAAGCGCCUUGAUCUCAACUUGUUCUCACAGCACUUCCCAAGAGAUAUAGCCGAGAAUCAUGUGCUGGGUGAAGAGGAAUCGGCAACACGUGCCCCCCUGAACUUUGGCGAAGCUGUUAUAGUCUUACCCGGUUCAGGGAACACUCCGGAUCAGAUCGGCCGAUUCUUCGAGACGCUGUAUGAAGGUCUGGCUAGAGAUGAACGACCAUGGCUGGCUUAUGACGACCCAGACAGCAUGCUCCCUCUGACCUUCAAUCCAUUUGAUGAAGCUAUUGACAGGGACAAUGAGGUGAUGAUGGCAAUCGUGACCCCCAGAGCCAUACCAGUGAAUUUCUUCGGCAGCACGAAAACCUCUCCCCAAACCUAUGAAUUUUAUAAUCCAUCGGCAUUAGCUCGCCAGCUAGCUUUCGGCCAAUUGCCGAUUGCACUUCCUUAUGCCGAUGUAAUAAAGCCCAGAGAGCCCAUCGCCAACCUCCUCGAGUGGACUCGAGUAGCCCAACUACUACCAAAUGCCGAUACGGAUGUAGACCUGUCAGAAUGGGUUCCAGCCGCCUUUAUCACUCAGGCAUACAAGCUAUGGUGGGCAGAAUGGAAAGAGAAUCUGUUCUGCAGAUCAGCCCUCUCAUACCGCGGCAUGAUCGACCCCGAAUAUGAAGUCCCUGAUGAUACUGUAAGUAUUUUAAACCGAUGUCUCAUUUUCCAAUAUCACUCCCAUCGGUAACUCACCCCUGUAUUCCUUUUGCAGAUUGACAACACCCCCCCAUCAGUUAGUAGGAGUGGCAAGCCGAUCGACUUAUUCCCAUCGGGCCCGAUCUCCUCAAUCGGCCAUAAUGCCCCCACUCUGGCUUCCAUCGUGCACAGGGGUGCGCGCCUCAAGAAAGUUACCACCAGGAAAACUCAGACAUCACCACCGGUAACUGCUUCCACUCUGGCACAAGCUUUCAAGGCAAUCUGUUAAAACCCUUUUUUCAUUUACGCUGACUUAUCUUUGUAUCGGCUAUCUGUACUUAUAAACUCCUUUUUGUUGUUGCAGCAAACUGGUGCAUCGGCAAAAGUCAAACGCCAAGGCGCCGAUGCUCCCCAGUCUAGCCAGCCAAAGAGGAAGGGCAUCCACGGUGCUAAGGCUGGAACAAAGCGCCAGAAAGUGGCAACUCCUCCUCCUCCUCCGGUGUUUCCAAUCCCUGUGGAAUCUUCCCCUUCUCCUCCAGACGUCCAGGCACAGCAAGUACUAUCUCCACAACCAACACAGGAAGCACCACAGAUGGAAGAACCCCAGCAGGAAGGACCUCAAACGGCAGUUAUAUCAGCUGAUGUAGGUGAACAAACAGCUGGCCCGGCAGGUGCAGUUACAUCAUCGGUGGUUUCCUCGAUUCAGGCAACUGUUGUUUCUCCUCCGGGUAACAUAUCUCAACAAUACUCCUACCUAUAAACUUAUUCUCAUUUAUUCUUAUAAUCUUUCCUGUCUUCUUUCAGGCGAUAUCGCUCUAUCGGCAACAUUUGCCGAUCAACCUGCAGCUCCAUCGGCCUCUCUGAGUCAAAGGCAAGAAAUCGCCUUGAAGCAAGUAAGUCAUCCACUUUUCCAUCAGUAUCGUCUGCCGAAGUCCUGACCAUAAAAUUGACCUACUUCAUUUUUAUUUUCAGGAACAAGAUUCUCCCAACAGCUUGUUCUCCUUCGCUAUUGAUAUCUUCGAAGAAGAAGGCGAGGAAGCAAGCUCCUCUCGGGCAGUUGGAAUUGUAUCGGCAGAAGCCAGAGCUAAGCUGGAGGAGCUAUCGGCCAUACUUCAUCAAGACACAACUCAACUGGUCAACGAUUCUGACCCAGCCAAAGCCCUGUUCAAGACCCUUAGAGGCCAAAUUCCUGCCGAUGCUGAAGAAACACUCUUCCAUGCUGCACAUCUAGAAAGCCGUCAGCUUCAGUACCAGAGAGCUACUCGACGCCUUGCCGAUAGAGCUGCUCAAAUCCAGCUUUCUGAGGAGAUGAUGAAAGAAAAACUCUUAGCCAAUGAGAAACAUAAGAACAUCGGCACCUUAAAAUCCUCAGGUGAUGCACUGAAGCAGAAAGUGUCUGAUCUAUCGGCAAAAAGAGAAGCUCUACUGGCUGAACUCAAGCAGGUAGAAGACGCUCUGUCCCAAGCUCAGCAAGAAGAGAGUCAGCUGCCGGAGACCAUCAAGCAUCUUGAACAAGAACGAAAUGUCCAUGGUCGCAAAGCGCUGCAACUGAAGAGGAAACUGAAGCCGAUCGAAGGUUCUGCCGAUGAUGAUAUCAAAGAGAUAGAGACAGCCAACCAAAUUCGGUUAACACAAUGCCGAUUCCUGCUCCCCGAUCACAGGUAGAUCCAUCAAAGAAGAGCGUCCAGGGUGCAAUUUCCAAGGUUUCCACUAGGCCGCAAUGUUGAGUCACCAAAUCGGCCAUAACCUGCCCUUUGACCGCCUUAGCCGAUUCGUAACGCAAAUCGAAUUCCGACAGCGCUAAAAUCCAUUUACCGAUCCUUCCACUCAUAAUCGGCAUAGAUAGCAUGUAUCGGACUACGUCAUCUUUGCAAAUAACAGCACAUUCGGCCGACAAUAGGUAAUGUCUUAGCUUGAUACAUGAAAAAUAUAAGCAUAAGCACAGCUUCUCGAUGGCCGAAUACCUGGCUUCAGCAUCAAUCAACCUCCUACUCAAAUAAUAAAUUACUCUCUCUUUCCCUUCAAACUCCUGAACCAAAGCUGAGCCGAUAACCGAUCCAUCGGUAGAUAAGUAUAAUUUGAAGGGUUUCCCUUGUUGAGGUGGAACUAAAACUGGAGGAUUUACUAGAUACUUUUUGAUUUCAUCUAGAGCCAACUGCUGUUCUUCUCCCCAAACAAACUCCUGAUCGGCUCUCAAUUUUAGAAGAGGACUGAAAGCACGAAUUCUCCCAGAUAAAUUCGAUAUAAAUCUUCUGAUAAAAUUCACUUUGCCGAUCAAAGAUUGGAGCUCGGUUUUAUUGGUAGGGGCCACUAUUUUAUUGAUGGCAUCAAUAGAUCUUCGACUAAUUUCAAUACCCCUCUGAUGUACCAUGAAACCAAGAAACUGUCCUGCCGAUACACCAAAUGCACACUUGUUGGGAUUCAUCUUCAAUCCAUGCUUCCUUGUGCACUCCAACACUCUUCGUAAAUCGGCAAGAUGCUUUGAGAAAUCUCCAGACUUGACCACCACAUCAUCAAUAUAAAUUUCUACGAUCUUGCCGAUGAACUCAUGAAAUAUAAAAUUCAUAGCCCUUUGAUAAGUAGCACCGGCAUUCCUUAACCCAAAAGUCAUGACUAUCCAUUCAAAUAGUCCAACAUGACCAGGACACCUGAAUGCGGUUUUUGGAAUAUCCUCUUCUGCCAUGAAUAUUUGAUUGUAACCCGCAUUACCAUCCAUGAAGCUGAUGACCCGAUGGCCAGCCGCAGCAUCAACCAGUAGAUCGGCGACAGGCAUUGGGUAUCCAUCCAUCGGCGUAGCUUUAUUGAGAUUCCUGAAAUCAAUGCACACCCGAAGCUUCCCGUUCUUCUUGUAAACCGGGACGACAUUGGAAAUCCAUUCGGCAUACCGACACUGCCGAAUAAACUUAGCUUCAAUAAGUUUAGUGAUUUCGGCCUUAAUAUCAGGUAGAAUGUUAGGAUUACAUCGGCGGGCUGGUUGCUGAUGUGGCCGAAAUCCAGACUUAAUGGGUAACCGAUGUUCAACAAUUGAUCGGUCUAAACCAGGCAUCUCUGUAUAAUCCCAAGCAAAGCAAUCUUUAUAUUCCUUUAACAAACUAGUUAAUUGCCGUUUACACUCAGGAUCUAGUUUAGCACUAAUAAAAGUAGGCCUAGGCUUAUCACCACUACCUAUAUCUACUUCUACCAAAUCAUCGGUCGAUGUGAAUCCCUGGCCUAAUUUUCCAUCAUCGGCGAAUCUAUCCAUUAAAAACCGUCGUCAGAACCGACUGCUUGGAUCGGUGGAAUCUCAUAAUCGGCAACUUUGAGAAAAUCUUUCUCCCAAACUUCUCCUGAAAUGCACCUAGUCUUUUCAUAAGUAUCCGCUUCUGCCGAUGCGAUAACAUAAGAAGAAUCCCCUGGGACGAUCUCAAUCUUGUCACCUACCCACUGAACCAAGCACUGAUGCAUUGUAGAUGGGACACAACAAUUGGCAUGAAUCCAAUCUCUCCCCAAUAAUAAAUUGUAGGCACCUUUUCCGCUGAUCACGAAAAAGGUUGUCGGCAAGGUUUUGCUGCCGAUGGUCAACUCCGCACAUAUCGCCCCCUUGACCGGAGACACGUUUCCCUCAAAGUCUUUGAGCAUCAUAUCGGUCUUGGUCAAAUCUUGAUCCCCUUUCCCAAGCUUCCGAUAUACUGCAUACGGCAUAAUAUUAAUAGCAGCCCCACCAUCAACUAGGAUCUUAGUCAUUGGCUGCCCAUCAACCCUUCCUUUGAGGAACAAAGCUUUAAGAUGCUGCCUCUCGUUAUCGGCAGGUUUCUCAAAGAUAGUCGUCAUUGGAUCCAGAGCCAACUGAGCUAUCUGAUCAGAAAAUCCCAACUCAUCGUCACUGGCUGGUGCAAGAAACUCCAUCGGCAACAUGAAUACCAUGUUGACGCCUGCCGAUGGACCUUCCUUCUUAGCGUCUGCCGGCUGCCGACUUUCAGAACUCUCUCCUUUAUUUAACUCCUCUUGCCUUUCUCGUUGCAACCUCCUUUUCUGUGUCUUGGUUAAUCCUUGAGGGCACCAUGGAGGAAGUGGCCUUUGCCUUACUGCCGGGCGUCGGUUCUCCCUUGACUCCGUACGAUGUGUGUUAGCAUCUCUGCAAAAUAUGAACUCAUCGAGAACCCGCGCAUUAGCCAUUUCCUCAAGCUCUUCCUGGUUCCUGGGAAAAUACUGGACACGGUCACCGAGCCGAUCGCGAACACUAAGCCUGCCCCCCAGCCGAUCAUGAACUGACGCCCUUCCUCUGAUUGGCCCAUUAAAUCACCGUUCAUCAUCAUGAUAACGCCGAUCGUUCCUAUCGUACCGAUCAUAACCGUUACAUUCAGGGCAGUCUCUGACAGUAGGAAGCUUGAUAUUUUCCUCCCAACAAUGGAUGAAGAAUGGGCAAUUCCAAUGAUCCCUGUGCCGAUUCCACUCCUGUCGGCGUCUUUCUUCUUCCCGUUGAUAAUCUUCCUGCUGGCGCCGAUAUCGAUCUUCCCGUUGUUGCCAUCUCUCUCGAGGCCUUCUAUGAGUUAUGACAAUACCAGACCGAGGAAGUCUUCCUGAGCUAGCUCCUUCCUGGACCAAGCCCUUACUUCUUGCAUCGGCGGUAGUAACUUGAUGCUGAGGAUCUACCGAUGCACUCUUCUCAGCUGUCUCCGACGUUAAGACCUUAGCCUUCCCCUUAGCGUCCAACAUGUUUGUCGGGAAAGGAUGUUGGUCUAUCUUCAUCGGCUUCUGGGCUUUAGAACUAUCAAACUUGAUUCUCCCCGACUCUAUAGCCGAUUGCAGCUGUUGUCUGAAUACUUUGCACUCGUUGGUGUCAUGUGAAGUUGCAUUAUGCCACUUGCAAUAUCUCAUCCUCUUCAACUCUUCUGCCGACGGGAUCACAUGGUUAGGUGACAGUUUGAUUUGACCUUCCUGAAGUAGAAAGUCAAAUAUCCUAUCGGCCUUGGCGGUGUCAAAGGCAAACUUCUCUGGUUCUUUCUGCCCAAAAGGACAAGACAUCGGCUUCUUGUUUUUUACCCACUCUGCCAAACCGAUUACUGGUUCCUCGUCGGAAUCUGAGCUUGUUGCUUCGUCAACAAAUGACACUUUCUUAUUCCAUGCCCUCUUAGGUUCGAAAGGCUUGAUGUCUUGAUCAGAUAUCCUCUGCACCAAAUGACUUAAACUCUCGAACUCUUGAGAUGCAUACUUAUCCCUGAUAUGUGGCAACAAACCCUGGAAAGCCAAAUCGGCUAGCUGCCGAUCAUCCAGAACCAGGCUAUAGCAUUUAUUCUUGACCUCUCGUAUCCUCUGCACAAAUCCCUCAACCGACUCAUCAUUACGUUGCCUCAACUUAACCAAGUCGGUAAUUUUCUUCUCAUGAACCCCCGAGAAGAAGUAUCUGUGGAAUUGCUUCUCUAGAUCGGCCCAAGUAAUUACUGAGUUGGGAGGUAACGAUAUGAACCAAGUAAAGGCCGAUCCAGACAGAGAUGACGAAAAUAGACGAACCCUUAAUUCGUCCCUGUUGCCAGCCUCUCCACAUUGAAUAAUGAACCUGUUGACAUGCUCCAUGGUUGACGUGUCGUCCUGUCCGGAAAACUUUGUAAAAUCUGGUACCUUGUACCGAUGUGGAAGCGGGAUCAAAUCAUACGCUGGAGGAUACGGUGUCCGAUAAGAAUAAGUGUUGACUUUGGGUUUUAUCCCAAAUUGUUCCCUCAUUACUUCAGCAAUCUUAUCGGCCCAAUAAGCAUCGGCAUCUUGCCGAUGAGGCGGCUGUGGAUCCGGCACUUGGUGGCGAACCUCCACGUGUCUGUUUGGGACGUGACCUGUAUGGAACAUCGUAUUGGUCACCUGUCCUCCAAUCUGCGGACUACCAAACUGCUGUCCACCGAUUGGCUGUCCUCCGAGUUGCUGUCCAAAAUUUAUUGGCUGGUUGGGAAUUCCCUGACCUUGGAACCCGGGAUAAACCUGCCCUUGCUGGAACCCCGUAGUCUGAUAACCCUGCUGGGGCGACUGUGGAAAGGCUUGCUGUCCAAGCCAUCCAUUAUUAGCGUUCAUCGGCAUGGGUGCUGCCGAUGAUUGGUAAUUGGGUAUCGUCGUUGAAUUGACAUACCCUGGCUGGGCCAUAGGCCUCUGUUGCAUCAGCAUUGACUCUGCCGAUGCGUUGGGCAUCUGGAACAUUGAAUCUUGAGGAUUUCCAGUGUGAGGCCUUGCAGUAGUGGUUGUGGUAUACCGAGGACUCUGGUUCACCGGCACAUUGGAAGGUGCCGAUGUCAUAGGAGUUUUGCCCCUCAUGUCAGUUAUUUGUGAUGUUCCUGGCGUCAACUCUGGAGGCAUACCAUAACCCCACCAGUUGGGAGGAAGAGUUAACCCCGACAUUGCCGAUGCCAACAUAUCUGUUGUCAGUUUAUGCUGCCCGACUGAAAUUUGUGGGUUGGUUGCCAUCGGCAUAGAUAGUGCACCAGUAGUCCCCAAUGUACUUGGAGGGACGGCAGACUGUACACUUGCACUCGUCAAGACAGCCGAUGGAGCCGUGACUUCUGGUGCCGUGGGCUGAUGAUGGGAAGGGCCCACAUAAUCCGGCGGGAUUUGUCCUUCCUUGAAGGUUCUUGCCACGGCGUUGAAAACCGUAUUAGACAGUACACCAGCUUGGUUGAUCAGCGCUCGAUUGAUAGCAUUGUCAACCAUGUCUUGAAGCUUGCCAGGAUUGGCGUCAAAAGUGACCUGCCGUGGUGCCGGCAGUGCAUCUUUCUGGACCACUUCGCCGCUCCUGUUUAUGCUAAAAGACUUCAGGCAUUGCUGCUUGAACUCUUCCAUGGCUUGGGCAAUAGCUUGCUUCUGCUCAUCCUUGAGGUUGGCUUCCGUCACGGGGAUGACGUUGUCUUGAUCGAGGUCAGAGAUCGACAUGCUGAUCUUGAUCUUGAAUCUGUCCCACUGGGCGUGCCAAAAGAUGUGUUGAUGCAAAACCUAGUCUGCAAACACAAAGGGCUAAUACCCGAUCCAAACGUUAAGGCGUGCCAGCCGAUUUGACCUUACUAUCGGCAAAGGUGGUAACUCGAAUACUUUAGUCCUGACAACAGCGAUGCGCCCGGAUGUCACGGCUAAGAGGUACUCACGCGGAACUUGAGGAUACGCCGAGCUUGAGUCGACGAAUUCCUAAGAACUCGUAAUCAAAAAGAAAACGUAUGACGAAGUCGUCGAAAAGUAAAUGCUGGAAUAUGAGUAAAAACGUGUGUUUGAUUGAUUGAUAGAUGAUGUUGAUUACAAGGUCCUAGGGCUUAUAUUUAUACCCUGCUUAAAGAGCUACGACCAGACACGAUUAGAAUUCGAAUUCCAAAUUACACGGAACCCGUAUACAAAACGAUGCGAAUAACUAAGGAAAUAAUAAAACCAUCCUCCGUGACAAACCGAAAACUCCUCCACAUGACAACUGGCAGCUUCCGGACUCCUCCUUCGCAUCAUCGGCAAUCCCCUCGCCAUAGUCAUCGGCAGACCUUUUUACUUGGUCAUCGGCACCAUAUUACUGCCUGAGGACUUAGUCACAUUCAACCUUUCCCUCAUCGGCAACCAUCCUUAUCAGCAACCCGCAUCGUACUGCCACCCUAUUCUGCCAUCCUGGACACGUGCCCAAAAAUGGUGUCAACAGAACAUUUAUCUAACUCUUUCAUACAGGGAUAAGUGUCACAUAAAGGAUAUAUAAAGUAAUGAAUGGUGACAAAGAUAAUUAAUCUGAUCAGCAUAACUUAGCCACAUAAUAAAUAUGAUAAGCACCUCAAUUUUAUAUUGUAGAAAGUCAUUAGCAUGGAAUUAGGAAGAACUACAAGAAUAUUUCCUAAGUUAUUCUUAACUAUAUAGUCUAGCAUAUCAUAGUUAGUGCAAUUAUACUUAGCAAUCAUUGUGAGACAAGAUUAUGCCCAUGCAUAGUGAUAUUAUCAAGGAAUAUGAGAAACAUAGCAAUCACUCCCCUGUAAUAAUGUUGCUCUACCAACCCAAUACACGAGAGGGGGACUAUAUAAGAAUCAAUGGAGCUGUCACUACCACGAACUACCCCGCGAUCUGGCAUAUAGGGUACAAUCGCAGAUAAAUACGAUAUAAGCACCACGCCUACACAAUAUCUAUCAUUUACCCAUGGAUCCGAUGGAUAAACGCUAUACGAUCCUAAACAUGUAUAUAAUUCCAAUCUAACUAAGCCAAGUAUAUAACUAUGAUAAACUAAGAACAAUAUAAUUGCGAAUAUAAACAAGUAGAGCAAAGUCAUAAUCAAUAUAUUGAAGUAGAACAAAGUCAUAUUCAUAAUAUCGAAGAACAAAGAUGAACAAUUGAAGAACAAUAGAGAAUUACCAAGAAUCCUCUUGACAGAUCCGGAAACCAAUCGAAGAUUGACUCCUUCUAGUUCUAAUCCUAUGUAGCUAUGCUAAUCUAGAUAUCUAAUUGAUGUGGUGGCUCUAGGCUUGAUCAGAGGCUUCUUCUCCCUUGAUGAAUAAUGAAUUAGGGUUGAGAGGUCCUCUCCUCCAGGGGCCAGGGGGUCUAGUUUUAUAGUCCUUCCAAGUGAAUAUGGGCCGUCGGAUCAAACCGACAUUGAUUGAACUGUUAUCCUUGAUCCUUUAGGUCGAUGGAGCGUAAUCCCGAAAGAGAGUCCUGAUUGGACUCCAGAGGGGGGCGGGCGCCCUGGUCCCUAGGGCGGGCGCCCUGGGCCAGGCCCCGUUCUACCUCCGCUUCGUUCCCGUGACUUCUGGAGUCUUCUAGAUGUAAGAUAAUUACGCGGCACGUUAAUAUCUCUAUGUAAUCCCGACGUGUGGGCCUUUCUUCCGUAUUUCCCGAUAACCCCCUGCAGAAAUAGACAAACACCAAAACUCGUGGAAUUCUGUCAGAUAAAACCCUAAGUGUGGAUGUUGAUUGCAUUUGGAUCCUUUUCUUUGUUUAUUUAAUAGUUAAAUUUGAUACUUAAGGACCGUCAACAGCCAUCGUCACCACCUGAGGCACCUGCUAGAGCUCCACCAACAUUCUUGCAACGUGCCAUUGCAAGAUCUCAAGUCAAGACUGCCAAACUACUUACAGAUAGAUGAUGAACUAACACUUUUGAGGCUUGGCCUCAAUCUGUACUCGCGGUCGCAGACUUGGCCCCAAGUUCAACUGCCACUAACAACCGAUCCCAAUGCGACUCACCCGCUGCAAUAGAUGGAAUAGAUGAGAUAUAUAUAAGCAAUUAUUACAUCUAGAUAAGUGAAACCCUAAUAGAAGAAAGCAUAGGAUAAGAGAUCAAGAAAGAGUUGGCUUACUGAAGGGUCGAGAUGGCGGACUAGAGGGGGGGUGAAUAGUCCUUUCUAAAACUUAUCGCACCGGCUAACCGAAACAAAUGCGGAAUUAAAACUAUCGGUCUAGCCAAGACUACACCCCUCUAUCUAAGUUCUCUAGCACCUUUAAAAGAUCCUAAACAAGCAAACAAGGUGCUACCUUAGCAAGAGCUCAUCUAACCAAUUCCAGGAGUAAGGUCACACAAACCUAGGCCAGUAGUACUUUGCAAACCGGGGAGCUCCUACACAACUAGUAAGCAAAAGCACAAAGCUCCUAAGCUCACUAGCAAUGCUCAAUAACAAGGCAACCAAUGCCAAAUUAGAGAGCGCAAGUUACUUAGCUACACAAACUAAGCAAUAUGACUAACAAGGUUACACAAACCAAAUUAGUCACGCAAAGGGACUACUUCUAGCUACACAAGCAAGAAGGUAACUAGCAAGCUACACAAGCUAACUAAUAACAAGAGCAACUACACAAGCACAAAUAAAUGAAUGUAAAAACAAGCUUGUGUUAGGGACUUGCAAACCAACGGGAAGAACAAAGUUGACACGAUGAUUUUCUCCCGAGGUUCACUUGGUUGCCACCAAGCUACGUCUCCGUUGUGUCGACCAACACUUGGUGGUUCGGCGGCUAAGAGGUGUUACACGAACUUCGUCCCCACUAGGACACCGCAAGAACCUACCCACAAGUGAGGUAGCUCAAUGACACACACGAUCCAAUAAAGUUGCUCUUCGCGAUCCCCGCGGGGUGAGCACCGUACCCCUCACAAUCUCUUCUCUAGAGCACCGCACAAUCUCCUUACAUGCUUCGACGGAGUCACAAGCCACCAAGUCGUCUAGGAGGUGGAAACCUCUAAGAGUAACAAGCACCACUAGCUUGCAACACGAACACCUAGUGCCACUCGAUGCAAUCUCUCAAUGCAAUGCACUAGAAUCACUCACUCACACAAUCGGAUGAUCACUAUCAAGCAUAUGUGAGUUAGAGGCUUUACUAGCACUCUCCAAGCAUGGACACUAAGUCCCAAGGGUGCUCAGCACUAGCCAAGGCCGGCCACCACUUCUAUUUAUAGCUCCAAGGGCUAAACUAGCCGUUACCCUUCACUGGGCAAAAGUCGACCACACCGGAAGCGUCCGGUAUUGACUAGACCAGCGUCCGGUGCUUCUGACCGGUAGAAAACUAGUCGUUGCCUUCAACGCUGACAAGGCAUCAGACUCUCUCUUUUGAAUGCACCGGACGAUCUCAAGAGGGACCAGACAAAAACACAGAGAGCUUCGCAAAGCAACACAGCACCGGACGCACAACUCGGACGCGUCCGGUGUGCACCGGUCCUAAACUUAGAGAGCUCUGAAAAAGAGUUUGCACCGGACGCUAACUCGGACGCGUCCGGUGUCACAUCGGACGCGUUCAGUGUUCACCAGACGCAAACUCAGAGAGCUACUCGAGAUAGCGUCUUCUCCGGACGAUUUACACCGGACUCAACACAGAGAGUCCGGUAAAAUUGAGCUCACACCGGAUGCUAAACUCGGACACGUCUGACCUCAUACCGGACGCAUCCGGCCUCACAUUGGACGUGUUCGGCCUAUACGCGCUGCACGAAACGAUCUUCAACUUCUUCCCUUGCUUCCAUGUGCCAACACCAAAGUGUCACAACACUUGUGCAAGUGUGUUAGCAUUUUCACAAAUAUUUUUCCAAGGGAGUUAGCCUUUCAAACUUGCCACGCCACUCGAUCCUAACACGUAUGCAAAGUUAGAUCGCUCAAGUGGCACUAGAUGACCGAUAUGCAAACAAUUUUGCCCCUCUUGAUAGUACGGCCAUCUAUCCUAAAUCCGGUCAUCAUCUUCUCUACACACCUAUGACCGGUGAAAUAGAAAAGCCCUAGGUUAUACCUUUGCCUUGCGCUUUCCAUUCCAACUCCUCCAAUGUUGAUGCAACACAUGCAUAAACCAAUCACCAAAUGAUAUGAUCCACUUCAUAUCAUCACGUGACCGUAUUGGUUCAUUGAUCUUGACCUCACUUGCUCUUCACUGUUGCCUCAGUCCAUUAGCGCCAAAUUUUGCUCAAGCUUCACCGUCACAUGCGGUCCCUCGCUUCAAAGCCUCCGACUUGCCCUUCACUCUUGCAACCGGUCCAUCGAGCUAAGCCUCAUCUUGAUCUUCUCCACCUUGGUCACAUGACUCCAUGUCAUGUCUCAUAUGCAAUGAGCUCCUCCAUCAUCACAUCAUCACCUGUGGACUAAUCUCUUGUGUAUCUCACAUAAACACUAUUAGUCCACCUAAGUUGUCACUUAAUUACCAAAACCAAACAAGGACCUUUCACUUACUACCUUAGUUGAGAGACAAUCCUUGUGAAAAGAGGAGAUACGACGUCAACAGGGCACAAGAAGUUUCAUGCCAAGUCACUGCAAACAAGAAUCGAAUGAAAACAGUGUUAAAACGACGUUCUAAAUGGUUCGAGAACUCUAUCGAACACCUAGCGUGCGUGGAACUCAAGAUUUUACCCUAAACCCUAACUGUGGCGUGAAAGGAGGUGCCUUGCUGUGCGUGCAUGGAGAAGGACUCGACGACGGUGGAGGAGGAAGGACACACGCGUGAGGAGGACUAGCCGAACGGCGGCGUGGUGCUGGCGGCGGCGGAUCGACGCAGAGGGUACGACGAGUCAUGGUGAGAAGAUCGCGAAGGACAGACUGACCCAAUGGUUGGUUUUAUCUGAACUUAUAUCAACCCUCGCAGACACACCAGACAUGCUUAAGUGAGCACCGGACUUGUACGUAGGGAGGAGGUUUUUCGCGCAAGGUCACCGGACACGGUCCACCAGACGCUCUCCUGUGUCCGAUGUCGCGGGCGCUUCUAUAGAGGCACACCGGAAGCACAUCACUGAACUCACUCACAUUACUAUGCAUGGGUCUAGUGUGUACACCCCAGCAAGUAACACUCACCAAACGCACAGAGCGUGUCCGAUGCUGCGUCCGGUGCAUCACCGACUUCAAAUUUUCAACGAGACUUCGCGGCACCUUCACUCAACCAAGUUCCAACUCAAAGAAGAGCCAAAUAAACACCAAUUGGAACUGUUAUGAGUGUUCUCUCUCAAACUCCCAAAUUUUCACAAGUAAUUUGUCAUAGGCUAUGUAGUUUUUAAGAAAAUAGGCGAGAGAAAACACCGAUGAGACAUCAUGUGGCCAUUGGCUAGGGGACUUAACCAAGAUGAGCGUAGAAUGCUCCCCAUAUCAAUGGACGAACACAACAGAUGCUCAAUGCUUAAUCGAAAAGAAAUGACAAAGCAAAAACCAUGCAUAUGCUAUGCAAUGCAAUGCAAUGCAAUACUUGAAAGUAAACUAAUGCUUGUCAAGUUUGAUUCAAGGUUAAGCUUUUUGACACGCUUUAUGGGUGGUUAUCUUAACCAUGUUAGACAAGCCCUACAUGCAUCCUUUUUGGAUUUUUAGUAAAGCAUGACAUAUGAUACAAAUGCUAUGUACAAGGACAACACACAAACUCAUUUUUAAUGAAGUUAGAGAGAUCAAGCACAUUGAGUUCAUUUCACAACAUACAAAACCUAGCUUCAUCUAGUGGUUUUGUAAAGAUAUCCACCAAUUGAUCAUCUGUCCCCACAUUCUCUAGUGAUAUGUCACCCUUGGCAACAUGAUCUCUAAGGAAGUGAUGACAGAUGUCUAUGUGUUUAGUGCGGGUGUGUUGAACCGGGUUGUUUGCAAGUUUUACAGCACUUUCAUUGUCACACAACAAAGGUACUUUGUCUAAAACUACUCUAUAGUCUAGUAAAGUUUGUUUCAUAUAAAGAAUUUGUGCACAACAAGCACCGGUGGCAAUGUAUUCCGCUUUGGCCGUUGAUAAAGCAACACUAUUUUGUUUCUUUGACAUCCAAGAUACUAGUGAUCUCCCUAAGAAGUGGCACCCUCUAGAUGUGCUCUUUCUAUCAAUGCGGCACCCGAUAUAAUCCGAGUCAGAAUAGCCUACAAGUUGGAUUAUUGCACCUUUGGGACACCACAAGCCUAGGUAGGAUGUGUAUUUUAGAUACGUAAGAAUUCUCUUAACCACAAUCAAGUGAGAUUCCAUAGGCAUAGCUUAAAAUCUAGCACACAUACACAUACUAAACAUGAUAUCGGGCCUAGUUGCGGUGAGGUAAAGUAAACUAUCUAUCAUAGAACGAUAGAGAGUUUUGUCAAUCGUGUUACCUCCCUCAUCUAUAUCGAGAUGCUGUCGACGAAAGCUGGUCGGCAGUCUACCUUGGGGUAUACCCACGGUAGUAGUUUAUCGGUAGACGGUGCGCAAACUACGAACUCGAUGGUGACGCAAGACACGGACAAGCUUUUUAUCCAGGUUCGGCCGCCGAGUUGGCGUAAUACCUACGUCCUGCGUCUGGUUGUAUUGGAUUGUGUUGAGAGAUAAUCUGUCCUAGGGGGGUCCCUUGCCCCUCCUUAUAUAGUCUGGAGGGCAGGGUUACAGAUCUAGAAACUAAUCCUAGCCGGUUACAAUUGCCAUAGAUAAUUCGAUAUCAAUUCCUAUUCUAACCGACUAGAAUCCUGCUUGAUCUCCACGUCUUGUUUCCUUGCGCGAAACUCGGGCUGUCGGAUCAAGCCUUGAACUCGUCUCGUAGUGGGCCAAGCUUCCUGGCUGAAGUCUAGCCGUAAGGGUAUAGGGGUUUAUACCCCCACAGCUAGUCCCCGAGCGCCAUGUAUUGUGAUGCAACACGCCGUCUUGAGCUUCUUCGAUCAGCGUGGCCUGUCGUCUUCAAUGAGCGAGGAAAUCGCCCAAACGGUUCAUUGAUCAACGUUGUCAUCGAAGAAGCAGGUUGUUCGAAGAAUGCAUGGUGCUCUAAAAAAAUUUCUUUCCUGGUGAAGUGUGCCCACUUUGCCCUUCUUGAAAGGCUGCAGCAUCCAAAAAAGGCAAGCAAAUUCACCGCCAGGUGAAGUGUGCCCACUUAGUCCCCGAGCCUGGUAGUAGGUGACGUAGGCACGUGGUGCCAGGGUCAAGAGAAAAUUCCCCAAAGUAGUUUUGAGACUGAGAUGCAUCGCUAGAUGCAUCGUACCGAUGUAGUCCCCGAGCUUGCUGGAAGGCGAAGUAUGAGCCUUGUAGCAAGGUCUAAAAAAUUGAAUUUAACAGUCCCCGAGCAUGUCAUGCUCAUCUGCAAUCGAAAAGACCAAUCGACCAGUCCCCAGGCACUUAGUGCGCUGCCUGGAAUUAUAUGUUUCUAUACUACACGACCAGUCCCCGAGCGUCGAGUGCUCGGUGGUCGGUGCAUGCUUUAAAGCUUUGAGCUGAUAGACUGAGCGACCCGUCCCCGUGCGUCGAGUGCUCGGUGGUCGGUGCAGUCCUUGAGGUUCCGAGCUGAUGGACUGGGCGACCAGUCCCCGAGCGUUGAGUGCUCGGUGGUCGGUGCAGUCCUUGAAGUUCCGAGCUGGUUGACUGGGCGACCAGUCCCCGAGCGUCGAGUGCUCGGUGGUCGGUGCAGUCUUUGAAAUUCCGAGCUGGUUGACUGGGCGACCAGUCCCCGAGCGUCGAGUGCUCGGUGGUCGGUGCAGUCUUUGAAAUUCCGAGCUGGUUGACUGGGCGACCAGUCCCCGAGCGUUGAGUGCUCGGUGGUCGGUGCAGUCCCCGGACUGCUUACUCACUGGCGUAUGUGUCUUCUUACUUUUGAAAAAAUCUUUCUCAUUAAAGUUGACAUGACGGGGUCUCCUGACGAUAUGUCAGACGGAUGCAUAAAAAGCCGCACCUGGCAACUGUACAACCGCUCUUUGCAUGGUUUGAGAAAAGGAAACCAUCAAUUGGUACGAAAACUCCGCCGCAUUAAUUGCCUAUAAUCAUUGUAAACCGAAACGCCGCGUCCGCCGCAUGGCCUGCCCACUUCCCGAGAAUACAGGAAGUGGGAGAGGUGGGGUCGCGGGUUUAUAAGGGCCUAAUAGGACCGCCUGUACCGCUUCUCCUGCCAUUGCCUUCAAGUCUUCCGCUCUCAUCUUCUCCAAUCUCCUGCAUUUUCCUAGCUCCAGCUCACAUUCGCACCUCUAAUGGCGAAGAGCGAUUCCAGGAAGAGGGCCGAGUUGAUGGCCAAGGAGUGGAAAAAGUCUCGCAGCACCACAAAGUCUCUUGGCGACCUCGUCGACAUGGGGCUUCUGCACGGCGCAGAGCUCGGCGGCUGGAGGGCGCCGGAAGGGGAGAGCUACCCCGACCCUCGCGCCGGUGAGAUCGUCGCUUUUGAGGAUUUCGUCAAGAGAGGCUUUGGUGUUCCUGUUCAUCCCUUUCUUCAAGGUCUUCUUUUGUACUAUGAGAUCGGGAUUUGCAAUCUGCACCCGAACUCGAUUCUCCUUAUUUCCACUUUCAUCCAUCUGUGCGAGGCCUAUGUUGGCAUAGAGCCGCACUUUGAUCUUUUCCGGUACCUUUUCUGUCUGAGGAAGAAGGGAGCAGUUGGAGGCUCCAAGGUUGCAGGUGGAGUAUACCUCAACCUUCGUGAUGGGAUGAAGAAUCGCUACCUGCACUGCCCAUGGAACACCUCCUUGACCGAAUGGUACAGGAAGUGGUUCUACGUCAGGGAGGAACCGGGCAGCUCCACGUUCUGCGACGUGGGGUACGUUCCCGAGAAGAGGGCGAGCUGGACUGACCGCCCAGAGUUCGACGGUCAAGUGGCGGAUCUGAUGAAGCUGAUCGACUGGUCGCGCCUGGAUGGGCUUAGCGUGGUCGGCAACUUCAUUUGCCGCCGAGUGAUGCCCUGCCAGAAGAGGGUGCACUCGGCGUAUGAGUAUGCCGGAAGCACAGACCCGACCAGGAUGCGGUCGGAGAUCCUGGAGAAGGCGGAGGUUCAACAGCUGCUGAACGAGCUGUUUAACUUCGCGGAUGGGGGCUUCACCCGUAGCAGUGAUCGGGUGCAAGCCUUCAAGUUAGGACGACCAGCACCAAAGGUAUGUAGCAGACUCCGUUUGAUCAUUCGUAUGUCGUCUGUAGUUGGCUCAUCUCUGUUACUUUUGCAGGUCGGUGAUGUCGACCGGUGCAUAGUGUUCGUAUCACUGGCACCGGGGAUGGAAGAUCCUGUGGGAGAGGUCCCGCCAGAGGAAGACCGAGCCCGCCCCGUCCCGACCUCCGAGGAGAGGGUGGCGGGGAAAAGGCCAUUGCCGGUGGAUCCCCUGCCGACGCCGGAGCUGCCGGCAGACCUACCGGCGGAGAGCAGCCAAGCGCCGAAGCGUCGUCGGCUCGUGCGGAUCGUCGUCGACGACGACGACGACGAGGAGGCUGCGCCGUCGUUGGUCCGACGGCCUCGGGGCCACCCAGACGCUGCACCGGUCACCACUGAUCGAGUGGCCAGCGGCGCAGCUGCCCCGCAAGUUGCCGAGGUGGGGGCACGGGCGCCGACCGGCCGAGCGAGGAGGAGGUUCACCGCGACCCAUCGGCGGUCGGACCUGUAAGUGUUCAACUUACGUAUUUUGGAUUUUUUUUUUUUAACUUUUGUUCCUGUAGUGCGGCGUCGGAUGUCGACCCUGGCCAAACUGCCGGCCAGGGAACGGGCGAGCCUGCCCGCGGUUCUGGGGAUGCGGCCCCCCAGACCACAGAACAGCCGACUGCUGCAGUCGCGCCUGGGAGCGCCGAGGAGCUCCCGAGCGCGGCGCCGACUACAACAAGCAGCCCGACCAGGGCUGGGGAGGCUCCCCCAACUGACUCCUCGGAGAAGGGAAGGUCUCCGACCGCUCCUCCUGCCGGGGGGAGUGAAGUCCCCCCGCCGCCCCGAGCAGGAACCUCUCCGGCUGCGGGCUCCCCAGGUCUGGUCCCAGGGACGGUGACGCCUGGGACCACCACCGGGGGUGACGCAGCCCAGGAGGAGGAAACCAGGGUGGCCUCCGACGACGAGGUAGAAGAGAUCGAGGGUCGUCCCCGUGAUGGCCGCCAACACGUGUAUGUGUGGCGCCAACGCGGGGAUCACUUUAUCGGUCAUGAGGAGCUUGCCGAGUCCGAAGAGGCCGCCAGGGUGGAGCGCGCGGCCAAGCGCCUUGUCGACGAAGUCAAGGUAAGCGGCGUUUUGAGCUGCCGCGCAUUCCUUUGCCUUGUCUUUUGCGCAUUGUUAUAUGCUUGCUUUGUAGGACGUUAUGAAAACGGCGAAGUACCGGAAACGGUGCUUUGACCAGAUAGAAGGCGUCAUGGCCGAGAACAAGGCCCUUGCCGCGGAGGUAGACCGGUUGCGGGCGGAGGUCGGAGAGAAGGUGGUCGAGAUGAGCACCGAAAAGGAGCGUCGUCUCGACCUCGCUCGUCGCCUGGCCGACCAGUACCGGCUGCAGGAAGGUUAGUCACACGCUCCGAGCAGUUUCGCAUACUUGCAUAGUUUGCUUCGCUGACCAGUUUAGGAUUCACGCAGACUUGGAGGAGGAGGUGGCGAGCCUCCAACAAGAGAAAGAGCAGCUCGGCCAACAGCUCUCCAGUGCACAGGAGUCCGGACGGCGAGCGGAAGAGGAAUUAAGUCGAAAAGAUCGGGAGUUAGCUGGUAAUGGGUGCCGCCUUGUUGGUUGCUACCUGCCCCUUUGCUUGUCUGGUAUGCCGAAAGUAACGUUUCGUUUUGUUUGCAGUGCUCAAGGUGAACACCAAAAAACACCUGGAUGAGCUGGUCAAGGACCGGGACUCCUGGAAGGUCAACUGUUGCAGGAUCUGGAAUGGAGUGUCCCCGGUCCUGGACCUGAUCAGUCCCGAGCUCCCGGAGAGCCAGCCCCGCGCGCCGCAGUUGACCCCGGUCCAAAAGGCGCAACGGGCGUGGGACUGGCUCCAGCAGUUUGUGAAGGACGCCGGGGAGUUUGCCGGCGCGCACGUCCUUAGCAUGGUACGCGCCCACUACCCCCUGGUCGACUUGAGCAGGCUGGAGAAGGGGUACCCGAAGGAAGUCGGCCCACAGGAAGCGGACGAACUUCGGGGUAGUCUGCUGGACUUGUCAUCGACAGUGAUCGGCGACAUCAACCUGUGCGGAACAGCCACUCCUCCAGACCAGCCGAGCUCAGAUAGGUCGGCCAGGGAGUUGUCGGGCGCGUCCUUUGCUGGAGAUGGGCGGUCGACGCCUGCGGUCUCGACCAGCCAGGCGCCGGUGGCCCCGACCCCUUCGUCCGGGCAGCAGGGCCAGGCGGGUGAUCAGCCCGAGCAGCUAGGCCAAUAAAGUAGUCUGUAGGAAUAGACUAGUAUCUGCCCGUCAGGGUAUUUAUUGUAAACUUUGUAUGUAAAGUUUGUAAUAAAGUUUUCUUUUUGUCAUGAGUGUUGUUUUGAGCGCUGUAAAAAUAUCUGAGUGACGUGUCACCGUAUUUGUCUUGGUUGUCGCCAAGAGCAUCCAUUGCAGGAGUUUUGCCGAGUGCUGUGUAUGACAAGGUACAGAGAAUUUUAUUGUCAAAAAUUAUAAGAUACUUACAAAAGAAAGUCGUUAAAACUUUAUGGAUAGAAACGUCGCAGUUUGUCGAUGUGCCAAGAGUUAGGUACUCGUGUUCCGUCUGGGUAUGCCAAUCUGUAGGACGUAGGUCGUGUGACCUCGGUCACCACGAAGGGUCCUUCCCAGGGAGUAGAUAACUUGUGCAUUCCCUCCUGGCUUGUUUUCCAUCGAAGCACCAGAUCACCGACCACGAAGGAACGGUCCUUGACGUUCCUGUUGUAGUAUCGCCUGACUGCCGCGAGAUAUUUUGCUGUUUGGAGACAUGAAACUAAACGCUUUUCCUCCAUGCAAUUGAUUUCGAGUUCUCUGGCGUUGUCAGCGGUCGCCUGGUCGAAGUGCUCGAUUCUAGGAGAUCCGAAGUGUAUGUCGGACGGCAAAACCGCCUCCGCGCCGUACACCAUGAAAUAGGGAGACACCCCUGUGUUUCGACUGGUCUGAGUUCGGAGGCCCCAGACCACUGCCGGCAAUUCUUUCAUCCAUCGACCGGGUGCUCUGUCGUUCUCGGUGUACAGUCUUUUCUUUAGGGCGUCGACGAUCAUUCCGUUAGCUCGUUCGACUUGACCGUUGGCACGUGGAUGUGCCACUGACACAUAUUUUAUGACUAUGCCUCUGUCAUCGCAGAAAUCCCAAAAAGUGGUGCCAGUAAACUGAGUGCCCAGGUCGGUGAUUAUGCUGUUCGGGACGCCGAAUCUGUGUAUGAUUUGAUUGAGGAACUCCACAGCCUUCUCGGAAGUUGCCUUGACCAGGGGCAUGUAUUCAAUCCACUUGGAGAACUUGUCGAUUAACACGAAAACAAACUUGAAGUUGCCCGGAGCUGGUUUAAAUGGUCCGAUCAUGUCAAGCCCCCAGCAAGCAAAGGGCCAAGACGACGGGAUGGUUUGAAUUUCAUGGGCAGGUACGUGGGUCCUCUUAGCGAAAAACUGACAUCCUUCGCAAUGCCGAACCAGUUUUUCUGCGUCGCUGACCGCGGUUGGCCAAUAAAAACCUGCUCGGAAAGCCUUACCGACCAGCGUUCUAGAUGCGGCGUGAUUGCCGCAGGAUCUGGCGUGUAUGUCCUCCAAGAGCUUGAUACCAUCGUCUUGGGGUAUGCACUUGAGCAGUACCUCGGAGCUUGCGUUUUUCCGCAUGAGUUUUCCGUCGACCAGAAUGUAGUUCUUUGAUCGUCGGAUGAGACGCUCGUUCUCUGUUUUGUCCUGAAAACCUGUCCCGUCUGAGAUGUAUUUGAUGAACGGGAUACGCCAGUCGCGCCCACCGGUUGUCGGAGUGGCGUCAUCUAUGAGCAUUGCCUCGGUGGGUUGCUUGUCGACCAGAGGGGAGCUUACGCUCGGCUCACGGAUGUCCUGGACGAAAAUACCGCGCGGGAUUUGGGCCCGAGACGAGCCUAACUUUGACAACGCAUCUGCUGCUUGGUUCUUAUCCCGGACCACGUGGAUGUACUCUAUGCCAUAGAAGUUAGUUUCCCAUUUGCGAAUUUCUUUGCAGUAGAGAUCCAUCUUCUCGUGGGUUGCGUCCCACUCCUUGUUGAGCUGGUUGAUGACCAAAGCGGAGUCCCCGUAGACAUAGAGGCGCUUAACCCCCAGCUCAACGGCUAGUCGUACGCCAUGUAAGCAAGCUUCGUAUUCGGCGACAUUGUUUGACGCCGGAAAAAGGAUCCGAAGGACGUAGCGGAGUUUGUCCUUGUUUGGUGAUACGAACAAUAUCCCAGCGCCUGCACCGUUGAUGUUCAAGGACCCAUCAAAGAACAUUGACCAGUGGUCUGAGACAUCGGGAACGGACGGUUCGUUGAGAUCCGUCCAUUCGGCAAUGAAAUCGACCAGGGCUUGGGACUUGACAGUGGUGCGACUCUGAAACUCCAGGGAAAAUGGACAUAGUUCCAUUGCCCAUUUCACGAUUCUGCCAUUGGCGUCUUUAUUGCGCAGGAUGUCACCGAGGGGAAAGCUGGUUGUUACCAGGACUCGAUGGCCGUCGAAGUAGUGCUUCAGUUUUCUUGAUGUUAUCAGGAUGGCGUAUAUAAGCUUCUGUAUUUGUGGGUACCUGGCCUUGGAUUCGUUUAAAACUUCGCUUAUGAAGUAAACGGGCCUCUGGACCUUGAAGACGUGACCUAGUUCAUCUCGCUCGACCACUAUUGUCGUGGAAACAACUCUGUCGGUUGCAGCAAUGUAAAGGAGCAGGUCUUCAUUGGGCUGAGGCGCUGUGAGAACAGGCGGUGAAGUGAGGAAGGUCUUAAGCUGAGUGAACGCAGCGUCGGCGUCCUCUGUCCAGGAGAAUUUUUCUGACGCUUUCAAUAGUUUGAAAAAGGGGAGGCCUUUUUCUCCCAGCCUUGAGAUGAAACGACUGAGGGCGGCCAUGCAUCCGGUUAGCUUCUGAAUAUCCUUGACGUUCUUCGGUGGUCGCAUGUCGAGUACGGCUUUGACUUUUGAAGGGUUUGGUCGUAUGCCGUCGCAACUGACGACGUUGCCGAGCAGUAGACCGGAAGGAACGUCGAAGAUGCAUUUCUUGGGGUUGAGCUUCCACUUGUACCUAUUGAGAGCCUUGAAGGUUCGGUCUAAGUUGUCGAUUAGGGUGCUCGCAUCCCUUGUUUUUACGACCACGUCGUCCACAUAGGCCUCGACGAGGUCGUCGCGAAUCUCGUCGUGGAGGCAUUGCUGGAUGGCCCUUUGAUAAGUGGCCCCGGCGUUUUUAAGUCCGAAAGACAUGGUAGUGUAACAGUAUGCGCCGAAAGGUGUGAUGAAGGAUGUUUUGAUCUGAUCUUCUUCUUUUAACGAGAUCUGGUGAUAACCAGAGUAGCAAUCUAGAAAGGAGAGGAGUUCGCAUCCGGCCGUUGAGUCGACCACCUCGUCGAUGCGAGGAAGACCAAAAGGAUCUUUAGGACAGUGUUUGUUGAGAUCGGUGUAAUCAACGCACAUUCUCCAUUCAUUAUUCUUUUUGCGUACAAGAACCGGAUUGGCGAGCCAAUCGGGAUGAUACACCUCUUUUAUGAAUCCGGCUGCUAGAAGCCGUGUUAUUUCUGUCCUAAUAGCCUCCUUUUUGUCACGAGCGAACCGUCGCAGUUUUUGCUUGAUUGGUCUUGCGGUCUUCGAGACGUUUAAGGAGUGCUCGAUCAGGUUUCGUGGGACGCCGGGCAUGUCUGCGGGUUUCCAUGCGAAAACGCUCAAGUUGUCCCUUAGAAACCUGACGAGCGCGUCUUCCUAUUUUGGAUCCAGGUUAGCCCCGAUGAGGGCUGUCUUCUCGGGGUUGCCCUCGACCAGCUGCACUUCUUUGUACUCCUUGGAUUUCGAAUUCUUUCUGGCUGUCUCCUGCUCAGGUAAUCGGAGCUGGUCGGGGGGCAGCUGUGCGGCUUGGUUUGCUGUUUCCGCCAUGCGGAUUGAGAGGUCAAUUGCCUCGGUGAUCUUGAAACUUUCUUCUUCGCAGGUGUAUGCAGUGUAGACGUUGCCUCUGACGGUCAGGACACCUUUCUCCGUGGGCAUCUUAAGCACUAGGUAUGAGUAGUGCGGGACUGCCAUGAACUUUGUCAGAGAUGGGCGGCCCAGUAUGGCGUGGUAGGUCCCGUCGAAGUCCGCGACUACGAAGUUGAUGAACUCCGUCCGGAAGUGAUCGGGUGUGCCGAAUUGGACAGGCAAUGUUAUCUGUCCGAGGGGAACCGAACUUUGACCUGGCAGGACCCCCCAGAAUUGGGCGUCGUAAGGUUUUAGUUGCGCCGGUGAUAUCUUGAGGGCGGGCAGGCUGUUGCGGAAGAGGAUGUCAAUGGAGCUUCCCUCGUCCACGAGCACGCGCUCGAAUCUGAUGCUAUUGAUGCAGGGAUCAAGAAUCAGUGGGAAACGACCCGGCUCUGGGAUAGCGGCCCACUGGUCCUUCCUGCUGAAUGCGAUCUCCCUGUGGGACCAGGCGGGAAAUUUCGGAUCUGCGAUCAGCCCGUCCGUGCUGUCUAUGUUGAGGCAGGCUCUCUUCAACAGCUUUCUUUCUCGCUUGGACUCAGUGGAGACCUUGCCCCCGAAAAUGGAGUGGACCACGUCGGUGGGGCUGACGUAUUGGUGUCGGGGGUCCCUGUCUUGGUCUUCAUCCUCAUCUUCGUGGUCGUGCCCGUCGCGUUUGUUACUUUUCUUGGCGGUGUCUUCUUGAGCGGCCCGCCGUGUAUAAAUAUUUUUGAGGACGCGGCACUCUUCCAUGGUAUGGUUAGACUUUGGGUGUAGCUGGCACGGUCCCUUCAACGUUUUGUUGUAGUCGUCUUGGUAGUCCCGUCGUCCAUUGGGACGUUUGACCGUGUUUACUUCGUGGUCGUAUUCGCGAGGGCGCUUUCCUCUGAAGUCGUCGCGGCUGUCGCGCCGCCGAUCCCAACCCUCUCGGUGAUCGCGGUUGUCGGAGCGACGGUGAUUUCUGUUGUCGUAGCGGCCACGACCGUCAUCUCGCCGGGAGGGCUGGUCGGUGCCUCUCGCAUCGUCUCGGAUUAGUUUUUCUGCGUCAUCAGCGUCGGCAUAGUUUUUAGCCGUGGCGAGGAGCUCUGCUACCGUUGAUGGACGCUUACGCAACAGCUUGUUCCUCAGUGCUUCAUGGAAACGUAAGCCCUUGAUAAAGGCUGAUAUGGCCUCGUCAUGAGAAAUCUUCGGGAUUUUGAGACGCAUAUCCGAGAAUCGUCGGAUGUAAUCGCGCAGAGGUUCAUUCUUCCUGUCUCUUAUCCUUUCAAGGUCAUACUUGUUUCCGGGCUGCUCGCACGUGGCGAUGAAGUUGUCAAUGAAAGCCUGUCGUAGCUCUUCCCAAGAGUCGAAGGAGUCCUCGGGCAAGCCGAGAAGCCACUGAUGACCAGCCUGGUCGAGGACUACGGGGAAGUAGUUAGCCAUGACGUGCUCAUCUCCUGCCGCUGAUCGGAAGGCGAUUUCGUAGAGGGUGAUCCAGUUCUCUGGAUUUUCCUUGCCGUCGUAUUUUUUAAGUUUUUCGAGCUUGAAAUUUCUGGGCCACACGACCUGGCGGAGGUGUGAGGAGAACUGCCUUAGGCCCGGAGGACCGUGGGUCGCAUCGUACUCGAUGCGGCGCAGGUUUUCGUGGACUGCUCUCUCUGCGGCGCGCCUGUUGAUGCGGUCCCGGGCAUCUUUGGGAGGGAUGUUGUGGCGGAGAUCCCUGUGUUGAUCUUCUUCUUCCUGGCCGCGUACGCGGUUCUGCUGGCGGCGGCCAUCGGCGUCUCGACCACCAUCGUCGCGCCGUGAGUCCCCUCGACGGUUGUCGGGGGAGCGGCUGCGGCGACGCCCGCUGGGCGAGGCCCGGCUACGAUGAGUCUGGUCGGAGGCGGCUUCCGUAUAAGAGACGUCCUGGGCUCUCUUGAGCAGAGUUGCUGUCUGUCCCAUCGCGGCGAUCAGGUGUGCUCGGAUACUGGUCCGGACUCCCUGGCAUUCGGGUGUAUCAGGAAGCCGAUCCAGGUUGGCCAUGGCGACAGCCACGUUGGCGCUUGGCGUUUUGUAGACCGGCUGGUCCCCGACCAUGUCAAAGGCAUCGUUGAGGUUACCCGGUGGCGUCUGUUGUUGCUCGUCCGCACGCCGUCGGGCGCGAUCGGCGUUACGCUGUUCGCGGAGUUGCCUCUGGUCGUCUGUUUCUCCGUCAACAACCGGUUCGUCGGCGCUGAUAUUGAAUACAAUAUCCCCUCGCCGGGGGGGGAAUAUCGGGAACCGGUCGAAACCCGGAGGGUGUGAAGGGAAAUCCAGGUCGUAGUCCUCGUCUUCGGUGUUCACAACCUCGGUGGGGACGGAGCCGGUGCUUGAGUUGGUGCUGGACACCUGGCCGUCCCGUAGCUCUCGGAUGGUCACCAUGUUGACGUGGUGACGAUUGUUCCUUGUCGGCGACCAGCCCGCUUUGCUGAAAACGGAUUGGACAUGCUGUGAGUAAACAGAGGCCGAGUUGUUCAGGCCGCAAGGAUAGUCUUCCUUUUUGAGCUCGACGGAUCGUCCUGCGGGGGUUGAGGUUAUCGUCAGGGACGUUCCCAGCCGUUCGUGUGUAGCGACACGAGUUGGCCGGCGGAAUUUCGAAAAAUCCGCUCGAGCGGCUUGGUCGGGCUGGCGUAGAACUCCAUCUAUUAGUUGGGAGACUUCGAGUAGCUUGGAGUCAGCGCGAUCGAGCGCUUGGAGGAGGUCCGAGCAGUCGAUCUCCUUUCCCUUGUAGAGCGGGAACGGUGGUCGGGAGCUUGGUGCCGUCAUGCGUGUGGUCGGAGACGGCGUGAUCUCAGAUUGGAUCUGGAUCUCUUUCGGAACCGUGGUCGCGAAACCGCCGCUGCACGUCGUCCACGUGAUCUGGCCGACGGUGAACGUGAGGCCUUCGGGCACGGUCGCCGAAGCUGGGAUCGUGACCAUCUUGUUCGCCGGAAAAGUUGUACGCACACCCCCUACCUGGCGCGCCACUGUCGACGAAAGCUGGUCGGCAGUCUACCUUGGGGUAUACCCACGGUAGUAGUUUAUCGGUAGACGGUGCGCAAACUACGAACUCGAUGGUGACGCAAGACACGGACAAGCUUUUUAUCCAGGUUCGGCCGCCGAGUUGGCGUAAUACCUACGUCCUGCGUCUGGUUGUAUUGGAUUGUGUUGAGAGAUAAUCUGUCCUAGGGGGGUCCCUUGCCCCUCCUUAUAUAGUCUGGAGGGCAGGGUUACAGAUCUAGAAACUAAUCCUAGCCGGUUACAAUUGCCAUAGAUAAUUCGAUAUCAAUUCCUAUUCUAACCGACUAGAAUCCUGCUUGAUCUCCACGUCUUGUUUCCUUGCGCGAAACUCGGGCUGUCGGAUCAAGCCUUGAACUCGUCUCGUAGUGGGCCAAGCUUCCUGGCUGAAGUCUAGCCGUAAGGGUAUAGGGGUUUAUACCCCCACAGAUGCCCAUUUGAUGUCAUGGGAGUUUUGAUUGGCUUGCAAUCUUGCAUCUUGAAUCUCUUGAGAAGAUCUUAAGUGUACUUUUCUUGAGAGAUGAAAACCCCUUCCUUCAUUUGCUUGACUUGAAACCCGAGGAAGAAGGAUAGCUCGCCAAUCAUGGUCAUCUAGAACUCCUUGGACAUCAAAUCACCGAACUCCUUGCAAAAUUCUUCAUUUGUUGAGCCAAAUAUGAUGUCAUCAACAUACACUUGGCCAAUGAAGAUUUCUCCAUUGAUCUUCUUAAUGAAUAGUGUUAUGUCGACCUUCCCGAUCUUUAAGCCCUUUUGAGGAAGUCACUUAGCCUCUCAUACCAUGCUCUAGGAGCUUGCUUGAGACCAUAGAGCACCUUGGACAACCGGUACACAUGCUUGGGUACCUAGGAUCUUCAAAACUAGGGGGUUGCUCAACAUAGACAAGCUUAUUAAUACAACCAUUUAGAAAUGCACUUUUCACAUCUAUUUGAAAUAGUUUGAUGUUAUGGUUAGAAGCAUAUGCAAGAAAGAUACGUAUAGCUUCAAAUCUUGCAACCGGUGCAAAGGUUUUACCAAAGUCAAAACCUUCCACUUGUGAAAAGCCUUUCACCACAAGUCUUGCCUUGUUGCGCACCACCUUGCCUUGAUCAUUUUUCGUGUUCCAGAAGACCCACUUUGCUCCUAUUACUCUUGCAUCUUUAGGUCGCUCUUUGAGGGUCCAUACUUGAUUACGAGAGAAGUUGUUCAACUCCUCUUGCAUGGUGAUGAUCCAAUCCGCAUCGCGAAGAGUUUCCUCUAUAGUUUUGGGUUCCUCUUCAAGAGACACAAAAGUGUGAUGUUCAAUAAAUAAAGCAUGUUUAGAACGUGUAGUAACACCACAUGAUGGACUCCCGAUGAUGAGAUCUUGAGAGUGAUCUCGAAGAAGGUGUGAUGAUCUUCUUUGCACCACUUGAGGAGCCGGUUAGGGAGCAUCAACAUCUUGUGCUUGUGCCACCGCUUGUUCAUGAGUGACUUGUGAGUCUUCAUGAGCGUCUCUCACAUCCUUGUCAUCAUCUUAUGGCACAUGUGAGGAGGAUGGCUCAUCGAUGACUUGCACCUUGCCAUCCUCCUCCUUAGGCUUGAUGUCUUCCAUCAGAAUAUUCUUCAAGACUUCCCUCAAUGGUUCACCAUCUACAUCACCAAGAUUAUCACUUGCUCCUUGGGAGCCAUUAGAUUCAUCAAAUUCAACAUCAAAAGUUUCUUCAACCAUGUUUCUGGCAUGGUUAAAGACUCUAUAAGCCUUGGACUUUGAUGAAUAGCCAACCAAGUAACCAAUGUCUCAUCUUCUUUGAAACUUCCCCAAGUGUUGGUGCUUCUUGUAGAUAUAGCACUUGCACCCAAACACUCUAAAGAAUGAGACAUCAGGCUUCUUCCCAUUGAGCAAUUCAUAUGGUGUCUUCUCUAGGAACUUGUGAAGAAAGAGUCGGUUUGAAGCAUAGCAUGCGGUGUUGAUUGCCUCGGCUAACAUCUUCUCCGGAGUGUUGUACUCAUCAAGCAUAGCUCUUGCCAAGGUUAUCAAGGUCCAGUUCUUUCUUUCUACAACCCCAUUUUGUUAUGGUGUGUAUGUCGAGGAGAACUAUAUGAUUCCAACUUCAUCACAAUAGUCUUCAAUAUUGGUAUUGUCAAAUUAUUUGCCAUUGUCACUCCUAAUCUUCUUGAUCUUGACAUCGAAUUGAUUUUGUGCCUUAUUUGUAAACUUCUUGAAUAUUGAUGCAACUUCAACCUUGUCUUACAAGAAGAAUGUCCAUGUGUACUGAGAAUAGUCAUCCACUAUUACCAAGCAAUAUUUAUUCUCACUAAGACUAGCAUAUGUAGUAGGUCUAAACAAAUCCAUGUGCAAUAGCUCAAGAAAUCUUAAGGUAGAGAGAUAGAUCUUGGUUGGAUGAGUGUUUGCCACUUGCUUGCUGGCUUGACAUGCACUACACAACUUGUCCUUCUCAAACUUGACAUCUUUCAAGCCUCUUGUCAACUCCUUCUUCAACAACUUUUUGAGUGUGCCCAUUCCAACACGAGCUAGCCUCCUAUGCCAUAGCCAACCAAGUGAAGUCUUGAUGAAUAGACAUGUCUUGAUGUUUGCAUCUUUGGAGGAGAAAUCAACAAUGUACAAAUUGUUGUAGCGGAAGCCUUUGAAUACCAUCUCAUUGUCAUUCACCUUGGUCACUAUCGCUUCUUUCUCAAUGAAUAGGCAUUGGAAACCAAGAUCACAAAAUUGUCCAACCGAAAGCAAGUUAAAACUUAGAGAUGAAACAUAGAGCACAUUGGUGACAGAGUUGUCAUUGGAUAUAGCCAUCUUUCCCAAAUCCUUGACAUUGCCUUUUGAAUUGUCACCAAAUGUGAUAUUCUCUUGAUUGUUCACAUCUUCAUUGAGUGAGGUGAACAUUUGGGGAUCUCCGGUCAUAUGUUGGGUGCAACCACUAUCAAUUACCUAAUGUGAUCCACCGGUCUUGUAGUUCACCUUCUGAUCACCCUUAGCCAUCAGGCAUAGGUGUGUAGAGGAUGAGGAUGAAGGCGAUGGUGGUGGACAUGAAGCAUCAAUUGCAAUUGUGGCCACCUUCUCAUCAUCACUAGCAUCAUUGGAGGAGUCACCACAUGAGCUCUCAAUAUUAGUGAGCCAAUCACUAACAAUGUAUGCCUUGCCAUUCUUCUUCUUGUGGUACUCCUUCUUUCCACCCUUCUUCUUGAAAGGCUUCUUUUCAUUCUUCUCAUUGUCACUUGAGUCAUCUUUGUCCUUGUUUUUUUCUUGUAUUUAUCCUUCUUAGGCUUAGGACAUUGAUGGGCAAGAUGACCAAGUUCACCACAAUUGUAGCAAUCCAUCUCGGAGAUGGGCUUUCUCUUGCUACUUGUGAAGAACUUCUUUUGGAGUCGAAGUUGACACCAUUCUUGUUGAGCUUCUUAAGCAUCUUGGUGGUUCUCCUCACCAUGAGAGCAAUGGUGGCAUCAUCAUCGCUUGAGGUUGAGGAUUCUUCAUUUUUUUGAGCGACCGUUGGGAAUUUAACUUCGCCAUGAAAAAUAGCCCCAACUUUAGAGUUAAAACUUUGGACUCAGAAUUAUAAUUUUUGUAACAAAGUUUACCUGCAAAGAGAAAAAUAGGGCGAAGAUGUAACUUUGACUUCGUCGGGAAAAAUCAACUUUGCUGCAGAAAACUUUGUCUUCACCAAAGAAGGAAAGAUUAAAGCAAGGCUAAGCGAAGACAAGAAUUUGGCUUCGCUUGACAAUUGAAGAUAGAAAGAAGAUGGAGCAAAAAUCGACUAAGUCCAAAAUACAAAGCCCGCCAGAAGAUUGGUUGACAAAAUUGAAGAAUGAAGACUUAGAUAUAGAAAAAGACCACUUCGCCCUUGUAGUUGAGAAGGGUUGUAAUUGUUUGAGUGAGGGGUAAAAUGGUCAUUUUGUGUAAAAUAUGAAGGUCAGGGCCCUAUAAAUACCCCACUGACAUGUACAGUAGACCCGGAGAAUGAAUACAAUUUUUAUUUGUGUUUAACUUUUGAUGUUUGUGUAAUGUUUGCUUGGCAUAAAAGUUACACCAACAGCGACCAAAAUACUUUUUUGAAUUUAACCUUCAUGUUUCGGAGUACGUACGUGGUUGGUCACGAGGCAGGGGGCGGGUCUUCUUGUGGCGUGGUUGGCCACACGGAGUUUUAUUUUUAUUUUUAUUUUAUUUUGAGAAAAUGUGUAGCUCACGGAGUACUAUUUGUAGGUCGGACGCACUUUUUUGUUCAAUUGUGGCCCAUGAAGUGAUUUUUGGGCCGAAUAGCCCAUUCAACCGUGCCCUAACCCUAGGCCGCUUAUAAAAACCUAGCUCCAUCCGAUUCCCAAACCCUAAGACGCAGUCGGCCGCCGCACACCGGGAGAAGCCGACGCUCCGCCACCGUAUCCGCAGAUCAGCGGCGAGCCGUAACCACGCCACACUGCUUGCCGCCCGACGAGGUAUUCUGCCGCUCGCGCGCGCUUCUCUUCCUUCUCUUUUCGUUGUGCUUUGAGCUUGUUCGUUUGAUGCGCUCCGAGCUUGUUCGUUUGAUGCCCAGAUCUACUAGUUUGUCGUCUAUGUGUGAUGAGCUGAGCCGAUUCAUGCACUGGAUUUCUAAUCAAGUGUUGUUUCCGUCUCCGCUACCUUUAUUUAGUGUCUAUGUAUGAACAUGGGUGCAGUUUGCAAUUGAUUUGUCGAGCCAUAAAUUAUAACCGUUUCGUUGUUCUAGAUUAGAUCCCGAUUCUGAUCUUUGAUAUUACGUGGCUGAGGCACUUCAACUCUGUUUUAUGUGUAUGAACUGAGCCGAUUCAUGCGCUGAGUAAUAAUCAAAGUUUUGCUUCCGCCUCCUCAUCUGCCUUUAGUAUGUACUCCGUAUAUAAACUUGAUUGCAGUUUGCAACUGAUUCUCAGCCAUAGAUUAUCACUGUUGCGUUGUUCAUUAGAUCCAGUUUCUGUGGUAUUAUGUGGGUGGGGUAGUUCCUCUUUGGAUUUUUCCUAUCCUUGAAAUUGUUUGAUUACUGGUUUAUUCCCAUGUUUGUUUAUUUCUAACUAUUUUUAGAUGAUGAUUUCUAACUGUUUUUAUCUGCUAAUUUUGAUGUAAGCAGCAGGGUAACAGUUCCCUUCAGCCAUGGGUAAGGAGAAGACUCACAUCAACAUUGUGGUCAUUGGCCAUGUCGACUCUGGCAAGUCGACCACCACUGGCCACCUGAUCUACAAGCUUGGCGGUAUUGACAAGCGUGUGAUCGAGAGGUUCGAGAAGGAGGCUGCGGAAAUGAACAAGCGUUCAUUCAAGUACGCCUGGGUGCUCGACAAGCUUAAGGCUGAGCGUGAGAGAGGUAUCACAAUUGAUAUUGCGCUGUGGAAGUUCGAGACCACCAAGUACUACUGCACUGUCAUUGAUGCCCCUGGACACCGUGACUUCAUCAAGAAUAUGAUCACUGGUACUUCCCAGGCUGACUGUGCUGUUCUUAUCAUUGACUCCACCACUGGUGGUUUUGAGGCUGGUAUCUCCAAGGAUGGCCAGACCCGUGAGCAUGCUCUCCUUGCUUUCACACUUGGAGUCAAGCAGAUGAUUUGCUGCUGCAACAAGGUAUAAUUCCAGGAAUUUCUAUCUAGUCUGGUUUAUGAUCUGAGAUGCCUGUAAAUAUGUGCUUCAAUAGUCUAGGCUGCACUCAAUUAUACUGCAUUCAAGUUGAAUACUGCAUUUGUGUUCUGAUAUUAUAGUUAAUGUUAGUUGUAUAAUAAGUUUACAUUGAAUAAGCCAUCUGCUUGCUACAUGUUUAUGUACGAUUGCAUUUUUUUUCUAAUGUUGGUUGCAUAACAAUUUUGAUAAAAUGAAACAUUGAUUGUUGCAUCGAAUAAGUCAUCUGCUUCUUACAUAUUUUUAUUAUUUUUUCUGGAUUUUUAGUUACUUAGUUUGCUACUUUACUUUGUCAAUUAUUAAUGCAACACUGAUUGCUUUGAUUGAAUAAGCCAUCUGCUUUAUAGAUGUUUAUGUAUGAUGGCAAUUUAUCUUCGUUACUUUGCAUAAUUUAAUAUGAUUUUCCAGGAUAACUUCUUCAAUAGGUGAUGUAAUUUUUCAAUUCCACCUUAAUUUAGAAAUUUUCUGUAGUUGUUGGAAUGCUUGCAAUGCUUAUGUAAUUAAAUGAUAUGGGUUUGCAUAACUGCCAUCAUAUGAUUGCAGUCGUUAUUUUACUUUUGUCAAUUAGUAGGAUUUGUUGGCAUGCACCUGUUGAGGUCAGUAUUUUUUAUAUACGUCAGGUGCCCCCCCAACAAAUAUCCUUCCUUGAGCAAGUGUAGUUGACCAGUAAAUGUUUUUGUAUUUUUACUGUUUGCUUGCUGUUUAGGUAAUCAAUCAGCUGAUGAUAUUGUUUGGGUUUUGCUGUGUUACAGAUGGACGCCACCACACCCAAGUACUCGAAGGCCCGUUAUGAUGAGAUUGUGAAGGAAGUCUCUUCCUACCUGAAGAAGGUUGGAUACAACCCAGACAAAAUCCACUUUGUUCCCAUCUCUGGUUUUGAAGGUGACAACAUGAUUGAGAGGUCCACCAACCUUGACUGGUACAAGGGCCCAACCCUGCUUGAGGCUCUGGACUUGAUCAAUGAGCCAAAGAGGCCUUCAGACAAGCCACUGCGUCUCCCCCUUCAGGACGUGUACAAGAUUGGUGGUAUUGGAACUGUUCCUGUCGGGCGUGUUGAGACUGGUAUCAUCAAACCUGGUAUGGUUGUUACCUUUGGUCCUAGUGGCCUUACAACUGAGGUUAAGUCUGUCGAGAUGCACCACGAGGCUCUCCAGGAGGCCCUUCCUGGUGACAAUGUUGGCUUCAAUGUUAAGAAUGUUGCUGUGAAGGAUCUGAAGCGUGGGUAUGUGGCCUCCAACUCCAAGGAUGACCCUGCCAAGGAGGCUGCUAGCUUCACCUCCCAGGUCAUCAUCAUGAACCACCCUGGGCAGAUUGGCAAUGGCUACGCCCCAGUGCUGGACUGCCACACCUCACACAUUGCUGUCAAGUUUGCUGAGCUUGUUACCAAGAUUGAUAGGCGAUCUGGCAAGGAGCUUGAGAAGGAGCCCAAAUUCCUCAAGAACGGUGAUGCUGGUAUGGUGAAGAUGGUUCCCACUAAGCCCAUGGUGGUGGAGACCUUCUCUGAGUAUCCUCCUCUUGGUCGCUUUGCUGUCCGGGACAUGAGGCAAACGGUGGCUGUUGGAGUCAUCAAGAGCGUGGAGAAGAAGGACCCAACUGGAGCCAAGGUGACCAAGGCUGCCGCCAAGAAGAAAUGAGGUGUCUGGCUGAUCCUGUGUUUUCUUGAGGGAUACCUAGUUGGAACUUUAAAUAUUGUCAUUCCUGUUAUUGCGCGAGCAACUAAACUGUGCUGGCAAUGUUUGUCUGGUCGAUUUAGUACUGUUAUUUUUGUUAAAACCAGGGUGCUUGACACCAAUUUUCUGUUAUUUUUGGAUCGAACAUCGGGUGUUAGCCAAUGGUUUUGAGUUUUGUUACUCUCGUUAUGUUUGCCUGUUUACAUAGCUGUUUCUAAAUAGGUGAUGAUUCGCUCGUCUGUGCCUACUUUUGUAGUGUUUGCCUGUUAACCUAUCUAGAAAUAUUGUUUUGUCUACGCUUUUAAUUGUGAAAAGCAAUUUUUGCUGAUUUUUUUUGCCUAAGAUCUUUUUAAUUUUCCUAUGGCUCAAAGCUUUUCGAAAAUGCCUUGUAGUCGUUGAGAAUUGUUUGACCACUUUUUCGAAGUAGUCAUAGUUAUUUUACAAGAUUGCAAUUGUAAAACAUGGGACUGAAAAACAUAGGAGGACAGUAUAUUGUGGGUCUUAGAUGGGCACAUGGGAAAUUGACAUGAACUUGGCAGUCCUUUUGCAUGGAUCCUACGCGCGAGCCAGGUCGAAUAGAUGUUUCAUGCCCGGAAAAUUCUUACUGAAUUUCUUGAGGUGCUUUCCUAUAAAUCAAGGGCGUCUACAGACUAAAGUAUAAAAUCCCUAGGAUUAUUGAAUACUGUAUUUUUGUAUUUUUUGUUAUAAAAAUUCUCUAUUCUAAUUUCUAAAGGAUGCCUAAAUAUUCUCCGUUGUCUUUCAAGAAAAUAAGUCCUUAAUCUUUAACUAGCAGACAUGCUCAUACGUCUUAGCAGGAGAAAAAGAGUUACGGCAAUUUAAUUUAUAAAGAUGCUAAACUUAAUUUAUAAAGGUGCUACUUUUGAUGUGCUGAACGGUUAUUACAGUAAUCUGAAAUAAAUGGUCUUGUUAAUGCUUUACAUACUCCCUCCGUUUAUAAUAGUACCAUACUCCCUCCGUUUAUGAAACAGGCUCGUUAAUGCAAGCACGGAUGGUAAUAUUGCGUACUCGGUCUAUGGAAACAUGCAAUUCUAAUAGUACCAUGUUUUAGUAUAUCAUGUUUGAUCAAUUAUAGAUUAAAAAACUAUAAAGAUUUAGAUAUUAAAUAAAUAUUAUUAGAUCAAAUAUGAAAUAUAUUUUUAAUCAAAUGUUGACUUUUUUAUCUAGCACGUAACCCAUUUCUUAUCUUUUUAUAAAAUUUAAAAUUUAUACUUUUUUAUAACUAUGAUAUCUAUAAUAUAAGUUAAUAUCAGCAAUAGUACGAUUCGAUAUUAAAUUAAAAUAUAAUAUUGAUAAAAUUUCUUUCUUUCAUUGUAAACACAAAUCCAAUGUGACCAAUAAUACGAUUCCGUAUUGAAUUAAAAUACAACAUAACUUUCUCUCUCUCUUCCAUGUCACCAAAAAUCCAAUGUGACACUGCAUAAGACGACUUAUAAUACUGCUUACACGGAUCAAUAUACUUCUUGCCCUAAGGAAAGAUAAUUCCCAUACGUCUUAAAAUUACUCCUCCCUCCAUCACGACAUGAUACGUAGUAUUUUGAUCAGAAGAAAAAUAGAUUUUAAAAUCAUAAAAUAGAUUUCAACCUUUAAUUUUUAAAAUAUGUGGUUAUUUUUUAAAAAUAAUAAUAUUAAAUUUAGAGAUAUUCUUAGUAUACAAAGAUAUCGAUACAAGUUUUAUCUCUGUAUAAAUUUAUAUUAUAUAUAACUAGGAUGGUUAUUACUUCUUUUGAGAAGAGAGAUAAUUAUGAUUUAGCAUUUGCAAAAUUGGUGACUAGUGUCGGUAAUUUUCAGUGGACAAGCACAUGGGCCACCAGGAAUCGAUCUCAGCUCUAAUGCUACAGCAGGAAGCACCGUCCAGAAAGUGAACCGCCCCUUGUGCUUGUGCUUGUGCUUGACGCUCACUACGCCGUUUGGGCCUAACCCAUCCUACCACUCAUGACGACUUUGGGCCUCACUGCACCGUUUGUGCCGUCUCCUCUGCGCCUGUCUUUUUUUUUUGUUUUUUGGCCUUUUUAAAAAAGUUUCUCACAAAUAUGCCCCGGUGGUUUGAAUUUGGAAUAUGGACCCAGGGCUUGACGCUGUAAUAUAUGGCGUCAAGUUUGUACAUGUUGUUUGCAUCGCCUAUGUGGCCAGCGUGGUGGUGACGUGGACACCAGUUUGGCGCCGUGCAUCACAGCAUUAGGCUUGACGCCAGGGAUCAUGGCGUCAAGUUUGGCGCCACAUGCAUGACGUCAUGCUAUCGAAUAAAACCGGCCCCUACCCUUUCAUCCUUAUUCUUUCUUCUUCCAGCACCUUUCUUCUUCCUCGCUCUCGGGUGAGCUCUCGGCCGAUCGUUGCCGCUGAGCUUAGCUGGCCAGCCGAACUCCCGGCCUCUGCUCCCCUCGGUGGCCCGGCGUUGCUUCCCUCAGCGGCUCGAUCGGCGGCUCGUGCUUGCUCCCCACGUGGCCGGAAGCUUUGGCAUUAGUGAAGUAAGCUUCGUUAUUUUUUUAUUUGGUUAUUUUAAAAAGUUUAAUUAAUGUGUUGUUAGUUCUUUAUGUAAAAGCAUUGACAUUUAGUAUAUGUAGAUUGUUAGUAACUUUAUUUAGUUGGAUAUUUAUACAAUAAGUAUGCAGGCUUGGCGCCAUGACCUGUGGCGUCAAGCUUAAUGAAUUGACCGGUGGCGUCAAGAUUGACGCCACGAUCCAUGUCGUCAAGCAUUUGCGACACAUCAGCCAAAACUGCCAUGUGUGUAGACAAUUUAGCGCCAUCAGUGCUAGCGUUAAGUAGUGUAUCCUUAAUUCCAUUGAUGACAACGCCAAGCCCUGGGUCCAUAUUUCAAAUUCAAACCAACAAGGGCAUAUUUGUGACAAACUUUUCCAAAAAGGGCAAAAAAAAACAAAAAAGUAUGCCUCCGCGCUCUCGCUCCUCCACCGGUGCGUGCUCGCAGCUCGCUGCUCCGCCGUGCCGGCUCCUUCGUCACGGCACCAGCGCCACCACCGCCCAACGGCAGCUAGCGCUCGCCAAAGCCGCGUGUUCUCAGCCACCGCCGAUGGACGUGCGGCCUGCGACACGAUGCGGCACCGUACCGGCAUGGGGGCCACCACGGAGCGCGAGCGUGGUAGUGUCAUGCGCACAGAGGUGACGCGAGGGUGGACCUUCUUGUCGAGUUGACGAUAGGGAGCUGGUGGCCUGGCGCGGUGGAUCCGCCACGGAACAGCUUGCUUGGGGGCGUGCACAGCUUCUACCCCUGGACGGCCUAAUACCCGUGCCUGACAUCAAAGUUAUUCGAACCGGACCGAAGAUUGAACCGGUGAGGCCGUCAGUUCAAUGGUUCAUUGGUCCAACCGUUUGAACCGCCGGUUCAAUUGUUUUGAACCGAUUAAUAUAAUAUGAUUUAAUUAAUAAUUAACAUUAGAGGAGUGUUUGAAGAAUCUACUGUGUGUGGAAACCCAGAAAACAAAAAAAAAAGUGAGCCAACUUAUGGAUUAUCACAUGAUUAAAAAUGUUGGAUUCAGUCACAAAAUAACCUGAUCUGGACAUUCCUAAUAUACUCUAGCACUAAACAGAUAGCUUCACCAAUGACCAAUCAUCAAAUCAAAUAUAACUAAAUAAUAGAAAGCUAAUAUACAAAACCUAAAAGUUAAAACUUGAAAGCUCAAGCUCAGUAGCUCACAAUUAGCCAUGUUCUCUCUUUCUCUUUCCGUCGUCUCGUGGAGCAGAGUGCAGCUAGCCGCCGCUCGCCUGCAGCCCACGCAGUCAGCACGCCGUCGUGCUGCCUGCCGUCGCGCCGCCCGCCGCCGCAGCAGGCAAUAGUUGCUGCCCGCCCACGCCCAGCGCACGCCUGACCUGAGGCCUGACCCACGCCGCCACGCCUGCUGCCCUGCUCUCGAUGCGUCGUCGCGCACCGCCCGCUGCCGCAGCCCAAGGCCUGAGCCUGACCCGCGCGGCCGCGCCUGCUCCCUCGUAGCAGCCGUGCUUGCUGAAAGGUCCUUGUUUUGUUAUGGUAAUUGAGUGACAACUUAGGUGGACUAAUAAUGUUUAUGUGAGAUACACAGGAGAUUAGUCCACAGGUGAUGAUGUGAUGAUGGAGGAGCUCAUUACAUAUGAGACAUGACAUGAAGUCAUGUGACCAAGGUGGAGAAGAUCAAGAUGAGGCUUGGCUCGAUGGACCGGUUGCAAGAGUGAAGGGCAAGUCGGAGGCUUUGAAGCGAGGGACCGCAUGUGACGGUGAAGCUUGAGCAAGACUUGGUGCCGAUGGACCGAGGCAACGGUGAAGAGCAAGUGAGGUCAAGAUCAAUGAACCAAUACGGUCACGUGAUGAUAUGAAGUGGAUCAUAUCAUUUGGUGAUUGGUUGGUGCAUGUGUUGCAUCAACAUUGGAGGAGAUGGAAUGGAAUGCGCAAGACAAAGGUAUAACCUAGGAGCAUUUCCAUUUCAUCGGUCAUAGGUGUGUAGAGAAGUUUAUGACCAGAAUUAGGAUAGAUGGCCGUACUAUCAAGAGGGGCAAACUUUGCAUAUCGGUCAUCUAGUGCCACUUGAGCGAUCUAACUUUGCAUACGUGUUAGGAUCGAGUGGCGUGGCAAGUUGAGAGGCUAACUCCUUUGGGAAAACGUUUGUGAAAAUGCUAACACACUUGCACAUUGUGGUGUACACUUGGUGGUGUUGGCACAUUUGCAAAGGAGGUAGUGUUCCUAGGGUUGAGAGGGGUAUGGGUUCCUUUCUCCCUCCCGCCGAGAUUGCGAGGCGGGAUUCGGUGCUUUUGAGAAAAUUAAGUGCAUAUUUUCUAUUGUGCCGGUGGGAAAUUUGGAGAAUUCAUGGGAGUGUUCUCGCUGAGAAACACUCACCGGACGCUGGUGUUGGCAGCAUCGGACGCUGGUCCAGAGCGUUCGGUGUGGUGUCAGUCUGUGGCUCAGGUGUGCAGAGCGCAACGGACACUGGCACCGGACGCUGGGCGGUUACUGUUUGCGCGUCCGGUGUGAAGUGACGUCAGCAAGUGUGCGCGAGGAGUUUCAGACUGGAGAGCACCGGAAACUGAGGGUGCGUCCGGUGGCUUGCGUCCGAUGACCCUGCGAGUUUGCGGAGCUCUCUACGCACGGGUCCGGUGUGCACCGGACGCGUCCGGUGUGACACAGUAGAGCGUCCGGUGGUGCUGUACAGGCACGCGUGCGCAGUAGCCGUUGGCGGCAACGGUCGAGUUCAAACGGCUAGUGACAUGUGGCUGACGCCUGAGCACCGGACGCUGGGGGUUGAGCGUCCGGUGGCUCCCUUUGAGCAUCCGGUGCCCACGUGCUUUGCCCAGUGAAGGGGCAACGGCUAGUUUAGCCCUUGGGGCUAUAAUUAGAAGUGUUGGCCAGCCUUGGCUGGUGCUGAGCACCCUUGGGACUUAGUGUCUAUGCUUGGGGAGUGCUAGUAAAGCCUCUAACUCACAUAUGCUUGAUAGUGAUCAUCCGAUUGUGUGAGUGAGCGAUUCUAAUGUGUUGCAUUGAGAGAUUGCAUCGAGUGGCACUAGGUGUUCGUGUUGCAAGCCAGUGGUGCUUGUUACUCUUGGAGGUUGCCACCUCCUAGACGGCUUGGUGGCUUGUGACUCCAUCGAAGUACGCAAGGAGAUUGUGUGGUUCUCCGGAGAAGAGAUUGUAAGGGGUACGGUGCUCACCCCGCGGGGAUCGCGAAGAGCAACUCUAGUUGAGCGAGACGUGAAGAGCGACAAGUGGUCCGGCCGGGUCAAGUGCUAGAGCUUGUGGUAAGCACUCCACGUGGGAGAGUGUGACUUGCGGGUCACCACUAGCAAGAGGACCGGCGGCAACCUUGGAGCUUGUCUCAACGGGGACGUAGUUUGGUGGCAACCAAGUGAACCUCGGGAGAAAAUCAUCGUGUCAACAUUGUUCUUCCCGUUGGUUUGCAAGUCACUAACACAAGCUUGUUCUUACUUUCAUAUACUUGUGCUUGUGUAGUUGCUCUAGUAAUUAGUUAGCUUGUGUAGCUUGCUAGUUAUCUUCUUGCUUGUGUAGCUAGAAGUAGUUUUCUUGCGUGACUAAUUUGGUUUGUGUAACCUUGAUUAGUCACAUUGCUUAGUUUGUGUAGCUAAGUAUGUUGCGCUCUCUAAUUUGGCAUUAGUUGCCUUGUUAUUGAGCAUGCUAGUGAGCUUAGGCUUUGUGCGCUUUGCCUCACUAGUUUGUGUAGGAGCUCCCCCGGUUUGCAAAGUACUAGUGGCAUAGGUUUGUGUGACCUUGCUUCUAGAAUUGGUUAGGUGAGCUCUUGCUAAGGUAGCACCUUGCUUGCUUGUUUAGGAUCUUUUCAAGGUGCUAGAGAACUUAGAUAGAGGGGUGUAGUCUUGGCUAGACUGAUAGUUUUAAUUCCGCAUUUGUUUCGUUUAGCCGGCGUAAUAAAUUUUAGAAAGGACUAUUCACCCCCCUCUAAUCUGCCAUCUCGACCCUUCACUUGCCCGCAGCUCGAUCCGCCGCCGGCCGCCGCAGCUCAGAUCGAUGGAUGCGCCGCCGCCAAAAACGAAAAUGGCGGCCAGGAAUAGAAAUGGGGAAUUUUUUCCCUCCCACAUGCGCCCAGUAGCCCUAAAGGGCACAUUGAGAUGUUUUUCCGAUAAUACUCCUGAGCUCACAGAGGGUAAUUUUGCUAGAAAACUGCCCCGGUUCAUAUGGAACCGCCCGGUUCACCGGUUCGACGAAAAACCGGCCGGUUCCACUGGUUUUUAGUGGUUCAAUUACACGGGCGAUCUUUUAAGUGAACCAGACUGGUGGAGGCUUCGGUUCGGUCUUUUAGAGGUCGAACCGCCGGUCCGGUCCGGUUCGAAUAUCUAUGCCUGACAUAUGCUUGCGUGAAUAGUGAAUGCCAUUAUGCCAACCAAGUGCUGAUAUUUUCUUUUGCUAUAUUAAUAUAAUAAACAAUAAGUACUAAAAUAUUUCUAUAGUGAUAAGGUGAAGAUAUAUCUGACUAUCUAUUAUGAUAUGCUAAUCAAAUGAGUUCUAACAUGCAAUCAAAUAAAAUCUAGUACUAUAGCAGAGUGGCUGCUCCUUCCCUCCAAGCUAGAAAAGCUAUUUUGGAAGUGGUCUAAAAUAGCUGAAAAAUGCAAAAAUCAUGGCACGAAUCACAACCUUAGGGGAGUGAAAGAGGUACUACAGCACCAUCCAAUGAUAUCUCUAUUGUAGUAGUGCCAAACCUAGCAUUUGCACAAAUAGGAAUGCUGGUUUGAAUUACCAAAGUGCAAGGAAUCAAAUAAUGUUGCAUUCCUUAUCUUGAAACCUACUUCCUCACAUUCUUCAGGUUAUCUGUGGGCUGAUGCGAAGCUGAAGAUACAUGUGCAACACAGAGAACGUAAAAAGCAACUGUUCAACAUAGGUGUAGCUAGUUUCUGAAUAGUUGAAUCAGAUAUCAUGAGCAUAAUAAACACCUCCUUCGUUGUGAAGGGUGUGCCUACGUGAAACCAACCCAAAAGCAUACGUGACAGGAUAUCAUGAGCAUAAUAAAUACCUCCUUCGUUGUGAAGGGUGUGCCUACGUGAAACCAACCCAAAAGCAUACGCGACAGUUGUCUGUUCAAUAAGAAUAUACAAGAUUUCUGUCAUGAGCAGCCAACAGGUGCCAUGACGGACGGGCUGAUAGUUCGACCCGGUUAUUUUUAUAAGUUUAGUUAUCUUUAUAUUUGUAAUUUAUAUUAGUUCUAUAUAGAUUAAUUAGCAAAAGAGGUGAAAUAGAAGGGACAUAAAUAUCUAUAGACUCUAUUGAUAUAAUUAAGCAAUGAAUUAUGAAGAAACAAUUCUAGCCUCCUUCAAUCUCUCAAGCUCUUGGCAAAGCAUAAGGCCCAGCUAUCCCAAAAUACCCAUCCCCAUUAUAUCUGGUAUCACGAGUCCGGCGAUCCUUGUUGUUCCGCUCCACCUUCCCAAGUCCGAUGAUCCUCGUCGUUCCGCUCCACCUUCCCAACCGCCACGCCAUCUCCUCCACCACCAGCAGUCGCCGGCACCCUACCACCACCACAUCCUAUGCCAUAAUUCCAGAUGGAUUUUUCUUAAUUUGAUGGAAAAUCUGAUCCUCCCGUCUUCAUCAACCAAUGCGAGACAUACUUCAACCGAGAGCGCAUAAUUUGGCGGAUGAUGCCUGGCUGUGGUUCCUCCAAGUCCAACAGGAUGAGGGCACACCGACGUGGCACCACUUUACUAAGCUGCUACACCUGCGUUUCGGAUCGCUCCCUGUUGUGACCAUUGUCCUUGCUAAUAUGAUGCGCCGGCUCCAAGAGGACAUGGAUCGCGUCACUAUGAUGAUCAACCGCGUUUGUGCUCAACUGGAGAAGUCCAGGCAUGAACGCCUUGUUGCGGUGCGGUUACAGGCGGUAGCGCGAGGAUUCCUAGUGCGGCACGCCACAAGGAAGCUGCGUGUAGCAAUCCAACCUGCCCUACUCACUCCCGAUCAUCAUCUCCAAUCCCUGUUGCCGCCGUCCACCCUCGUCGUCGUGCCGACCACUCCAACAAGGGGCUCAGGCAAGAGCUUCUAGCCGCAAGAGCUUCCGGUGGUGGCAGCCUUCUCUGGUUCAAGGGGCUCUGGCCACAACGACCACCAGGGCGACCAACUGGCUGCUCGUCUCUUCCCAUGGGAUCCAGGACACUCUCAACUCCUUCCUCGACCACUAUCACUGCAGCUCGAGGAUGAGCUGGUCCUCAAGGGAGGGGGAGAUGUCAUAUAUGGCCGGCCAACAGGCUGCCAGGACCGAUGGGCUGAUAGUUCGGCCCGAUUAUCUUUAUAAGUUUAGUUAUCUUUGUAUUUGCAAUUUAUAUUAGUCCCAGAUAGAUUAAUUAGCAAAAGAGGUGAAGUAGAAGGGACAUAAAUAUCUGUAGACUCUAUAUUGAUAUAAUUAAGCAAUGAAUUAUGAAGAAAUAAUUCUAGUCUUCCUCAAUCUCUCAAGCUCUUGGCAAAGCAUAAGGCCUACUUAUUCCAAAAUACCGAUCCCCAUUACAAUUUCAGUCACAUUUAGGCACACUUAUUUUUUUUAUCUAUCAUCAUUGAGUAAUUUCUAUGGAAGAGUUGAUGGUCUUAGAGGUGGCUUGAUGGACUUUGAGACCAUUUACAAACCACUCAAAAAGUUAUAAAAAAGGAAGUCACCCACAUCAAGUUAUAUAUUUAUGCAUCCAUUUAUAUUGGGCCGAAUAUGUGAACCAAAAAAUAAUAUGAAUUUUACAAAAGAUUCAGAAUGCAUACCAAGAGUUUGCCAAAUGACAUUGCUAUCCUUGGAAAUUUGGCAAAACAAGAAAUUUUACUCUCCAACAGAUUGGCAAAUCAAGUUGGAAAACUUCUUCUCCGCACGCGCAUAUUUCCACGUGCGUAUCCAGUGCCCAUCGCGGACUGCCGCGCCGCAGUCAGUCAUUCCCGCACGCAAGAGGAAAGCCAUCCAGUCAUCUCCUUCGUGUGCGCAAGGCAAUCGGCUCGAUUGUCUCCGUCAUGCGUACGCAAGGCGAUCAGGCUCGUCUCCUUCAUGGGUGCAAGGCAAUUCGCUCGUCUCCCUCAACCGCACAAGGCCACCUGCGUGUCUCUGAUCCUUCAAGCGCGCAUGGCCGGGCUUGGCCCCGAUGGCUGCUGAUCAGGUUUUUCCAUAUGUUGGCUUUGAUGAUUGGUUCAUAGUCGUUGGUAGUGGAUCUCCUUGUCCGCUAUUGGUAAUCAUAGUGCUGCCCUUGAUCUGGUUGUGAAGAUAGUUUUUUUUCAACAUAAGAUGGCCAGCCGUAGUAGUUGAUGCCCCCUGCGAUGAAGACAGGGUCCGCGCCGGCGUUGCCCUUCUCCACGCGAGGUGUCUCGCGGCGUUCAGGAAGAUCGCGGUGGCCAGGUUACGAGUCAUGGUGAAAACAGUUGAUAGGAUUGGAUGUGGGCCUUUUAUUCUAUUUUUAUCAAGUCAAAAUGGCAAACUAUUGGAAGAGACUACCUUUUCACUUGACAUAUAUUUUAGAGAGUUGUCAAAACAAAAGAUUUGCCAAGUGAAUUUUGGCAAACUCUUGGAUAUGGGGAUGCCUAAUUGGCUAAAUCACCCGGUUGGAUCAGUUAUGGAAAACAUAUUAUGGUAGAACACCUUUUUAUUGCCCAUACAACUUGGCUGCUAUUUUGGGGAUUAAUCACAUCAAAUAAUCCUGAAAGUUCUAAAUUAGACUUGGAAACGUUUUAUUGUGAUAUAGUUACUUUAUUUGUAUUUAUUAUUUAAUACUGACCACACGGUUUUUAAUGUAGAUGUUGGUCCGGGAGAAAAAAGCAGUUCCAGUUUAUGUGGUUAAGAGACCAGUUCUUCCUUGAGCUGCAAUAAUAAGAAGCAAGUGAAUAUGUAAUUAUUUGUUGAAGCAAUGCAUAGAAGUUCGAAAAUAGAAAAUUGGGAAGGAAUCAUAAUGCUUCAUAUGUCCAAAGUUCAGCUGCAACCAUUUGUCACUCUCAUCUGACCUACUCUGUCAUCAUUUGCAACAACACUCCCCUUUCUCUAUUAGCCACUACAUGAAUAACAUUGUCAUAAUCCUAAACAAUGAAUAAAUGAUUCUAGAAAAACAAAAGGUUCACUAAGUGUUCACUUUGACUACAAAAUAAAAUUGAGUGUUUCGCAUGCCCAUGGUACAGCAACACCUUUUUCUUAUUCUAGCAAAUUAUUCCAAAUCAUAAACCUACAGAUACGAUCGUAGGUUAUGUUAUACAAAAAUGAUUCCAAAAACAUACUUAUUACGGUGACGUAUGCAGAUUUAAAAUAUUAUCUGGUACUCAUGGAUAAGAAAAAUGCUAUAUGCGUUUAAUGAAGACUGUCAAUAACUAAUUUAGGUGAAUUGAGCUAUCAGCGAUAGUGCGCUAGAUAAAAAAAACAAUUCUUUCAAUUAACAAAUCAUGAGAUGUAAAUAAUCUGGAUGAUAUUUGAUAACAGUAGUAAUUUUAGUUAAUUAGAUUAGAGUAUGAGGUAUGCAUGCUUUGACCUUUAACUGAGCUUCCUAACAAAUAUUGAUCUUGCAUAUUUUUCUUUCCAUCUGAUGAUCGAUGUCCAUGGCCAGUAUUCUGAUCUCCUGAGCCAUUUUGAUCAUGGUGGCUAUCAACCUCUAUCCGACCACCUUUCGCUUGGAUGAUUAUGUGGAUUUUAUUUAGAAAGCAAAGCAUGGAAAUCAAAUUGGUCUGGACUAAGGAUUUUUUCUAUUGAUUUAUAUUCCUCUUGAAUGAAUUGAAAUUCAAGAGACACCAAAUUGAUUAUGAUUAAAUAAAUUGCCCAUGUAUAUUGAGUGUUAAAAUUCAUAAAAAUCUAUAAGGUCUCUGAAUAGGCCCACGAACUCAAACUGAAUGUACCUCUGCGACAGAGUAGACGGCACAACACAUGAUAUACUAGGCUCAAAAAACUGAAAAAAAAAAUCGCAGAAACUGGAUCUCAACUCUCAACAUUAUAGCUUCUCAGUUCACAAUUUUUGCAUGUAAAGCAAAAAUAUUGAACCUUCCUAGGAUAAUUCUCUUUCAUGUAGAUCUGCCAGAGCGAGAGAGGGAAGGUGGAGGUCGUGGGCUCGUGGCUGGUGGGGAACUGGGGAUCUUCGCAAUGGUGCCAAAGCUUCAGCGUUCACCUCGCGUCGCACCAUAGUUGCUCGACUUCAUGCUGCUGCUGCCGAGGAAAGGAAGAGGACGGGAGUGCACUGACAUUUAGCAGUUGUCUUCCUGUUUUUUCUUGCUAGUAAGUUGAGAGAAAAUGUUUGGACAAGUAUUCCCAGCCCUAGUAUUUACAACUUUACAAUCUUUUGCUUCACAUCGUCUGGUCUUAUCAAGAACAAAAAUCAAUGAUUAUUUGAUAGCAUCGGUUGAGUACUCACAAUGAGAUCAACUUGAAGAUCACCUUAGAUAGCUUGAAUUUAUCCAAUGCACGGAGGCAAUUUUGCACAAAGUGGUAAAAAUCAAUGCAAUAAGUGUCAUCAAGUGAUUUUCUUGAAAUUUUUUCGAUGUCAGCUUCUGGCUUACAAUGCAGUCAAGACGAUGUAGUGAUCCAAUCCUCAGGGAUUAAUAUUUUCUAAUGCAAGCUAAUAAGUUGCUAACUGAUGUAAGCUAAUAAAGAAAAACAUUUGAACAAAUAAGCAAGCUAGCCUUGGCAGCUGGAGUAGGUCCAAUGUGGUUACCAUAGAGAGACAGUUAUACUAGAACUGGGACUAGAUGAUUUACUCAUGGAAUCAUGGAUUUGCCAAGCUUGUGAUCUAAAAACCGUGAGAUGUAUUAUCAAGGGUUAAUAUUUUAUCUCGUGUUCCAAUCAUGCAGCAUCAAUGGCCAAUGUGCCAUCAUCAUGUUCGAUGUCACCUCAAGGAUCACCUACAAGAAUGUUCCCACCUGGCACAGGGAUAUCAGCAGGUAAAAUUUUAGCCUAUUGCACAUGCCCCUUGUUUCAGUAUCCUGGAGUAGUAUAAUAGCCAUUUUCUCGAAUUGAUCUGGUACAUCUAUUAUUGUGCAUAUUAGGGUGUGUGAGAACAUCCCGGUUGUCCUGUGCGGCAACAAGGUGGAUGUGAAGAACCGGCAGGUGAAGGCCAAGGCAGUGACUUGCCACAGGAAGAAGAACCUCCAGUACUACGAGAUCUCUGCCAAGAGCAACUAUAACUUCGAGAAGCCUUUUCUGUACCUUGCAAGGAAGCUCGCAGAGUGGGUAUUGUCGUUAUUCUGUAGCAACUAGCAAAUCUACAUUGUACCACACCUAUACAUCUGCCCAAUUUUCUCUUGAUUGCAAUGCUAUGGUAUAGCAACACCAAACGAUUGGUGAUCUGAUACAUGACUGUAAAUGCAGGAACAUGGACGUCAAGUUCGUCGAAGAGUUAGCCCUCGUCCCUGUCGACGUGACCAUGGACGUUGCAGCGCAGCAACAGUAAGUCAUUAUUCAAGCAAACAUGUACCUGAUGACGACACUAAUUUACCCUGCUGCAUAUACAUUGUUUAUAUUAUAAUAGUAAUAAUGCUGAGUGCUUCUCAGAUCAUGGAAUGUUUUUUAUGGCAUGCAGGAUUGACAAAGAGAUCGAACUUGCUGUAGCGAUUCCCCCUGUCGGAUGAGGACGAUGAUAACAUGGAUUGAGCUCAGCCAGAUGCUGUGUCAGGCGGUCAGGCCGUCGGCAGUAGGUUAGUAGCUAUCGGCUGCUUUAGUGGUUACAGAUGUGUGUCCGUCUCAACUCUCAAGCAGGGUGAAGCUGUAGUGUAUCUAGGGGGUGCAGAUGCACCUCCCAAAAUUUCGAAAAUCAAUUAUAAUCACUAAAUUUUCAUCAUAUAUACAACCUCCAUGGCAAAAAUAUAUAUACCCACAAGGCAUGUGUACCUCUUCAAUUUUCUCUAGCUUCGCUACUGCUCUUAAGGAGACGUCUUGGACUUGGUUGAGUUGUUUGGCUUGCUGCUUGAGGAAUCUGAUGGUAUUCAAAUAGGAAUGAUAAGUUCGUUUAUGCUUCAUGCUAAAAAAAUCAUUUAUACUUUAUUAAUAGGCAAUAUCCCUUCUCUCUCUAUCUUCUAUUAUUAUCUUUUUCGUGGUGCGGACAACAUGGGAGAAUUUGACUGGGUACUAGCCUUCUUGCUCAACAGCAUAUCAUACAAGCUAUUCACAGUAGUGGAGUUGGGGAUCACUCGGGAUUUUUACCAACAUAUCACCGAAUCAAACACCUGUUCAUUUGGCCUAAGAUGCAAGAGGAUAUACAGAGCUAUAUUAAAGGAUGUUUAGUUUGUUAGCAAGCUAAGGUUGAGCACACCAAGGCUCCUAGGCUGCUUCAGCCCCCAUUCCAGACCAAGCUUGGAAAGUCAUUUGUAUGGAUUUCAUGGAAGGCUUGCCAAAGUCUCAAAGAUUUGACACCAUUUUGGUUUGGAUAACUGAUGAAACCCAAAGUACUAACCUCUAUGUUAAUGUGUGUAGAUUAGAUAAGGUUAGUACAUAUCAAGUGAUAGAGCAAGAGAUGAUCAUGGUGAUGAUAGUGAUGACCACAAGAUGAUCAAGUGCUCAACUUAAAAAAGAAGAAAGAGAGAAAAACAAAAGAUCAAGGCAAAGGUAUUGCUUAGGGUUUGGUUUUGGUGAUCAAGACACUAUAGAUAGCGUGAUUAUGUUUAGGAUACAUAGUCAUACUAUAAAGAAGGGAAUUCUUUGGCUAAGCAGUCUAUCGAGUGUCGCUAGGUGACUUUGUUCAUGUGCAUGCAUUUAGAAUCUAGUGUGCUAACUUAACCCUUGAAAAUAUUUGUGAAAAUAUGCUAACACAUGUGCACGAGGUGACACACUUGGUGGUUAGCACUUUUGUGCAAGGGUUGAAGAGGUGGAGAGGAGUUGGGUCUCUCUCUCUCCACCGAGCUUGCGAGGUAGGAUUCGAUACUUUUGAGAAAAUAAAAUAUAUAUUUUCUAUUGCACCAGUGGAAAGUUUGGAGAAGUCAUGAGAGUGUUUUUUACUAGAAAAAUACUCACCGGACGCUGGCUCCGGGAGCGUCGGACCCUGGGCCAGCGUCCGACGUGUGCUGGCUAUGUGGCGCAGAUCUAUAGAGUGCAUCGACACGUUCGACGUGUUCACGUCAGACGCUGGCCAAGCACUAUUGAGCGUCUGGUGCGUGCGGUGACAUCAGUAGAUCUGUGAGCGGGGUUUUCCAGUGUUGUGCACAUCAAACGUUGGCUGCAUCCGAUGCCCUACCGUCUAACAUGUCUGAUGCCUCCUCGAGCUAUUUCUAAACUCUCUGUGUAGCGUCCACUAUGAGGUCCGUGCAUCCGGAGUGUAGCACCUGAUGCGUCCGACGCCUCUUAAUUCAUCGCUUUAAUGUUUAAGUGACCAUUGGAGAUCAACGGUUCACAUUUGACUAAGGACACGUGGUAGCGAUCCAGCGGUGUUGUUAGAGGUUAGGGCGGCGUUGGACGCUGGGUAGCAUCGGACACCUAAGCGUUGGUGCGUCCUACGCCUCUGAUAGAGCACUUCCCUAGGGGUAACAACUUUAUUCUUUUAAAUACAUGUUGGUUGGCUUGGGCUCACUUUCUUGGCAUUUUGAUAUACUUGACAUCCUUGUGAGCCUAAGCAAACACCUUCCACUCAUCUCUAUCAUUGAUUCAUCAUCAUAGUGAGAUUGGGAGUGAUUUCAAGUGCAUUUGCUUGAGUGAUUGCAUUUAGUGGCACUUGAGGAUUGUUGUGGUUGCGACUUUCUUGUUACUCUUGGUAGUUACCGCCACCUAGAUGGCUUGGAGCAGUGGAGGAGCAUUGUCAUGAAUUGGUGAUUGUUCUUGGCCAUCUCCUAGUGAGUGUGAGGGGUUCUUGUGCCUUUCUUGGUGGAGCACCAAAGGUAACUCUAGUAGAUUACGCGUGUCAUUGAGCUACCUCAACUGUAGGUAGGUUCUUGAGGUGUCCUAGUGAGGACGAGGUUCGUGUAACACCUUUUAGCCACCAAACCACCAAGUGUUGGUUGACACAACGAGGACUAGUGUGCCGGUAAGCACGUGAACCUCGGGAGAAAAAAUAGUGUCGCAGCUGUGAUUGUUUGAUAUUCUCCCAGUGAUUAAUUGUUCACAUUUUGGUGAUUGGUUCAUCCCCUACACGAUGGUAUAAAGAUCACAUCCUAUCCUUUUACAUUCUCGUAAAGUAGUGUAACUAGUUUUAGUUGCUACCUUUGUCUUGUAUAGCUUAGUUCACUAGUGUAGCUUGUAGUGACAUAACUCUUAUGUGCCUAGUGAUCUUAGUAACUAGAAUUGCUGGGAUAGGUGGCUUGCAAACCCUCUAUUAGAGCUAGAGCAAAAAAUUUCGCUUUGUUAUUUACUAACUCCUUACUCUAGAGUUUGUAGAUUUUUAAAUAGGCUAUUCACCCCCCUCUAGCCAUAUCAGGACCUUUCACUCUUGUGGUCAGUUCUAAUGAUUAACUCUUGAUGUCGCAAAUAAGCCCUCCAUUUCUCCACAACCAUAAUUAUUGCUAAACAUUUUUUUCAUAAGUUGACAUGGACUGAUUCUUAGAGCAUACAACCUUGCUCAAUUAGGCUAUAGGAUGAUUAUUCUACAUCAACAUAGCCCCAAAGCCAAUGUCACUAGCAUCAGUGUCAAGGAUAAAUUACUUUUGUAAAUCAGGUAGUGCUAAAACUGGUGCUUGCACUAAAGCCUGUUUCAACUGUUGGAAAGCUGUAUAGUAACUAUGUCCAAACAUAAGGAGCUCCUUUCUUCAAUAAAUCAACAAGUGGUCUACUGAUAAGCCCAUAAUGUUUUAUGAAACUCCUAUAGUGUCCUGUCAGGCCUAGAAAACCACUGAGCUCUUUCAAGUUUUUGAGAGUUGGCCAUUGCUGAACUGCCUGAACUUUAGCUAGCUUAGUUGAGACACCUUGAGCAUACAUGUAUGACCCAAGUGCUCCACUACUGACUGAGCAAAUGUGCACUUAGACAUUUUUCCCAUAGAAUUUGUGCUUCCUCAAGAUAUCAAACACCUGCUACAGAAGAUGAAUGUGCUUUGAUAGAGUUGAUGAACAAAUCAAUAUAUCAUUCAAGAAAACUAAUACAACCUUUCUCAAUAUGGCAGCAAAAAUGAAGUUCAUCACACUCUGAAAUGUGGCUGGUGCAUUAGUUAGGCCAAAUGGCAUCACUAAGAACUCAUACAAUGCAUUAUGAGUCUUGAAAGUUGUUUUGUGUGUGUGAGCCGCUUCCACAAAUUGAAAGGUCCAAAUGGCUAGAGGGGGGUGAAUAGCCUAUUUGAAUUUUCUACAAACUUCAACUAGACAAGUUGAUUAGUAAAACAAAAGGCGAAGCUAUUCUAGCACUGGCACAACUAAGCUAUGCAAGCCACCUACACAAGUCUAGCAAGAAAGCUAAACACUAGUUACAACAAGAAAGCACAACUAGAAGCUUGCUACACUCCUAAACAAGAUAGCUAAGCUAAACAAGCUACACAACUAGCAAGGUAUGCUCAUAAGUAAAGGAGAGGGAAGUGAUUGUUAUACCAACGUUGUAGAGUAGAAAUAUAGCCAAUCAAUCAAUCAAUCACAAUUACAAGAGAAUCCUCGGCAAGAGAUGACAUAAGAUUUUUUACCGAGGUUCACUUGCUUCCCGGCAAGCUAGUCCUCAUUGUGGCGAUACACCCACUUGAUGGAUCACGAGCUAAUUGGCAAUCCAAAGCUAAACCCUUAGCGGGUGCCGCACAUCCACUCAUAAGAUGGGGAUCCUCCAAGCCACGAGCAAUCCACUAGAGUAGCCAAUUGCGAUCUCCCGCGGGGAAGGCUCAAGAACCCCUCACAAAUCACUUGGUGAGGCUCGAAACAAACUCCAAUCACGAGCUCAACACCACCGCUGCUCCAAGCCGUCUAGGGUAUCGGGAAACAUCCAAGAGUAAUAAGAAAUCCGCAGCAAACUCAAGAAUCAAAUGCCACUAGAUGCAACUCUCAAAGCAAUGCACUUGAAUCUCACUCAAUCUCACUAAGAUUAGCAAUCAAGCAAGAAGAUGAGUGGAAGGAGUGUUCUCUAGCUCAAUGUAUGCCUCAAGUAUUCAAAUGUGCAAGAGUUAACCUCCCAAAGCCGGUCACCCUCUAUUUAUAAGCCCCCUCAAAGAAACUAGCCGUUGGCUGUUUUCACUGGGCUGAAAUCGGGGGCACCGGACGCUACCAAGUGGGCACCGGACGCUUGACCCCUUGCGUCCGGUGCUCUGGAGUUAGCCACGUGUCAUUCUUGAAUCACGCGCGUCAGUCUCUAACGGCUACCUGCAAAACACCGGACGCUCUGUAGGUCCACACCGGACGCGUCCGGUGCACACCAGACUAAAACUCACGGAGGUAUGCAAAUACUCGGGGUCACCGGACGCUGAGCACCAGACCGUCCGGUGCUCACCGGACUCAUACCCAGAGAGGUUUGCAAAACCACGCGGACACCGGACUCAGAACACCGGACGCUCUAACCUGCGUCCGGUGCCUGGCGUCCGGUGCCUAACCCUAGCUGAGCCAGGCAGCCUGUACACCAGACGCACAGGUGCAGCGUCCGGUGAGUGAUUCUCAGUGAGAAAUACUCCCGCGACUUCUCCAAAUUUCCCACCGACGCAAUAGAAAAUAUACACUUAAUUUUCUCAAAAGCGCUGAAAAAUCCUAGGAACCCACACCCCUCUCAACCCUAGGAACUCCACCUCCUUUGCAAAAGUGCUAACACCAACAAGUGUCCACCACCAAAGUGCAUGUGUGUUAGCUUUUCACAAAUAUUUUCAUCAAAGGAGUUAAGUUAGCACUUUACUAGAUCCUAAUGCAUAUGCUCAAGAUAUGGACCUAGUAGCACUUGAUUCGAGAGAUAACCGUUGUUGACGGUCCUUAAGUACUAAAAUUAACCAUCAACUAAACAUGGAAAAGGAUCAAUAUGCACCAAACAUCUAGAAUUAGGGUUUUAUCUGACAGAAUUCCACGAGCUUUGGUGUUUAUCUAUUUCUGCAGGGGGUUAUCAGAAAAUAGGGAGAGAAGGCCCACAUGUCAUGUUUACAACGAGAUAAUUACGUGUCGCACAAUUUUCCUUAAUCUAGAAGAGUCCAGAAGCCACGGAAACGAACGGGAGACCAGACGGGCUCAGGGGCAGAGCGCUCGCCCUCCCCCCUUGGGCGCCCGCCCUGGCCUCGGGCCAAUCACAAUCAACUUCGCAGAUUAUGCUCCACCGACCUAAAGGAUCAAGGAAAACCGUGCGAUCAAUGUCAGUUUGAUCCGACGGCCCAAAUUCACUUGAAAGGACUAUAUAAUCAAGGCCUCUCCACCCCUGGGGGAGAGAGGAGAAAUCAUUAUCAGAGGUAGCCAUCAAAGUUAGGGUUUAGAACUUCUCUCCCACAGAGAAUUAGAAUUAGCUACUCCCUAAUCCUUCAAGUUUAGAGGAUUGAUUAGAUAGAAUUAGAGAAGUAGAGCACUACGCUCUAGAUUCGGAUCUUCGUUAAUAAAGAUUGGUAUUAUUUCAUAUCUUUCUCUAAUACUUUGUUCUAAUUACAUUAUGUCUCUAUUUAUUAUGCUCUUAGUUUGUUCUAGUUCUAUAUUUGAUAUAGUUAUGAUUGAUAAUGAGUUUAUGUAUAAGUUUGCAAAGCGCUUAGCUCUUGACUCGAGGGAGUUAAGUGGUAGAUCACAUGUGGGCGUGGUGCUUAGAUGUUAUUUACCUGCAAAUGUAUCCUAUUGGCCGGGUCGUGUGGUAGUUCGCGAUAAUGACAGCUUCGUUGAUUCUUAUAUAGUCCACCCUCCGUUGAUAGGACAGGCAGAAUUUGUAUUGCGGAGUAAGUCUUGCGAUGCUCUGGUUUACUUUAGCAAUGUUCCUUAUACAUGAAUAAAGAGUCUUUUAUGCUAUAUAUGAUCUUGUAGAUAACUAGAGUAGGUUGUGACUUAGUAGAUAGUAGAUAAUUUAGAAUCCCUUCUCUAGCUAAUCCGACGUCACCUUACAUAUAUGAGGAGUAGUCUAUUUUCUAAUCGCUGUGUUAUUUACCCAUGAACUUAUAUUUCAUUAUCAUUAUCUUUAUGGUUUACCCCCUGCCAAAGUAAGUGACUGUGUGACGAGUUCUUCAUUAGUAAUCAUGUUCUUGCAAGUUUAUCUCUAGUCUAUGCCUUGAUAGAUUUAAUCCUUAUCUUAAUUUCACCCCUGUUCUCUUGAGCAAAAUUAUAAAUAACGAUACCUGGAAUACUUUUCUGGUGAAAUGCUACAAUGAGGUGUUUUAUCUCUGCGCUUGCGGAUAGAAUAGAUUAUUUUCUAGGGAGCCUUUACAUUCAUAAAUACCUUUGUACACUCUGGCACCAUGCUAGGGAUGACAACCUAGUAUCCAAGUGGUGUUAGCUAGUGUCAACAACCGUGAUUUCCCCUCUUGAUAGUCGGCUAUCUAUCCUUAACCCGGUCAAUCACUUCUCUACUCAUCUUAGACCGGCAAAAGUAAAACCCUAUGUUUAUACCUUUGCCUUGAUAACUUUGCUCCUCAUCUAUCACCAUGAUCUCCACAUCAUGCUUCAUCUCUUUGUAAUCAUGUGGCCACCUUUCCAUGCCAUCAUACACCUUCAUCACAUGUGUUGCUAUGCCUAACUCAAAUCACUUAAACACAAGGCAUUAGCAACUUGGUGUCAUUAAUUACCAAAACCAAACUUGGGCUUUCAAUAUUUGAUGAUAACCAGCCCUAAAAUCAAGCUUGGUAAACCAUUUAGAUCCAUGUAGUUCUUCUAUCAGCUUCUCCACUACUGGCAUAGGAUGUUUGUUCUUCACUAUCCAUGCAUUCAGACUUCUAUGGUCUACACAAAACCUCCAAGAGCCAUCCUCCUUCCUUACUAACAAGACUGAAGAAGCAAAGGCACUAGUGCUAGGUUUGAUGAACCCAUUCUUUAGCAUUUUAGCAAGUUUCUUUUCAAUCUCAGUUUUCUAUAUAGGAGAAUACCUAUAAGGUUGAGUGUUCACUGGUUGGGCUCUAGACAGUAAUGGGAUUUGAUGAUCAAACUGUCUUGCUAGUGGCAAUGAGUUUGGGGUUUGGAAGAUAUCCUCAUACAAAGAAAUAAACUGCUUAAUAUCCUAGGACAUUGUCUCAUCUUGAACAACAAGGAUACCUUCAACAACACUAUGCUCAACAAUUUGCUUAAAUUGGAACCAUAGACAGUGAGUGAUUGCCUGCCUCUUGAGCAAACCUCUUAUCUUCAGCUCAUUAGUAGGUGGACAGUGAGACACCUCUUGAGUCAAACCCUUCAGCAAGAUUCUAUGCCCAUUAUAAGUGAAUUUUCAUGUGCUCUUUGGACUAAUGUAUCCACAUAGGGCUACAAGCUUCCAACCAAUCCUCUCCUAGUAUCAUAUCAAAGCAUUUCACAUUGAAUUUAAAUGUAUGGCCUUGACAACUCCGCCUCAGGUUUGGUUACCUCUUGCAUAACAUUGGAGUUCCAUCGGGUGCCAUAUACUGAGUUGGUUCACACGUGGAUGAAGGAAUUGACAACUUCUAGGAUAACUGAUCACUGAUGAAUGUGCCAAAACUUCCAGAAUCAAUAAGGAUCAGUACUUGCAGGUUCCCAAUUUGUCCACACAACCUCAUUGUCUUUCUUUUCACCCCACUGCUAGUGAUAGUAUUCUCCACAACCAAUACUGUCUCCUUAGAUUAAGUAAGAUCUAGAGCAUCUAAGCAUCAAAAUCCUCGAAAGCCAGAGAAAAUUUUACACCCAGGGUGGAAAAUGAUAUUUCCAAACAGUGUGUAAAAAGUCAGUCGUAUGAUGCGUGAAGGGAUUGCACCGAAUAAGUUUCGAACUCAUACCACAGAUUCCUUGCUGGUUAUCGAUUACAUAUAAAUGCUAAAAUUAAAUAGCCAAACUUGAAUUCCCAACAAACUAUCUUUACUGAAUCUAUCUUUUUUUUCAUUUCCAAGAAAAUUACCUUUUUGGGUUGCUUGAACGGACCAAAAGAAUAAAGGACCCCUUUUCAAAAGGGAGACGAGCCCUCAUUAUUAGAACAAAAAAAUGGUUGGUCUAUUAGAUUUAUAUUUGAUGUCUUCAGUUAUAGUUUAUAAGACAUUGGAGUGUAAUUGGCAUCUAAAUGUCUAUACGAGCAUAAUCAUUUCAUGUAAAUUAAACUAGUUCGUAAGUACAGACCUUUGUCAAGGGUUCCCUUUUUUAAGUCACGAACACUAUAACUAAAUGAAACACGUAUUGCAAUGAUACGCUCGUGAAAAAAAUAAUAUAAGCAUAAAUUUAAACUUCGUAAAUCUAGUAUCCCCAUAUCUCUCAACUCUUAUUGCAAUUUAAUUUGCUCACGACGCCUCCUCUCUCGACCUUUUCUUUUUUCCAUCGUCCACUCACCCGUUCUACCCACGCUAGUAUACCGAAAGUUAUAUUUUUUGAGCGACCAAUAUACGUACUUUCUUGAAUUUAAUUUUCAUGUUUUGUUUUAGUUGGCCACGAGGCAGGUGUCGGGUCUUAGGGUGUUGACGUGUAGCAUAUGGAGUUGUUUUUUUGAAGGAAGAAGUCCAUUUUAGGUCCCUCAACUUUCAUGAAAGUCUGUUUUUCAUCCUUGAACUUCAAAACCGGGUAAAAUACAUCCCUCAACUUUCGAAACCGUGCAUAUUACGUCCCUGACAUGGUUAUGAGCGGUUUUGAAGGCUGUUUUGUCUUUUUCAUUUUUAUUUAUUUUGGAUAAAUAUUUGUAAAAUUAUAGUAAAUCACAUAAAAUUCAUAAAAUAGUAAAUCUGAUUUUGUUAGACUCCAGAUAAGUACAUCUACACAAUGAACAUAUAAUAUGGUAUGCUUUAAUAGAAAAUUUUUGUUGUAUCUUUAGAUCUGUGUUUUUCUAUAAUUAAUUAGAAUAGUUCAUAGCUAUAGUUUAUAUGGUCCAACUAUGAUUAUUUUUUUAUGUUGGGAUAAUUAUUAUAUGUUUAAAUUGUGGUAAAAAUCUAAUACUCAUUAGAUCUGUAUAACUUAGUUAUAGAUUUAUUAAGAUUUAACAAGCAUAAACCUAAAUAAAUCUAUAACUAAGUAAUACAUGAUUCAAUGAGUAUGAAAUUUUUACUACAACUCAAUCAUAGAAUAAUUAGCCCACCAUAUAAAUUUCAUCACAAUUGGACCAUAGAAACUAUAGCUAUAAUUAGUCUAAUUAAUUAUAGAAAAGCAUAUAUCUAAAGAUGCAUCAAAAAAAUUUAUAUUAAAAUAUACUAUAUUAUAUAUUUAAUAUGUAGAUCUACUCAUCUGAAGUUCAACAAAAUUGAGUUUUCUAUUUUAUGAUUUUUAUGUGAUUUACUGCGAUUUUUAAAAAAAUCAGCCAAAAUAAAUAAAAAGAAAAAGACAAAACCGCUUUCAAAACCAGGUCAAGGAUGUAAUGUGCACGGUUUUAAAAGUUGAGGGAUGUAUUUUGUCUGGUUUUAGAGUUCAGGGAUGAAAAUUAGACUUUCGUGAAAGUUAAGGGACCUAAAGUGGACUUUUUCCUUUUUUGAAAACGUGUAGCACACGGAGUAGUACGUAUAUGUAGGUCGUACGCUUUUUUUUUCAUUUGUGGCCCAUGAAGUGAUUUUUAGGCCCAAUAGCCCAUUCAUCCAUGUCCUAACCCUAGGGCGCCUUCCUUAUAAAAACCUAGCUCCAUCGUGUUCUCAAACCCUCAGACGCAGUCGGCCGCCACAGACCGGGAGAAGCCGACGCGCCGCCACCGAAUCCUCAGAUCAGCGGCGAGCCGUAACCGCGCCACUCUGCUGCCGCCCGACGAGGUAUUCUGCCGGACGCGCUCGCGCGCGUGCUUCUCUUCCUUCAAUUUUCGCUGCGCUUUGAGCUUGUUCGUUUGAUGCGCUUUGAGCUUGUUCGUUUGAUGCCCAGAUCUACUGGGUUUGUCGUCUAUGUGUGAUGCGCUGAGCCGAUUCAAGCACUGGAUUUCAAAUCAAGUGUUGUUUUCCGCCUCCGCUACCUUUAUUUAGUGUCUAUGUAUGAACAUGGCUGCAGUUUGCAACUGAUUUGUCGAGCCAUAAAUUAUAUAACCGUUACGUUGUUCUAGACUAGAUCCAGUUUCCGAUCUAUGAUAUUACGUGGUUGAGGCACUUCAAUUCUGUUUUGUGUGUAUGAACUGAGCUGAUUCAUGUUCUAAGGUGCUAAUCCAAGUUUUCCUUCCGCCACCUCAUCUACCCGUAGUAUGUACUCCGUAUAUAAACUUGAUUGCAGUUUGCAACUGAUUCUCGUCCAUAGAUUAUUACGUUACGUUGCUAAUUAGAACCAGUUUUCGAUCUCUGAUAUUACGUUGGUAGGGUACAUCCCCUUUGGAUUUUCUGGGGUUUGUCUAAUUACUGGUUUAUUCCCCUAUAUUUAUUUCUAACUGUUUUUAUCUGCUAUUUUUUAUGUAAGCAGCAGCGUAACAGUUUCCUGCAGCCAUGGGUAAGGAGAAGACUCACAUAAACAUUGUGGUCAUUGGCCAUGUCGACUCUGGCAAGUCGACCACCACUGGCCACCUGAUCUACAAGCUUGGUGGUAUUGACAAGCGUGUGAUCGAGAGGUUCGAGAAAGAGGCUGCGGAGAUGAACAAGAGGUCGUUCAAGUAUGCGUGGGUGCUUGACAAGCUCAAGGCUGAGCGUGAGAGAGGUAUCACAAUUGAUAUUGCCCUGUGGAAGUUCGAGACCACCAAGUACUACUGCACUGUCAUUGAUGCUCCUGGACACCGUGACUUCAUCAAGAAUAUGAUCACUGGUACUUCCCAGGCUGACUGUGCUGUUCUUAUCAUUGACUCCACCACUGGUGGUUUUGAGGCUGGUAUCUCCAAGGAUGGCCAGACCCGUGAGCAUGCUCUCCUUGCUUUCACACUUGGAGUGAAGCAGAUGAUUUGCUGCUGCAACAAGGUAUGAUUCUAGGAAUUCCUGUCUAGUCUGGUUCAUGAUCUGAGAUGCCUGUAAAUAUGUGCUUCAAUAGUCUAGGCUGCACUCAAUUACACUUUGAAUACCACAUUUGUGUUCUGAUUCAGUAACUAAUGUUGGUUGUAUUAUAAAUUUGGCAAAAUGAAACACUGUUUACUUACAUUGAAAAAGUCUGCUUCCUACAUGUUUAUUUAUGAUAGCAUUUUUUCUGCAUCACUAUGCAUUCUGCAUUACUUUGCAUAAUCCAGUAUAAAUUUUUCAGGAAUUUUUUCCCAAUAGGCGAUUGAACUUUGUAAUCCACCUUAUUUUUGAAAUUGUCUGAAGUUGUUGGAAUGCUUGCAAUGCAUAUGUAAUUGAAGGAUAUGGGUUUGCUUAAAUGUCUUUAUAUGAUUGCAGUAGUAACUUUGUUUACUGCUUUACCUUGUCAAAUAGUAAUGGGACGCUGAUUGCUUUCAUUGAAUAAGCUAUCUACGUUGUACAUAUGUACGAUAGCAAUUUAUCUGCAUUACUUUGUAUAAUAUAAUAAGAGUUUUCAGGAUAAUUUUUUUUCAAUAGGUGUUGUAAAUUUUUAAUCCCACCUUAUUUUAGAAAUUUUCUUAAGUUGUUGGAAUGUUUAAAAUGCAUAUGCAAUUAAAGGAUAUGGGUUUUGUUUAAAUGUCUUCAUAUGAUUGCAGUAGUAACUUCGUUUACUGCUUUACCUUGUCAAAUAGUAAUGGAACACUGAUUGCUUUCAUUGAAUAAGCCAUAUACAUUAUACAUGUUUAUGUAUGAUAGCAAUUUAUCUGCAUUACUUUGCAUAAUAUAAUAUGAUUUUCCAGGAUAAUUUUCCCAAUAGGUGAUGUAAAUUUUUAAUCCCACCUUAUUUUAGAAAUUUUCUUAAGUUGUUGGAAUGUUUGCAAUGCAUAUGUAAUUAAAGGAUAUGGGUUUUCUUAAAUGUCUUUAUAUGAUUGCAGUAGUUAGUUUACUUUGCUUUAUAUUUUUACGUCCUGCACGAGUUAACAUGAUCAAAUUUGUGAAGUAUGUUUAUCUGCCUGGUGGUUGUUUCUGUUGACCCCCAACAAAUCUCAUUCCAAGUGUAGUUGACCAGUUAGUUUUGAUUGUUAUGUUCUUUGAGUUUUACUGUUUGCUUGCUGUUUAUGUAACUUAUCUCAAUCAACUAAUGAUAUUGUUUUGGUUUUGCUGUGUUACAGAUGGACGCCACCACACCCAAGUACUCGAAGGCCCGUUAUGAUGAGAUUGUGAAGGAAGUCUCUUCUUACCUGAAGAAGGUUGGAUACAACCCAGACAAGAUCCACUUUGUUCCCAUCUCUGGUUUUGAAGGUGACAACAUGAUUGAGAGGUCCACCAACCUUGACUGGUACAAGGGCCCAACCCUGCUUGAGGCUCUGGACUUGAUCAAUGAGCCAAAGAGGCCUUCAGACAAGCCACUGCGUCUCCCCCUUCAGGACGUGUACAAGAUUGGUGGUAUUGGAACUGUUCCUGUCGGGCGUGUUGAGACUGGUAUCAUCAAACCUGGUAUGGUUGUUACCUUUGGUCCUAGUGGCCUUACAACUGAGGUUAAGUCUGUUGAGAUGCACCACGAGGCUCUCCAGGAGGCCCUUCCUGGUGACAAUGUUGGCUUCAAUGUUAAGAAUGUUGCUGUGAAGGAUCUGAAGCGUGGGUAUGUGGCCUCCAACUCCAAGGAUGACCCUGCCAAGGAGGCUGCUAGCUUCACCUCCCAGGUCAUCAUCAUGAACCAUCCUGGGCAGAUCGGCAACGGCUACGCCCCAGUGCUGGACUGCCACACCUCACACAUUGCUGUCAAGUUUGCUGAGCUGGUUACCAAGAUUGAUAGGCGAUCUGGCAAGGAGCUUGAGAAGGAGCCCAAAUUCCUCAAGAACGGUGAUGCUGGUAUGGUGAAGAUGGUUCCCACCAAGCCCAUGGUGGUGGAGACCUUCUCUGAGUAUCCUCCUCUUGGUCGCUUUGCUGUCCGGGACAUGAGGCAAACGGUGGCUGUUGGAGUCAUCAAGAGUGUGGAGAAGAAGGACCCAACUGGAGCCAAGGUGACCAAGGCUGCCGCCAAGAAGAAAUGAUGCGCCUCUGUUUGCUCGUGGGAUACCUAGUUGAAACUUCAAAAAUAUAUCGUCAUUGCUGUUGCUGUUAUCGCUUGAGCAACUAAACUGUGCUGGCAAUGUUUGUCUGGUCCAUCUAGUACUGUUAUUUUUGCUAAAACCAGGGUGCUGUUGAGACUCAAUUCUGUUAUUUUUGUAUCGAACAACGGGUGUUAGCCAUAUAUGGUUGAGUUUUUGUUACUACCGGUGUUGCAGUGUUUUUCUGAACUUAUUUUGCUGUUUCUAAAUAGCUGAUGAUUCGCUCGUCGAUACCUGUCUGCUGCGUUCAAAUUUCUUUUUUCGAUCCUUUUGAAGAUGCGGUUUGGGAAAUACUUGAUAUUGCGAUCUGGGGAAUAUAAAAAGUAUUUCUCAAACCGCAUAUCAAGUAUUUUGCAAUACUGUUUUGAAAAAAGUAUUUUGGAAUAUUCUACCGAAAAUAUUAUAAAUUAUAAUGUAGUCCUGAAACUCCCGUGGCAUCAAAACCUGUACUUACCAGGAACACUGGCGCGCUGAUUUAUAUUAGAAGUUGCAGACUGAAGUCUUAUUAAUUCCAUCGUAACAUAGGAGAUUUAAUUCAUUCAAAGCUAGAUAGAAUUAUUUUUUUAGAAGUUGCAGACUAAACUCCUAUUAAAGCAUUGCUAAAGGAGCAUAUACGCUCAAGUUCGUAUCUAUCACAAACCAAAUAAUCUGGAUCUUUUCAAAAAAAAAAACACCAAAUAAUCUGGAUAGUUGUAGUACUUUGGCAUACAAGAUAGAAUCUUAGCAUGUGGUUUAUCUUGCAAAUUUUGUAAAUGGAAAUUUGCAACCGUUUACUUCUAACUUUUGAGUAUGGCCUUGUUUAGUUCACCCCGAAAACCAAAAAGUUUUCAAGAUUCUCCGUCACAUUGAAUCUUGCGGCACAUAUAUGAAGAAUUAAAUAUAGACAAAAAUAAAAACUAAUUAUAUAGUUUACAUGUAAAUCACAAGACGAAUCUUUUGAUCCUAGUUAAUUUAUGAUUGGACAAUAUUUACCACAAACAAACGAAAGUGCUACAGUAGCGAAAUCCAAAAAACAUUUACAUCUAAACAAGGCCUAUUUCUAUUGAUUGUAGCUUAUAUAUACUUUGAUCCCUCAAGAGCAAGGUGUCGAGCUGGAGAAAGGAAGAGUUCUUUGGAAUGUAUUGUUUUUGGAGAGUUCUGGAAUGUGUUUGCUGGAACAAUAGUAAGGUUAGCUCGACACUGGAAACAUGGUUAUUGUUUGUUGCUGCUUAAAAUAUGGCCUGCUUAAAAUAUGGCCUGAUAGCACAGGAAACAUGGCAGUUGUUUUGUAGCUUAGAAACGUGGCUGUUUCUGAUGCUUGAACACGAGCUAAUAGGAUGCAAGAUAACAUGGUACUGUACAUGAUUGGUCAAGUAGAAGAUUCCUGAUGUGCCACUGAAAACAACUUUCCUUUAGUUUUAACUUUUACCAUCCACUUUAGCUUCUUUUACGUUUUUUUUUGCAAAAUAGACACCGUAGCACUUUCGUUUGUAUUUGAUAAAUAUUAUCUUAUUAUAGACUAACUAGACUCAAAAGAUUCGUCUCGUAAAUUACAGACAAACUAUGCAAUUAUAUAUAUACACACACACACAUUCAUUUGUAUUUAGUAAUUAUUGUCUAAUCAUGUACUAAUUAGGCUCGAAAGAUUCGUCUCGCAAAUUAUAGUCAAACUGUGUAAUUAAUUAUUUUUUAUCUAUAUUUAGUGUUCAAUGCAUGCUUCCAAAGAUUCGAUAUGAUGAGAAAUCUUGAUUUUUUUUUGGAAACUAAGGGUAUGUUUAGAUCCCUUUAAAAUUCUAAAAGUUUACAAGAUUCCCUGUCACGUCAAAUCUUGCGGCACAUGCAUGAAGUAUUAAAUAUAGAUAAAAAAAUAACUAAUUGUAUAGUUUGUAUGUAAAUCCUGAGAUGAAUUUUUCGAGUCUAGUUAGUCUAUUGUUGGACACUAUUUUACAAAUACAAACAAAAAUACUACAGUAUCAAAAUUCUAAAAUCUUUUGCAUCUAAACAAGGCCCCACCAACCCGCCUACUGCAGCACAUAGGAAUCCCAUCCCACCAUCUCUCCUAAUAUUAAUCUGAAGCUCCGCCCUAAAUAAUAUACUUCCAUUCUAAAAUAACCGUUAUUUGUGUUUUCUAAAAGUAACUUUGAAAUAUUAAAAAAUAUCAAUAUUUAUGGUAUAUACUUUCCCCGUCCUGAAAUAGAGUGCAUUGUAACUUUUAAAAAUUGUAUUGGAAUACAACGCAUUCUACGUAACAACUAUAUUUCGAUUUGACAAGGUUUGUUAAAAAAGAAGUCAUCAUUUUAGGGAAAACUCUAUAAUUAGAAUAAUAUAUGAGUACAUGUGUCAUUUGAGUGUUUCUUUAGAUUGUCUUAAAAUUUAUAGAACACAUAGGUUUAUAGGACAUAGGGAGUAAUUAAUAUCAAUAGAAAGAUCUUUGAAUCUAGUUAUUUAACAAAUUUAUGAGAGAUAAAAAUAUUGCACAUAUUUUCUACAAAUUAAGUUAAACUUGUAACACAAAACCAAAAAACAGUUAAUUUAGAACACAGAGAGAGACACUGUUUAGGACUACAACUGGCUUUUGAGUUCUUGCUUAUGACCGUAAUUUCCGCAAAAAAAAAAAAAGGAGAUCAUGCCCACAAAAGGAAGAUAGCAGCCGAUAGCCAGUUCUAACCACGAUCGGUGAGGAUUAUAGGCUGCUACCUUCCUUUCAUGGUCACAAGUAACAAAUCAGAAAUCAGUUGUAUUUUCAAGAUAACAGUUGUAUUAUUUAGGGCGAAGCUCCGCAAUAAUAUUAAGAUCUGUAUAUGAAUAACUUAGGUGUUUUAUAUAUAAUUUUUAUGAAAGGAAAAUUAGAAAAAAAUCAAAGCAAAAAGAUUCAGGGAAAUAUAAACAUAUAUUAUUAAAUCUCUAAUUCAGGUAUCAAGAUUCUGUUCUAUUCAGAAAGGUUAAUAAUUGAGCAAACAGGAAACAUCCUAAGGAAGGAUAAUGGGCUCAGUUUCCAUACGCCUUAGGCCUUAUUUAGAUCCAAAAAGUUUUUAAAUUUUAACAAUUAUAGAGUAACUAGGUUUAAAAGAUUCGUUUUGUGAUUUAUAAUCAAAUUAUAUAAUUAGUUUUUGUUUUCAUCUAUAUUUAACAAUCCAUACAUGUGCUGCAAGAUUCGCUAUGAUAGAAAAUUUUGAAAAGUUUUUGUGACCAAGGCCUUAAAAGUACUCCUUUCUCCAUCACGAGAUGUGGAGGAGCACGCGGCGGCGGUGAUUCGGGAGAGGCUCUGAAAAGACUCGGGCUUGUUUAGUUCUAUUUUUUUUUAAAAAAAAUGGAUACUGUAACGUUUUCAUUUGUAUUUGAUAAAUAGUAUUUAAUAUGAAUGAACUAGAUUUAAAAGAUUUAUCUCGCAAAUUACAAAUAAAUCAUACAAUUAGUUAUUUCUUUUAUCUAUAUUUAAUGUUCCAUGUAUAUAUCUAAGAUUCAACGUGACGAAGAAUUUGAAAAAUUUUACAAAAUUUUUUAGACCUCGAUGCGGGUGCACCGUUUUGGUGGCUCGAUCAAAAUCCUAUGACGUGACGUGAGAGACGAUGCUACAUGUCUAUUAUAGCAGGCUAAAUUUUCGCUGGUAAGGUAUGACUGAAAAUAUCGUUCGCUAAUUUAUUAUAACAACAAUGCUGGCUGACAGAAAAAAUAUGAUUUAUAUAAGAUAAACAAAAAGAGCCUUAAUCCUCCAUUGAAAAAAAAUAAGUGAACGCUACUGCAUUUUCCCAAGGGUCAUAUGUACGGCCCAGAUAGGAACUCGUCAAGUCAUCAACAAAUCUGACGGCGCACGAAGCCGCUUAGGAUUCAAGCUAACCACCCUUGCAACCGCGGCGCAGGCGGUCGCGUCGAACGCAAGCAGACGACGGCACGGCGCCCCUAUAUAUACAGCCACAGCCACGGCGGCGAUCACCUCCCCACCCAGAACCUCCUUGUCGCCGGCGAUCGAUCCUUCUAAAUCCGUCGCCCACCCAACCUCUCCUCCGAUCCCGUCGACUCGCGCUCCGAACCUCGGAGGCACGGACUCGACCCCAAUGGUGCGCUCCUUUCUUGAACCCUUUGCUUCCGUGUCAGGGUUUGAUUUCGUCGUAUUUGGUGUGCGAGACCGACGUUGCUGUCGAAUCUUGAUCCGUUCCGAUCUGCCGUCCCAGGCCAUCCUAGUUCCUAAUGCUAUGUUUUUUUUUUCUUCUCUCGUGCUGAUUUGUUGAUUUUCGUGUACGAACGCAGGCUCUGCCAAACACCCCGCCUGUGGACUUCCCCAGCUUCAAGCUUGUCCUCGUUGGCGACGGUGGCACUGGUAAGGCUCUUGAUCUUGUUAUUAGCAGUUUAUUAUCGGUAGCGCUUCAAUGUUGCCCAAAUUUUGUCAUAACUGUGCCUCUCUUGUUUAUGCCAUCUUGCAGGGAAGACGACGUACGUGAAGAGGCACAUCACUGGGGAGUUUGAGAAGCGAUACGAACGUGAGCAGCAAACAUUUAAGUUUUUUCUCGUAUAUAUAUAUAUAUAUAUAUAUAUAUAUAUAUAUAUUAGCACGAUUUCGGGUUCUUGGGGGAGGGCAUAGACCUCUUGCUGUUUAAGAUUCUCGCCUAACUGUCUGAUUGAUCUGUUCGUUCUUGAUCUGCUUGACGAUUUGCAGCAACAAUCGGGGUGGAGGUGCGCCCUCUCGACUUCACCACGAGCCACGGCAAGAUAAGGUUCUACUGCUGGGACACGGCCGGCCAGGAGAAGUUUGGUGGCCUCCGUGAUGGAUACUAGUAAGAACCUUACAUCCAACUAGUUCUUCGCUUCAUUCAGAUGUUGCAACUUGACACUUAGAAGUUGCCAUCCUGAUUUUUUUAGCUAGUAAGUUCAGAGGAAAUGUUUUGGACAAUUAAUCUGAUGGGCCCUAUUUACAACUAUUAGUCGAAUGCUAACUACAUUACAAUCUUUUGCUUCACAUUGUGUGGUCUUAUCAAGAACAAAAAUCAAUGAUUAUUUGAUAGCAUCGGUUGCGUACUCACAAUGUAGAUCAACAUGGAGAUCAGCUUGAGUAGCUUGAAAUGGUAGAAAUCAAUGCAAUAAAUGUCAUCAAGUGGUGUUUUUGAGAUUUUUUUGAUGUUAGCUUCUGAGUUACAAUGAACUCUAGAUGAUCUGGUGAUCCAAUCCUCAGAGUUUAAUAUUUUCUCAUGCAAGCUAAGUUGCUAACUGAUGUAAGCUAAUAAACAAAGACAUUUAAACGAAUAAGCAAGCUAAUAAUUCCCGGAGGAAACAAAUUUGCUCAUAUAUUCAAGGGUUAAUAUUUGCUCAUAUGUUCUAAUCAAUCAAUGCAGCAUCAAUGGUCAGUGUGCCAUCAUCAUGUUUGAUGUCACCUCAAGGAUCACCUACAAGAAUGUUCCCACCUGGCACAGGGACAUCAGCAGGUAAAAUUUUUUGCCUUUUGAAUUGCUCACAUGCCUCUUGUUUCAGCGUCCUUAAUUGGUCUGGUACAUCUUUUAUUGUGCAUAUUAGGGUGUGUGAGAACAUCCCGGUUGUCCUGUGCGGCAACAAGGUGGAUGUGAAGAACCGGCAGGUGAAGGCCAAGGCAGUGACUUACCACAGGAAGAAGAACCUCCAGUACUACGAGAUCUCUGCCAAGAGCAACUAUAACUUCGAGAAGCCUUUUCUCUACCUUGCAAGGAAGCUCGCAGGGUGGGUAUUGUCUGUCAUUUUGUAGUAACUAGCAAAUCUACAUUGUACCAUCUGCCCGAUUUUCUCUUGAUUGCAAUGCUAUGGUAUAGCAACACCAAACGAUUGGUGAUCUGAUGCAUGACUGUAAAUGCAGGAACAUGGACGUCAAGUUCGUCGAAGAGUUAGCCCUCGUCCCUGCCGACGUGACCAUCGACGUUGCUGCACAGCAACAGUAAGUCAUUAUUCAAGCAAACAUGUACCUGACGACGACACUGAUUUACCAUGCUAGCUGCAUACAUUGCUUAUACUUUAUAAUAAUAACGCUGAGUGCUCCUCUGAUCCUGUAAUGUGUUUGAUGGCAUGCAGGAUUGACAAAGAGAUCGAACUUGCUGCAGCGAUUCCCCUGCCGGAUGAGGACGAUGAUAACAUGGAUUGAGCUCAGCUAGAUGCUGUGUCAGGCUGCCUUGGUUUAGUUCUAGCUUACUAGUGUGUGGAUGGUAUUAAGAGUGACACAUCUCUUUUGGAAUUUCAGUUGUAGCGUCAGUAGUAGGUUAGUAGCUAUCGGCUGCUUUAGUGGUUGUUACUGUGUGUCGUCUCAACUCUCAAGGAGACAUUUUAGUCUUGGUUGAGUUGUUGGCUUGCUGCCUGAGGAAUCUGAUGGAAUUCAAAUAGGAACGAUAAGUUCGUUCAUGCUUUAUUGUUAUUCUGGGCAGCUUGGACUCACGGGUUGGAAGCUGCGCAACAGGCAAUAAUGGUUUCGUGUAGCUAGAUAGUGUAUCUUCUAUGAUUGUCUUUUUUGUGGUGUGGCUCACAUUACAUAUUAAGGCUAGAGAGAAGGUCCAAUUUAUUUAAUAUAUUUUAAUUUAAAUGGGAAUGGUAAGUUACUAUAAUUUCGUUUAGGCUUCAUUCUGGGGCAGGGUGGACUCAUGGGUUGCAAGCUAUGCGUAUGGCCAUAGGAACGAAUUAACCUUGUUUUUAACUUUCAUUCAUGUUCAUAACCAAAUAAAAAAAGCAUGUCCUUUUCCCAUGUCAACCAAAUAAGUAGAGCGAUUCGGUAAACUAGGUGCAUAGGACGAGAAAAGACAAGCAUGUCCUUUUCACACGUGGACCAAAUACGUAGAGCGAUUCGGUAAACAGGUUACAAUUCGGUAAACUAGGUGCAUAGGACGAGAUAAAUAGGUUACAAUUCGGUAAACUAGGUGCAUAGGACGAGAUAAACAUGUUACAAUUCGGUAAACUAGGUGCAUAGGACGAGAAAGGGGUAGAGGCAAUGGCUUCAUGGCACCACAACUACAUGGCAUUGAGAGCAAAGUUAUGGUGGUGGUAAUACAUAAUCAUGCUUGUAAUGGAAAGAUUAAGGUAUGUAGUUGGGGUCGUGACACAUCUAUCUUUAAAAAUCAGGCCUUCCCAUUUUAGCAAACUGUACCAUCUAGUUUCAUCAAGACAGACCGACGAACGCUAGCUUGCCCAAAGAAGGAUCCCACCAGAGCAAGUGCAUCUUAGAUUGCACUAACAUUGGCGAAACAGCUAGCGCGCCUUCAAACAUUGUCGAGACAAUAAGAAUAUGGUUUGAAAGAAAUACAGGAAAGUGGAAUUAAAUGGAAAUACGGAAAGGCCAACAAGAUUGAGGUUUGAUUCAUUUGUCACUUAUAUUUAAAGGAUGGAGAUAUCUACACCAGUUAGGAGGCAAAACUCCUACAAACAAGUGUCAAAUUGUAACUCUAGGAUCCUCCGGUUUGAUGAACUGAAUAAUAUCAAUUGUCAUAACUUUUGUAUCUAAAUUUAAAUUGGUUAAUUAGAUACGAAUUUUAGUUAUCUCAGCAAAAGAUAUGCACUAUGGAAUCAAGAAGUCCAGUAUGCAAUUUUACUCCAUAUCCAAAACCUGAGCUUCUUAUUUUCAUGGAAUGACCGAUGCUACAAAUUUUAGUUGCCGAUACAUUGAGUCUUAUGCACUGAUCAGUUUAGCCCAAAAGUUUAAGUUGUUAGGAAAAGAUGGACUCAAUUAUAGUUUCAAGUCUCUCCCUUACGUGCAGGCAACCUAGGGCCUCAAAAGUGGAAAUAUAAGGCGACUGUAAUUAUUAUUUUUUAAUUAUGAUGUAAGGAUUUAAACUUAAGACCAUGGUUUUGAUAUCAUUUUGAGUUGCAUGACUGAUCAAUUCAACUCAAAAGCUUGAAGACAAGUUGAGGCUAUCAGAGGAUAUAGGUGAUGGGUGGGUGAUGAAAAAAAAUAUAGUUCAUAGCUAUGAUACCAUAUUGAGUUAUGUAGUGGUCUGUUCAAACGAAAAAACUUAAUCUCAAUUAUAUCAUAUAUAGACGAAUACCCGAAUUGAUGGCUAGCUGCAAGCACAAAGACAAGGCACAUGAUAGACGACGGGCAAUAUAUAGGCCUAUUCAAAAUCAUACAAGCUACGAAGAAUAGAGUGUGGUACGAAAUUCCUCAGUCCUGUCCGAGAGUACGUCCACCGCUUGAACGAGUGCUGGACCGGUCCGAGACACGACUGGGUGAUGACGAGGUGGAUUCUCGUACACUGUCUCUUGCUGUAUUCCUCGUGUUGGAAGUGACAAAAGAGCGUCUCCCUUGGGUGUCACUCUUCACCGACGAGUCCGCCGUCCCAUCACUAGCCGAUGAGUGGCCUGCUGGAGUGUUUCCACUGACGGACGACGAAGAUGUGGUACUCGACCGGUAACUUCCUCUGAAAAUACUAGGCUGUCCGUACGUCGCCACGGGAAUCUCCAGCGGGAGCUCCGGCAAAGGCGCCUCGAACUGCAGCACGCUCAUGGCCUGCCUGAUGGAAGGCCUGGACGCGCGGUCUGGGUGCACGCACCAGAGCCCCACCACCAGCGUCCGCUCCAUCUCCAGCACGUCGUCGGCGUCGUGCAGCCGCGCGUCGGCGACGCCGAGGAGCUCGCCUCUGCCGUACAUGUCCCAGACCCAGUGCACGAGCAGCACCUUGUCGUCGUCGUCGUCCUCCUGCGGGACGACGGGCUUCCUGCCGCAGGCGAUCUCGAGGAGGACGACGCCGAAGCUGUAGACGUCGGACUGGGCGCUCGUGCGGCAGGUCACCACGCACUCCGGGUCUAUGUACCCCUUGGUGCCGGCGAGCAUCGUGGUGUGCGCGGCGUCGCUGUGGUUGACGAGGCGGGCCAGGCCGAAGUCGCCGAGCUUGGCGUUGAACGAGGCGUCCAGCAUCACGUUGCUCGGCUUGAUGUCCCGGUGCACCACGCACUGCUCCCACUCCUGGUGAAGGUACAGGAGAGCGGAGCCCAUGCCAAGAAUGAUGUUGUACCUGACGCCAAUGCAAAAAAAAAUGGAUGUAAAAUUCUUGAAAACUAGUAAAAUAGCAUCAAUUGAACAGAUUAGUUAAUUUGAUUGAUUGAUCAUGUCCAUAUAUACCUGACUGGCCAUGUUAGAAUGUCACUCGUGCUGUAGAGAUGGUCGUCGAGGCUGCCAUUCGUCAUGAGCUCGUACACGAGCAGGAGCUCGUCGGCCUCGUGGCACCACCCAACAAGCUGCACGAGGUUGCGAUGCCUGAGACGGCCUAUGAUGGUCACCUCGGAGAUGUACUCCUUCCUCCCUUGUCUCGACGUCUUGGAGACCCUCUUGAUGGCUACAUGGAGCCCCUGGUCCUGCAGGUACCCACGGUAGACUGAUCCGAAGCCGCCCUCGCCGAGCUUCUCGUCGUCGGAGAAUCCGUGUGUCGCCUGUGACAGUUGGGUGUAGGAGAAUCUUCGAGGCCCUGUCCCCUUCUCAAACUCGUCGUCCAUGUCUGUGCCUUGUGGUGCCUCUUGUAUUUGUUUCGCACUCUGCCUUUUUAGGUAUCUGCAAUAGCCGAGGCACACGCACACCGCUACGACAAGCAGAACGGCGAUCCCGGUGGAUACCAGUCCGGCUAUUAAGCUUAUGUUUUUCAUCUUUGUAGUUCUGUUUUCUGUCAUUUACAAACACAUUAAAUUAGAUGCAUAAAGUCUAAAUAGUAGUGUAAUUACAUAACCACAAAUCAGUUACAGAUGCUUACAAAAAAUUGUUUGCGAUAAAUGUCGUUCGCGGGACGAGCCACGAACGAGAGAGGGGGGACGGAAAACGCGAGGCCCCCAACCCUAUGAGCCUCCGCGCCGCCGCCGCCGGCCGCCGCGCUCUCCUUCCCCUCUCCCACCUCCAUCUCCCCUUGUGCUCACCCCCGGCCCAAAUCCCCCCCCCCCACCGAUUCGGCCCCUGGCGCCGCCGGUGACGGCACCGGCUGCCUCUUCGGCACCGACAGCUGCCACCGCCACCUGCCCCGCAUCCCCGUCCCCUCCCCCUUCCCACCCUCCCCCGGUGCAAUCCCUAGGGGCCAGAUCGGGCCGACCCCUAGCUCGUCGCCGGCGGCGGCAACAGCGACCCUCAUCCCCGUCUCGGCCGAGUCCGCCUCUGCCAGAUCUUGCACCGCCGGGCUGCGGUGCACUCCUCCGUCCUCACCACUGCCGAUGUCAUACCCAUACCGUGACGGCGUCCUGCAGCAGCUGCACCUUCCUGCGGGUACCGCCGUCAAUGCCGUUGUUGCUGCCUAGCGUCUUGACGGUGGUGCCACCCCCGCUCCCGCCUCCCCACGGCCACGGCUAGAAGGUGUCGCUGCCUGCGCAACGCGUGGAGGCCGGAGCUGGGGCAAGCGCUACCCCCGGUGCCUCUGACCUUGACGCCUUCCUCGUUCGCCCGUCCGCCCUCGCUUCGAGCCCGUCGUCCACCCUUUAUCCCAUGCUGCCCCUUUCCUUCUGGGUGGUAGCAUCGCGGGUCGCUCCAAGGCACGUCGUUGGGCAGACGAUGACUCCGAUGUGGAAGCCACAUCCAUGACCCUCUACCUAGACACUGUUCGUCGGGAGCCGCUGCCAGCGUCGAUGCUACCUCUGUCCUUGCCGCACGCUCAGACUCGUCUGGGGUUUCAGGGCCGUGACAUGGUGGACGUGGCCGGCCAUGUCCCCAGCUGGUGCACGGCCUUCCUGCUCGGCCAUUGGACAGUCGUAUCCCCUUCCGCCAACGCCUUGGUCGCUGCAAUAGAGUCUCCGCCCCCAAUGCCGAUGGGUGGCGGGAAAUCCUCCCACGACAGGAGACACAACCUGCGACCGUUGCGGUUGAGCUUCGCCAUAAGCAACUCCUGUAGGCCCGGGAGAUCCCCUCGGAGCUCCACAACCGAUGCCUUAAUUGUCUCUCCUUGUAUCGUGUCGCAAGUUGUUGGUUGCCACGACGUUGCCUGCGGUGCCAUGGCUACCAUCAUCUCGCCAAGGAUUGCAAAUGGCCAAGGUCUGCGAAGACGAUGAAGGAUGCCAACCUGACACAUCGCAGCCCUCUAGCCAUCCUGGCACCGCGUGGCGUGGAUGGGGCUGCUCAUGAGGCCAUGGUGGACGCCGGCAGCGCCCGCUGCCGCUGACACCGUCGAGUCAUCGCCGACGUUGCUAGAGUAUGCCGGCGACAUAGACCAUCACCGCUAGUGGCGGCGACAACACUGACCCUGCUAUUGAUGCUGGCUACCUCGAGCUAGAUCCACUAGUGUUGGAACUGUGCACGGGUUCGGUGACACCCACAUGGAUUGACCCAAUGCUUGAGGAGUUCGUUGUCUCACGUCAGGAGGCUCGACCUCUGUUGGACAUCAGUUCUCCGAUGACUGUGGCUCAAGACACGAUAGAUCCACCUCUUCAGACGAGACCUUGUGUAGUUACGGAUGAGGUGGCGCUCACGGCGGAUCCUACAUCGGCACGGGAUGGUCACCGCUCGCCUGAUCCAUCUACGUUGAUGAAUGACACAUAGCUGGUUACCCUAGCCCUAGCGGCGUGACACCCACGCUGCGCGAGGCUGCUCAACGUCUCCCAUGAUUUUUGGAUGAGGUGCAGGUCAAGCGAAGGUCGCUCUUGCUCGCAUCUCCACCACGGCAAAAUGUGGCAACCAAGAGGGCCCUGACGAUAAGGGUCAGGAGCAGAUGGAUUGCUAUCCAACCAUUGUCGCACAUACCAACCUCCAAGCGAGGCAAGGCACUCCUUAAGCAGAGGUUGGGCAUCGCGUCGCCGAAAGCUUUGACUUCACCUGCGUCCAAAGUAACACUUGACGACAUUCACAGUGGAAACUUGACAAUGGGCAGGUGGAUGCUCUUGACGCGCUGUUCCUAGCAUUCAACGGGGUCACUAGGGAGCUCUCGUUGCUGUGCUUGCACGUUUGGUUGUUACAGUUAUGUAAUAUCGAACCUGGGAACAAGGUUGGUCCAUACGUCACACCACCUAGCGCGUUUGAUGAGUGUCAUUUGUAUGACAAACUUUUUUUUUCUUAAAUGCAAUGAUAUGUAAAUAUUUUGCGUAUUCGAGAAAACAAAAUUGUUCGCAGAUUAUGAAUUUAAUUUCAACAAAAGCAAUACAUUAUGUUUAAGGAUGAAAACAGUCGGGGUCAAAAAAUACUCGUAAAUUGUUUUCUACUUUUACGAAAGUCAGACACGAAAACGAACACGAACUUAAGAAAUAUCGAGAAUUUCAAAAAUGAAACAAUUUGAGUAGAUUUAUGUCAAACACGGCCGAUAUACGAAAACUCAAUAUGUAAUAUCGACCUGUGGUAUCAAAUGUAUGAUUAAGUACAUGCACGACCAAGUUCAAGGCUAUAUAAUAAUUAAAAAAUGUAUGAUUCUUGGUCUUAGGUAUUUAACACAAUAUCCCACACAUAAAUACAAGUCUAGAACAAGCAAUUAAUAGCGAGUUGGAUAAUACGAAUUAAAAUUAAAUGUACCAACUAGCAUACUAUCUUAGAAUCUAAACUAAAAUUAAUGGUAUAGAAAUAUGAACUUAAACAGAGAGGACAACACCUCGUGAGGUCGACUAAGUAUCGUAAGUAAGGAUAACUGGUACUGGCCACCAAUAGAAAGAACGUAGCUACAUAGUGAGUAGCUGGUAAUUGGGCUAUGUGACCCAGUGGUGAAGCUAGAGCAAAUCAGAGGGGAGUGCAGUUAGCUUGUGUGUGCAUAUACAUGAGUUUUAGGGGGUGUAUAUAUAUAUAGUAAAAUCUUAAUUAAAUCUACUGUUUUUUGUAAUUUUUGGGGGUGCAUUUGCACCCUCUACUUACACCACAGCUUCGCCCAUGAUGUGACCCAUGCACCUGGCUAUUUUUUUAAACCAAAAUUUAAAUUUGAAAUAUUUUAAAUUAAAAAUAGAAAAGUAUGGUUAAAAAUAUUUAAAAUAUUUUUUAUUUUUAUAUUUAAAAUACGAAAACAAAAACAGUAAAGUCAAAUAAAAAAUACAAAUUUAAUCGAAUUAAAUAUAAAAAACGACGCGAGUCGUUUCGUUGUCGUCUUUAAUUACGUUCGUGGGCCACGUAUGAUCCAACUACUGACCAACAUGAAACGGUAAUAAAGUCAUGAUGACGAGAAGUAUCCUUUCCUUUUUUUUUUCUACUAGCAUAUCUAAAGAUAAUAUAAAGAAGGUGAAAUAAAGCGAGAAACAGGGAUAGACACUUACGGGUCUCGUUGACGACGACGCCGGUGAGAGUGGACUCGAACGACCAAGAAAGGAUCUGGUGGCGUUCGAUGAAAUCUCCGGUGGCUCCCGAGAACCCGACCGCCGCGUCCGGCGGCAGCCCGGCGUCCUUGAAGUCGACGAUCGCGCUGACGUUGUAGAGGCCGAGCUCCGGCAGAUCGUCGAAGCGAAGGGUCGCCGACAGCGUGGUCAUGUCGGCGUCGUAUCUGACCCACGCCGACAUGGUCCCGUUGAAGCUCCCGGCCGGCAGCGCCAUGUACGCACGGGACGUGAUGUUAUUGACGUCCACGCCAAGAUGGUUCGCGGUGUUGUUGGGGUCCCAGCCGUCGUUCCUGAACGCGUCGAACUCCACGGCGACGGUCGGCGGGAAGACGGUGUUCGCCGGGUUGUUGGGGUUGUUGAAGAGACCGAGGAAGCCGCCUGUGGAGUCACCCGGCAGGUUCGGCGGCCACGGCCCGACGUAGAACGCCAUGCCGUCGGCCUGGUUGGUGCUGUUGUGCGGCUUGAUAGCGAAGGUGAAGUUGGAGGUGAAGCUGGCGACCUUGCCGGCGUCGUCCCAGAGCUGCACCGGCUGCCUGUACGCCACACGGCCGGUGCUCCAGAUGGUGUCGUUCGUCAGGUCGAUCCGGUCGCUGCCACCACUGGCGUCAGACAUGUACUUGAUGUCAGCGCUAGUGAGGACGCCGGGGAUGGAGAAGUUGUAGUCGAAGCUAAGCGAGGUGACAUGGGCAACAUAGACACAGAGCAGGUAGGCGAGGCUGAGGAGGAGACUGCUCCCGGAACCCAUAACCAUGGCCAUGGCCGGUGGCUAUUACAGUUACAGCUAGCUCUUCGUGCAAGUAUAUGAUUUUAUCAAGCUAGGCUAUAGCCUGGUGGUUGGUUUCUGCAUGCAGACCAGGGGUCUUUCUUUUAGUCGCCUUUGGUGUUUGGUCUCCGCGUCUGCUAUCGGCCGGCUUCAAUUGAAUUUAAACAAAAUAAAACUAAUUCGGCCGGCCGUACGGUCUGUGGGUAGCUAACGUCACACAUGAUUAUUAUCUUCGAUGUGCAAAAGUAUUUGAAUUCCAACAGAUUCCUCAAACAGCAAGGCAACAACUCAUCAAGUACAAAUAUCUCCUUGAGACGGAUACACAUCAGCAACCACUAAAGCAGCUCAUAGCUACUAGUAAGGUUGAAUAACGAGCCGAGCUAAUUUGACUUAGAUCGGCUUGUUCUGCCUUGUUAGGAUAAUAAACUAGCUCGGCUCGACUCGUUAUUUUAACGAUCUAGAAAACUAGCUUGGCUCGGGUCGCUACGAGCUCAAGCUGGCUGAGGAGGAGACUGCUCUCGGAAUCCAUAACCAUGGCAUGGCCGGUGGCUAUUACAGCUAGCUCUUUGUGCAAGUAUAUGGUCACAUACAGAUAUUUUUAUCAACCUAGGCUACUGGUGGUUGGUUCCUGCAGACCAGGGGUCGUCGUCGUUUAGUCGCCUUUGGUCUCCGUCUGCUUAUCAGCCGCCUUGAAAUGAAUUAGAACAAAACAAAGCUAAUUCGGCCGGCCAAUACGGUCUGUGGGCAGCUAACGUCACACAUGAUUAUUAUCUUCAAUGUGAAAAACUAUUGAAUUCCUAUUUGAAUUCCAUCAGAUUCCUCAAGCAGUAAGGCAACAACUCAUCAGGUCCAAAUAUCUCCUUGAGACGGACACACAUGAGCAACCACUAAAGCAGCCCACAGCGCUACUAGCCUACCGCUGACACUACAACUGAAAAUUCCAAAAGAGAUAGAUAUGUCACUGUCACUCUUAAAACCAUUCACACUGCUUUGGUCAAAAGCACGCUUUCAGCAAUCCCCGUGCAUACGGCAAUGGCGGUUUGCCUAUCGCAGUGGGCUCUUGGAAGAAUUGAUAAGAUUCGCCGUGGCUUCAUCUGGACCGGAACGGCGUCUGCCUCUGCCGGCCGGUGCAGGGUGGCCUGGCCGGUGGUCUGUCGACCAACCGAGCUGGGAGGGCUGGGCGUCGCUGACCUGCAGCGUGCAGGAUUGGCGCUGCGCCUAAGAUGGCCGUGGUUGCAGCGGACCGACACGCGACGACCAUGGCUUCGGCUUCCUGACAAAGUUGAGAAAACAGCCACAGAGUUCUUCAGGACGGCGACGGUUGCCGUGGUGGGGGACGGCUGCACCACGCUGUUCUGGGUGGACAGCUGGAUUCAUGGGUCCUGCAUCCGCUCCCUGGCGCCGGCCGUCUUCGAUGCUGUGCCCGUGCGCAGACAUGGCGUCUCGGUGGCCAAUGCACUUCACAACUCCAGAUGGGUGCGCCACGUCACAGGCCCGCGUUCUGCGCGCCUUAUUGCAGAGUUCGUCAACCUCAGCAACAUCAUCGACCGGACCAUCCUCACCCCGGGAACGCCCGACACCUUCUCCUGGCGGUUGAGUGCCGAUCAGGCGUACUCGGCGUCUUCAGCCUAUGGGGCAAUGUUCAUCGGAUGCUCCCGUCCUGUGGGAGCGCGGCAGCUUUGGAAGACGUCGGCGCCUCCUUGUGUGCGGCUGUUCUUCUGGCUGGUGAUGCAUGGCAAGUGUUGGACGACGCAUAGGCGCUGGCGCCAUGGCUUGCAAGACGACUGCGCCUGUAUCCUUUGCGACCAGGAGGACGAGACGAUGGACCACCUGCUGCUUGGGUGUGUUUUCAGUCGCGAAGUCUGGCAGCUCUGCCUCGUGGCGUUCUUCUUGCAGGGUUUAAUCGUAGUCCGGGAGUGUUCAGCGAUGCUCUGGUGGAUGGACUCUAGGAAGGGGCUGCCCAAGGUGCUGCGCCGCGCCUUCGACUCGCUUUUCUUCCUGGUAGGCUGGUUCCUGUGGAAAGAACGGAACGCGAGAACCUUUGGUGAGACACCCCGUUCGCCGGCGCUGCUCCUGCAGGCGAUCCUCGACGAGGCCGACCUCUGGAUCGCGGCCGGGUUUCGACGCCUUUCGGCCCUGGUGUGCCGUCGCUCGUGUUCUUAGCGCGCGCCUGUUGAUCCUUGUAGCGCUCUUCCUCUCUACAAUGUAGUCUCUUGGCUUUCUCCAGUAGACGUAGGGUUCUUUUCGGUAAUCUUCGGAUUACUGUGGGGUGUACGGACUCUCUUUCUGCUUAAUGAAAUACAUGCCUUCGCAUGUUCAAAAAAAAAAGCUAGAACUAAGCUAAAGCAGCCUGAUACAGCAUCUGGCUGAGAUCAAUCCAUGUUAUCGUCGUCCUCGUCCGGCAGGGGAAUCGCCGCAGCAAGUUCGAUCUCUUUGUCAAUCCUGCUUGCCAUGAAUUAAAAACGUUACAUGAUCAGAGAAGCACUCAGCGUUAUCAUAAACAAUGUAUGCAGCAUGGUAAAUCAGUGUUGUCGUCAGGUACAUGUUUGCUCGAAUAAUGACUUACUUUUGCUGCGCAGCAAUGUUGAUGGUCACGUCGGCAGAGACGAGGGCUAUCUCUUCGACGAAUUUGAGGUCCAUGUUCCUGUAUUUACAGCCAUGCAUCAGAUUACCAAUCGUUUGGUGUUGCUACCGCAUAUGCAUUGCAAUGAAAAGAAUGUCGGGUAGAUUGUGGCCACAGAAUGACGACAAUACCUACCCAGCGAUCUUCCUUGCAAGGUAGAGAAAAGGCUUCUCGAAGUUAUAGUUGCUCUUGGUAGAUAUCUCAUAGUACUGGAGGUUCUUCUUCCUGUGGUAAGUCACUGACUUGGCCUUCACCUGCUGGUUCUUCACAUCCACAUUGUUGCCGCACAGGAGUACAGGACAACCGGGAUGUUCUGACAUACCCUAAUAUAUAUGCGCAAAAAAAGAUGUACCAUCAAUUCGACCAGGACACCAACAAUUCAAAAGGAAAAACUUUUACCUGCUGAUGUCCCUGUGCCAGGUGGGAACAUUCUUGUAGGUGAGUCUUGAGGUGACAUCAAACAUGAUGAUCGCACAUUGACCAUUGAUGCUGCACAAACGUAUGACCAAAUAUUAACCCUUGAAAAUGCAUCUCACUGUUUUUAGAGUCACAGUCCCGACCCGCUUGCGGAGGCGAUGUGUGCGGCUGAUGGUCCUCCUGCUUUGGUCAUAUCCUUCGACCCGAUGCUGGAAGAGUUCCUUGCCGCCAUGUUCGUCGCGAGCUACUCUGCUGUGGUGGCCGUCCCCCAGGGGUUCAUGGAGCCACCUCUGGUGGCGGCUGUCCCCUCGCCUCAGCAAUCGGUGCAGGAGCCAGCGCAGCUCACACGUCUCCUUGGGUGGGUCAGCCCAACGUCGAGAUUGGCGACGAGACACCCAUGCUACGCGAGGUCACUCGGCGCCUCGCACGGUUUCUUGAUGAGGCGUGGGUCGUAUGGGAGCCACCUUUGAUUGCCUUCCCACCUCGGCAGAGGACGUCUGUCAAAAGGCCCCCACCUAUCCUAGCCAGGAGCAGUCGGAUCGCUGCCCAGCCAUUGGCGCACAUUCUGGCCUCCAAGUGGAGCGAGGUUCUCCUAAACAAGCGACUAGGGUUUGCUCCGCUGACCGCACUGGUUUCGCCCGUGCCGAGGGGGAUACUCGAUGCUCUACGUUCCAGGAGCCUGUCGUCGAGCGAGGUGGAGGGCCUGGACGAGCUAUUUCCAACGUUCAACAGGCGCACGUGCGAGCUCUUCCAGGAGGACUCGUAAGACGCGACAUUGAGCGGAUUUUGGUUGACCCAUUUAUGUAAUAUCGAUCCACAUAACUUUUUUUGCUUGGUCGGUUCAACUGUUGACCACCUAGCGCGCUUUUUGCAUGUCAUUUGUGUUGUAUACUCUUUUUUCUUAAUAUAAUGAUAUGCAGAUCUCCCCUGCGUAUUCGAGAAAAAAAUCGUCUAGUCUCAAAUCUUUUAUGGAUCUCUACCAGUUCUAGUAUAACUGUCUCUCUAUGGUUACCACAUUGGACCUACUCCAGCUGUCAUGGCUGCUCUGUGGGUUCAUUUGUAUCCUCCAUGAUGAAGCUUGCCUAUUUGUUUAAAUGUUUUUGUUUAUUAGCUUACGUCAGUUAGCAACUUAGCUUGCAUGAGAAAAUAUUAACACAUUAGGAUUGGAUCACCACAUCAUCUUGACUUCGUUGAACCCAGAAGCUCACAUAAAAAAAAAAAUCUCAAGAAAAUCACUUGACAUUUAUUGCAUUGAUUUCUACCACUUUGUGCAACAUUGCCUCCCUGCAUUGGAUAAAUUCAAGCUAUCCAAACCGAUGUCCAUGUUGAUCUACAUUGUAAUUACUCAAUCGAAGCUAUCGAAUAAUCUUGUUUUUUGUUCUCGAUAAGAUAUUAAGGUCACACAAUGCGAAGCAAAUGUAAUGUACUCCUUUUAUUCCAAACUAUAAGUCGCUUUUGACUUUUUUGAUAUAAUAGAUUUUGCUUUAUAUAUAGAUAUAUGUUAUAUUUAGAUACAUAAACAUAAAAAAAUUCUAGCUUUCGGCGUAUUUAGUAGAGGGUUUCUGCGUAUCCUGUGUGCGAGACCCACGGCGUAUUUAGUAGAGGAUUUCUGCUUGCUUUCGACGCGACUGCCUGCGCCGCGAUUGGCCGAUUGCCGAGUGGCCGCCGUGGGUUAGCAGUUAGGUUCAGGUUUAACAGGAAGUUUAAUAAUACAGCUUUGGCUAUAAGGUUUUUUUUUAGCUUUUUUUAACCCACUCAUACAAUAAUUGUUCACUAUUAAUACAUGACCGACUUAUCUCUAUCACAAAGUUUCUUGGUUUCUAUGUCUAAGCUGGGUGUAAGGUUACAAGCUGCUUCUUCUCUCUCCUCCAUUCUCUCCUUCAUCUCAGCAUUUAGCCCACUUAUAACGUAUUAUAAUACUUGCUCUAAGCUGCUUUGUGCGCCGUCCAAUGUUUUUGGGGCGUCGCCUAGGCGUCGCCUAGUCGUCGCCUAGGCGACAAGGCGUGCUGGAGUCCAUGGGCGUCGCUGGCGCCACGUCCUGCACGGGUAAGGCGUCCGCCUAAUCGAAUUAGGCGUCGCCUAAGAGUAGUUUGGCGUCAGGCGGACGCCUUAUGCCAUGCCACCGACGCCGGAUGCCAAAUCGCUGGGAAGGACGCCAAAAUUACCGUGCUCCCGCGGGAAAUCGACCGCACACGCGGGAAAAGGACCGCGCUCGCGGGAAAAGGCGCGGGAAAUCGACCAUGGGGGAACUAGAUAGGCCGCGGACGCGGGAAAUCGACCGCGCGCGUGCCAUUUACCACGACUGCAAGCGAGGUCGAGGGGAGCGGAAAAGAGAAGGCGGCAGGCAGACCGAAGACCUCGAGCUCCGCUUGGCUGCUCGUCGUCCACCGGCUGGUCGCCCUUGCCGUGGAGCCGGCCUUGCAUCUCCGCCUGGCCUCCGCACCUGCCGUGGAGCCGCAGUCGCAGUCCGCUCGUCCGUCGUGGAGUCGCAGUCCGCUCGUCCGCCUCCAGUCUUCGAGCCCGCAUCUGCUCGCCCGCCUCGAGUGUCCGCCUCCAUCGGCCGGUUCAGAGCUGCAGCUGCUCACCCACCUGCGCCUCCGCCUGGUGCCGUGGUAUGUCCCCUGCCUCCGCUGUCCUCUCUGUCUCUGGUGUCCCAAAGGCCAAAUCUCCUUGACGUGUACUCUGUUUUUCUGAAUAUAGAAUGUCUGUGCAGUUGUGCUCUGUUUUUUCUCUGAAUAUUGUAUGUCUCUUGCUCUGCUUUUGAUCUAAAUGUAUAUUGUAUGCCUCAUGCUCUACUUUUACUCUGAAUAUUGUAUGCCUAUGCCUUGUGCUCUGCUUUUGCUCACGCUGCAUGUCCUUUGCUCUGAAUAUUGUAUGCUAAUGUCUGCGUAUGCACUGAAAUACUUAAUAUUGUAUGACUCCACAUACACUGCUAUGGAGUACAACACAAAGCACAACUGCAAAAGGGUCUUUCUUUGAUUAGUAUAUAAUGUCUGCCAUUCUGUUUGUGUUCUUUCUUUAGUGUGCAAUUUUACAUAACAUAAAGAAGGCACUUGCUUUGAUUAGUAUGUUACUUUCUUUAUUACAGAACCUCUUUAUGCCAUUUUCCUAAUGCUGUUCCUUUCUAUUAUGUAGCAUCCAGCAACAUGGCAAGCUCAGUUGAAGCACCUGAUUAUGAUCCCAAGACUGAUCCAGCAAGAAAAGCAAAGUCCAAUGAUCCAGGCUGAAAAUAUGCCUACUGGCAGGACCCUGCUAGGAGAGACUGGGUGACAUGUAUCCUGUGUGGACAUGAGGGUUCAGGAGGCAUAAAGAGGUUGAAGCAACAUUUGGCUGGUGGAUAUGGAGAUGUUGUCCUUUGUUCAAAAGUUAGCACUGAAAUCAGGAAAGAGAUGGAAGCUUACUUGCAAAAGAAGAGAAGAAGACCUUUGUAUUUGGAUGGUCUUGUGGAGGAGGAUGAAGAACCAGAAGAUGAAGUUGUGGAGGUGUCAGCAGUAGAUGCACAAGCAGCAGCAACAGAUGCAAGACCAAAAGUGGCUGCAAAAAAACCAAGUUCUGGGACAGCCGCCAAGAAAAGGCAUGCUAUCUAUCAAUUCAAAGCUUCAGCUCCUAGCAGUGUCAAUUCAACACCAAAGACACCAAAGGCAACAAAGUCAGUUGUUGCUAUGCUUAGAAGAACACCUGAACAGAUAGUAGAUCAAAGGCGUGUAAAGGACUUUCAACCCACCAUUGAGUCCAGCACAAAGACUAAGGAGGAGAAGCAAUAUGUGGAUUUACAAUGGGCACUAUGGUUCAUGGAGUGUGGUGUAGCCUUUAAUGCAGCAAAUUCAAGGCAAUUUGAAAUUGCCUGUGAGGCAACAGCCCAAUAUGGUUCAGGAUACAAGCCUCCAACUAACAGCAGCUUGGUGAACCUUUGCUUCAAGAAUGUGUUAAGGUGACAAGUGCCAUGAGGAAGGACCAUGAGCAAGCAUGGAAGCAAUAUGGUUGUACACUAAUGUCAGAUGGAUGGACUGAUAUGAGAGGGCGUCACUUGAUUAAUUUCCUUGUGAACAGCCCUGAGGGAACGUAUUUUCUAGAGUCAGUUGAUGCAUCAAAUCAAGUCCAUAGUGCAACAAUGCUUGCUGAUUUGCUACAGGAGAAGAUUGAGGACAUUGGAAAGGACAAUGUUGUUCAAAUUGUGACCGACAAUGGUGCUAACUACAAGGCUGCUGGUAAGAUCUUGAUGGAUAGAAUUCCCACACUGUUUUGGAGUCCUUGUGCUGCACAUUGUUUGGAUCUGAUGUUGGAAGAAAUUGGGAACUUGAAGGCAUUCAAGAAACCUAUUGCACGUGCUAGGCGUGUCACCACAUUCAUUUAUAGGCAUGGGAGGCUUCUUAGUGCAAUGAGGGCUCAAACAGGUGGGACUGAUCUUGUUAGGGCAGCAAAGACUCGAUUUGCCACAUCAUUUCUGACAUUGAAGAGUUUGUACAAGAACAAGGAUGCCUUGAAGAGCUUGUUUGUUAGUGAAGCAUGGACUGGGAACAACUUGUGUACAACUGCAGCAGGUCAACAAGUGCAAGACAUUGUGCUAUCUACUGAGUUUUGGAACUCAGUAGAAGAUUGCCUAAGAGCUUCAGCACCACUGUUAAUUGUUUUGAGGGCUGUUGAUGGUGAUGAGAAGCCUGCAAUGCCAGAGGUCACAGCUCUGAUGAAUCAUGCAAAAGAUAGGAUAAAGCAAAGCUUCAAUAUACAAACCAAGCAGGGCCUGCUCAAGAAAAUUAUGGACAUUAUUGAGAAGCGUUGGGUGAACCAAAUGGAUCAUCCACUGUAUGGGGCUGCACUAUAUUUGAACCCAAGAAAAAUUUUUCCUCUUCUAAAAGCUAAUGACGAUGCCACUGUUGGGCAGUUAAGAGGCUAUUUUAUUGAAGUGCUUGGAAGAAUGAUACCAGAUGUGAAAACACAAAUGAAGAUCAAUAGGCAGGCCAUUGAGUAUGAAGAGCAACGUGGUGAUGCCUUCUCAAACAAAAUGGCAAAGGAAAGCUAUGACAAAAUGAGUCCUCGUAAGUGUUGUUAAUCUCAGCUUGCAAAUUUUAGCAACUUAAUUGCAUUCCAAACUCUUAAUAUGUGUUGUACUUUUCAUCCAGUUGAUUGGUGGCGUUCUUAUGGUGGCCGAGCCAUUGAACUACAAAGACUUGCUAAGCGCAUAGUUAGUCUUUGUGCUUCAUCAUCCGGUUGUGAGAGGUGCUGGAGUACCUUCAGUCAUGUGAGCAUCCUCGUAAAUUGUGAUUAACAAAUUUUAUUUAGAUGCAUACAAUCUGAUUUUUGGUUUUGCUUCCCAUCUGAUUUUUUUGUUUGUAGAUGCAUACAAAGAAAAGGAAUAGGCUGCUGCACAAGAGAUUGAAUGAUAUUGUGUUUGUUUCAUACAAUCGGAAGAUGAGAACAAGAUUUCAGCUUACGCGUGAGAAGGCAGGCAAGAAAUAUGACCCUUUGGUCAUUGAGGAGUUCAAUUGGGACAAUGAAUGGGCUGAUUCAUUGCAUGUGCCCAUUCCGAGUGCUCGAGGGUCUGAUGCUGUUGAUGAGCUCACAUGGCAGCAUGUUGAUGAAGCCACAGGUGCAUCACAAGCACUGCGGGGGCGUAAUCUUCCUAGGAGAGCUACUGCUACUCUACAUUAUAGUCGUUCGAGAAAUGUUCCUGUUCCAGCUGGUGAAGAUGGAGAAGAGGAAGAUGAAGUUGAAGACCCACAUGAUGAUGCGGAAGUGAGCGACUGUGAAGAAGAUGGCAAUGUUCCUGCUACUGAACAAGACAAGGCUGCUGAUCCUGAUGAGUUUGAUGAUGGAUUUUGAGUGCUGAAACAAAGAUUUGCACUCUUGCUGAUGGAUUCUUUUGUGUCCUGCACCCUUGCUGUACUUUUGUGUUGUCACACACUCCUGUUGUAUGGCUGUGGACUGUGGUGUAGUUGACUUAAUUAGUAUGCUGUAGAGUUCAACAGUUUAAGUUUGUGGACUAUUUGAGACAGACUAUGAUGUCAUUUGUCAUGCUCAUGCAUGAACUAAUGCUUGCUAAUUUGUUAUUUUGCCUCUUGUGUAUUGUUUCCUAUUUAAUUCUUAGCAAAUAGCAACUAAUAACAUGUUUGAUUGCUGAAUUCUGUAACUGUCAUGCAGGAGAAGAGCUUUUGGAAGGGAAAGGAAGGAACUUGGGAUCAAGAAUUGGCAACAAACUAAGUAUGUAUGUGCUGCACUAGUAUAUAAAAAUUCUAGCUUACAACGCCUUACAAUGUGUGUAUGGCGUCGCCUAGGCGUCCGCCACAAACGCCUAGGCGUUGUGAAGGGGGUCGGGCGCGGCGCCACGCCGCGGCGCGGCGCCUCAAAAACAUUGGCGCCGUCAUGGGUUAACGACUUACGUGUUCCCAUAUGGAGGGCCCUACAUGUGCCCCUUCGGAAUUCCGUUUCAGGCCUAGUUUAGUUGAAAAAAAAAAUUCAAAAUUGUCCAUCACAUCAAAUUUUUAAAUGUAUAUAUGGAGCAUUAUAUAUAGACAAAAAUAAAAAAUAAUUAUACAGUUUUUUCUAUAAUUUAUGAGACAAAUCUUUGAAUUUAUGAUUGAACAAUAAUUAUCAAAUAUAAACAAAAAUGCUAUAGUAGCCAAAGUCAAUUUUUUUUGCAAACUAAACAAGGCCAAAGUAUAUCGCUAUGGAUGGCAGGAUUUUUUUUUUCAAUGCCAGUGAAAACGAACCGCGGUUGGGUGAAAAUUAGACCCAGUAUAUAGCUAUGGAUGGCAGGAUGGGUCAGGCCCAAAUGGUGCAGCGAGCGUAAGCACAAGAAGCCCAUGGGUGACUCGUGUUUAUACUGAAAACAAAAAAGUCUACUUUUCCUCCUUCAAUUUUUACAAAAGUCCGUUUUUCCUUCUUUAACUUCAAAACCGAGCAAAUCACCUCUUUCAACUUUUUAAACCAUGCAUUUUACCUCCCUAGAGCGGUUUUAAAGGCGGUUUUGCUAUAGUAAAUAGUGGUUUUGCUACAGUAACGAUGAUUUUGUCUUUUUCUUUUUUUUUUAAUUAUUUCGGCUGAAUUUUUAAAAAAUCAUAGUAAAUUAUAGAAAAAUUAUAAAAUAGAAAUCCAAUUUUAUUAGACUCCACAUAAGUAGAUCUACAUAGUAAACAUAUAAUAUGAUAUGCUUUAGUACAAAUUUUUUGCUAUAAAGGUUUUGUCCUUUUUUUAUUUAUUUAUUUGGUUGAAUAUUAAAAUCAUAGAAAAAUUAUAAAAUAGAAAAUCUAUUUUUUAGACUCCACAUGAGUAUAUAUAGAAAAUCUAUUUUUUUAAGUAUUUAAAACUUUAAUAGUUCUUUAAACUAAAGCUAAAAUAACGGAUGUGGUGGUAGGAUGAUGGCCGCACACAUAAAGAGACAACAAAAAAAAAUCUUCAAGCAUCAUAAUCUUAUAUCAUGAGUUAUAUAUCCCGUUGCAACGGAACAAAAUCUUUAAGCAUCAUAACCUUAUAUCAUGAGUUAUAUAUCUCGUUGUAAUGCACGAAUAUAUUUUACUAGUUAAUGAGUAAUGCGUACGAGAGGGAAGCCAAGCAAAAGGGUCACAGGGUGCGUCUCCUUUUCCUAGUGGCAAAUCACAUAAUUUUUUCAAGUUCUAUGGGUAUGGGUUCAUGAAGCUAGAAAAGGAGCCGGAAGAAACUAUUAUUUUUUAUUUCAUCUCAUCCUAAAUCUCUAUAAAAGUACGUUUUUAGAGCUUUAUCAAUGGAGUCAUUCUUUUUUAUCUCGUUUGGUAGAAAACAGCCCUAACACAGCUCUUGAAACCUCUCGAGAAACCCCUACUAAAUGGAUCCAUAGUAACUGAUAAGACCACUAAGUCCAUCACGACCGAACAAACCUUAUUACAUACUAUAUAUAUAGAUACUGUGUUACAAAAUGAAUAAAAGAGAUGGCACAAACAGUGGUGGGCUUUGAUGAAGACUAGGGCCAAAAUUAAGUAGUAAAAAUAUUUAGGUCUGAUGAAAGAUCAACUCUCAUAUCAGUUCAUUGAAUUGUGCUAUAUAAGCAUCGAGAAAAAUAAUAUGUCUAAAGUCAUGUUCCUCUAUGUCGUGUUUUUAGAAAAAACACGAGCACAUUGCUCGCAGGUAACUAAAUGAACAGUAAGGUCUUGUUUAGUUUCCUCCAAAAUUCAAAAUUUUUUUAAGAUUCUCCGUCACAUCGAAUCUUACAUCACAUAUAUGGAGCACUAAAUAUAGGUUAAAAAAUAACUAAUUGCAUACUUAGGUUAGAAAUCGUGAGAGGAAUCUUUUAAGCCUAAUUAGUCCAUGAUUGGACAAUAAUCAUCAAAUACAAAGUGUUAAAAUUCAAAAACUUUUUGGAUCUAAACGAGGCCUAAAUAAUAUUGCUGAAAAAGACAUAAAAACUAAUAUAAAUGCUUUGGAAUUCUUAGGUUUGUGUGAUUGAUCACAUACUACACAUAGGCUAGUUUGAUGAAGAUGAUUGGCCCCAGAACUAGAAUAUAAUUGUAAAGUUCCAUCUCGUACAUAUAUAUUUUAAUCGAAGCCAAUCCAGGCACAGAGAGCAACCAAUACUAUAUUGUAGGAUAUGGAUUGAAACAUGCAUAUACAUCUAUCUAUUCCAAAAUUCAAAUACGUACAAUCAUGAUCGCACUUGCAGUCACAGUCACUAAGUGCAUGCAUCUUCCUCCCUGGACAAAGGCUGAAACGUUCAUCCAAUCUUCUCUAUCUGCCGAACAACUCAAGGCUCCACACUGAUGGAGCAGGUCAUGUGUGCAGGGUAAGUCAUGACUAGGGCCGUGGCCCUACUACCUGGGUCUGCCCAUGGGCACAAGGUAGCAAACAUGAAAUUCGAAUACUUAUGUUUUUCCUAAAAUAUAGUUCAUGUAGAAACACGUGUGGAUGGGCAAGUUUUUCAAACGAAGAUACGAUCACGAAUAUAUAUUACGUCUUGUAUCGAGUACUGAUCAUAUCUCAUCAUCAGACGAGACACAGGAUUGGGGUAAACCGAUCCUGAGGGCAAGAAAGCAUGAAGCGUCGACCAUGCCUAGCUCCUACUUGGCUAAGCUGCAUCAUGUGAUGUGUGCCUACAAGUUAAAGUACGAACCAAACUAAUCAACACGGAUUUGACGUUGCACCGGCCUGAGUCUCUUCUUAAUUCAAACCUUGUCGCCCCUUGUCGUCGACGAAUAACGAGAAAAAAGUUGUGUGAUCCACGAGGAGCACACAUCUCUGCACGCAUGGCCACCAGUUCUCUGCAUAGUAUGAUCUAGCUAGGACAGGCAACAUGUCUUGUUGCUGUCCCCUAAAGCCCUUGGCAUUUUGUUGUCGUCGAGCUACUGCAUCGUGUUUUCUCCUGUCUGUUCUCUGUGGCUCGCGAGGACGUGAAGAAGUCCGGCCAGAAGUAACGACGACGAGUAGCUCCCCUGAACGCAUGCGCUUUUUGUUGGAAUGGCGGUAGCUUUUGCGUCGUGGCCCGCCAACCAAAUUAGCAACUAACGCGUAGACGACGACCGGCUGGACGCCAUUUGGAGAUCUCGAUCAGAUGUACAUACCCUGUCGAUCGACCAGGCUAACAGCCUGUUAACUCUGUCAAAUUUUAAAAUGCAGUCUAGUGAGCCAGAACAAAUCCAAGUAGGUAACUAUAUUUAAUUCCCUGAGUUCGUACUUUUGCUAUACUUGGUACUGAAGUAAGUUGUUCAUUAUUGGAUGGAUCUAUGGUUCCAAUGGUCGUUAAGCAACACAGACCGUCUAAACUCUUCAGGUGGUUCCGCCUGCAACUGUAAUGGUUUCAGAACUUCAGAUCGCAAGCGUGCAGGUUAAUUGCAAUGGUUUCAGAACUUCAGAUCGCAAGCGUGCAGGUUAAUUUCAAUCAAGCCAUGAACACACUACCAUCAUUCUGACGAUUAUCCUUAUUACUUUUCCGCCUCCAAAACACCCUGUGCUGCACUGUUAUACCUGACGCAAAAACAAAAACUACUGUAUAUUAUUUCGCCUAGUUGGCAUUGUCUAGUUGUAUCUAUUGAUUUCUUCAGCGCGUUGUCUUCUGACGAUCUCUUUCAGUCUUUGUGGCGGUGCAAGAAGACAGGCACAGUGGUUAGGCGCACUUUUUACGUGUUUGUUUAGUCUGAAAGGCGUCGCGUUUUGACUAAUUUCAGGUUCGUCGAGCUUGCAUCAUGCAGGGGAUAAAAUCCAAGCAAAGCAACCACCAUCUCCUGCUGCUUUACCUUUACACGAAGAGUGGGUCUGCCGGCCGGCCCAGAAAGCAAAGGCGAAAUCGCGUUAAAACACGCACAUUUGUCAGCUUGACCCAACUGUGAAUGCCGUCCGAAGCCAGCAGACAUCGAUUGGUUUACUUUGUCGGUGUACUUUCAGGUGUACUAGCUAGAUAGCUAGCUGCUAGGAUAAGUCUUUGCUUAGCUGAUCCUCCAAGAUGCACGAUUAUACUUUCACCAAAAGAUUGAUUAUUGAUGCUUAUAUACCGAAAGUGAACGGCCUUUCUGAAAUUAAAGUUGCCAGAGAGAAUUGCUAGGUUUUGAUUAUUGGUGCUUUACCUUUGAUGUAUGGGUGCACUCAGUCAUCAUUGAUUAAUACUAUAACGAUCAUUGAAUCUAAUUCACAUAUAAAUUAUCGACCUCAUGCCAUUAUGGAAAAGUGAUAAAAAAAAACAUAUGCUUAAUACUUGCUUCUAAAGUAUCCAUAUCACCUCUCCCACUUAAAAUUUAUUAUUCCUUUUUCAAUUUUAUGCUUAAGAAUCCAUAUAUAUAGCUAAUGGAUCUUGUAUUGGAUGCAUCAAGGAAACUAAAAUUGGAAGUAAUGUAUCUAUUAUACCUAUACAAGAGUGUUUUUUUUUGCGAGCAACCUAUACAAGAGUGUUAAAAGGAGCUAGCCCAUGUUAAUAGGGUCUAGAAUUUAUAAGAUUAAUUAAAAAAUUUAUGAGAUUAAUUAAAAAUAAUAGACACCACUAGAUUUUAUAAUGUAAUGGUAUGGAUAAAGUAAGGCUUUGUUCGGCAGAGCUCACAGAACUGAUCCUCUGCUGAAUCUAGAAGCUCUCUCAAAUAAUUUUUUAGAGAAAAGUGAUUCUAUGCUGAAUCUAUAAAGUGAUCCUUUGAAAGGAACUAAGAGGAUGGAAACUAAAAUAGUAGCUUCUCCUAAUUCUGUGAAGUGAUUCUCCAUCAUAAUUUUAAGAGUCUACCAUAGAAUCACCUCCCAUAGAGAAUCAGAAUCAGAUAAAGCUUUACCAAAACCGGCCCUAUUUCACGUUUCUUAGUCCUAAUGCAUGUUGUGUCAUAUUAUGUGAUUGCUUAGUGCAACAGAAUACAAGUUACAAUUGUAUGAAUACAUUGCUCCCACAUGAAAGAUAUAUCAAAAUAAUAAUAAAAGAACCCAAAUCAUUUAAUUUACAAAUAAUCCAUCAGCUUAUAUUAAAGCAAAACAGUAUCCCUAAAUACUCUUCAUCUCAAACUGUAAGUUGUUUAACUUUUCAAGACACAAUUUUUUUAUUAUCACUUAGAUAUAGAUACGAUAUGUUGUUAAAACUAUAUAUAUAGCCUAGAAAUAUCAAAAUGACAUAUGUUUAGAAUAUAGGAGUGCGUACUAAUGCCAAUGUAGAGUAAGAGUCCACUUUGUACUGGCUCCAAAUCCACAGCGACCACUCUAGCAUGGUUGAAUGCAUAUAUAUCCACAUCUCUGGUGACUGGUGCGAUGGUACGAGAUGAUCGCUGGUCAUGAUGAGUCGUGACCAAGGUUAGUUGUUUGUGUUCCACAAGUGGCGGCAACAUUGCCAACCUCAAGCCAGUGGAUUUGACGCACACGCACGUACUACCAAUCGCAUACGUCUACUCAAAAAAAAUCGCAUACGUGUGCAACUAAAACUAGUUUUGCAUAUUGUGGCCUUGCAAACUGCAAACAGAUCUGCAGGCCUCGUUCGGUUAGUCCGGAGUAGACCGCUCCGCGCCUAGCUAGUGCGGAGUAGGCCGAGUGCCGCUCUGCUGACACGCGAAAAUGUCUCACAAGAGAAUUGGGUUACAACAUCAAGUUAGUGACAUCAAAGACAUGUUAGAAAAUAUUUGGUAGUGCAAUACAAUUCAAACACUACAAGAGAUUGGGCCUUCUAUGAUAAUUUUCACAUGACAAAGCACCUUUUAGUCAUGAAAGUAAUGUGUUUAUGAUAAUUUUUCUUUGGAUGACAAGUGUAUGUGACAAAGUUAUUUUAGUCAUAAAUAAUAAUCACCAUGUGCCUUUCUUAAUCUUUAUGACAGCAGUUAAUGACAAAAUUGAUAAAAUGUGAUUGUCAUAAAUUUAAAAACAUUUUUUCUAAACUUUGUGACAAUAGCUCAUAACAAAUUUGAUGAGAUAUGAUUGUCAUGAAUUAAAAAUCUGCCAAAUAUAUAUUUUAGCACAAAAAUUGGUGAGAUGUGAAAGAUAUAAAUUUAAAACUAUUUCUAAAAGUAUUUUGCCACAGUCACGCCUAGGUGAACUCAGACCCACCUACAUAAGGUAAAUAUUAAGGUUUAUAUUUAAAAAUUAAAUUUACAAAUUAAGCACAAGCUGUGGCCUAUGGGAAUUGAACCCACGCCCUUGGUCUUGAUAAAGAAUGGACAUCCCACGUCAGCUCUUGUUCUUUAUAAACGGAUUUGUUUUAUUUUUGUUCAGAUUCUUCGACUUAGAGACACAAGGCACACUCCGAUAAACACUUUGUACUAUGGAGUAGGAGCGGUAGGAGCGGAUGCCGUGUCUCUGUCCGUCCGCAGUAGGAGUCCGCCGCCGCCCUUUGCCCAUCGCCGCUUGUCGGAGGCUGCCGCCCUUUGUCGCCGCCGCCGCAACAUCUCACCAACGCCAUCCAACCCCAUCCCAGAAGCUAGCUAGUUGUAGCUCCCGGCUUCCGCCGUCGCCGCCAGCGGCCGAUUCUCGACGCCUCUGGCGAAUCCCAACGACACCGGCAGCAGGCCACCACCGGAGGCAGGACCCCAACACCGACGACAUUAGCCCGAUGCGCUUCCUGGAGCUUGACGCCUGGCUGCAGCUCCAGGCCACCGGGCUUCACUGGCUGAGACGGUGGAAUUGCCCCCAGGAGCUCCAUCCUAGGAUUGGUGCCGGCUGCGGGAGAGGUCGACCAGAGACAGGUCCAAGCCCUUCGAUUAGGAAGGGAAGGUACAUAUGAGAUGAACUUAUAUUUUGGUUUUAUAGUUCGAUUGAAACCAUAGAUUUGAAGUGAUAGAAAUAGGCAAAUAGCAGUCUAUUACGGACAGUGAUCACUUGUUGAUUCCUUGCUAGAAUUAUUUCAAUGUGUCACAGAUGGAUAGAACUUGGAUGAAUGCUAGGGUCUUAGCAAGGAGCAUCGGGAAGGGGUCAAUGAGUUCAUGGGUUUUGUUUCUGAAACUUUGAGCGGCAGACAGGAGAUAUUAUGUCCGCGUCGUAAAUGUUUGAAUCGGUUAAACAAAUAUAAAGGAGAAGUGGAGGAUCACAUAUUAAUGUACGGGAUGUCUACCACAUACACUAGGUGGAUACAUCAUGGAGAACAAUUGGUCAUGAUAUAUGAAAAUGCUGAGCAAUUGAAUGAACAUAAUGCUGCAAUGUUGAGCAUGUGAAUGAAGAUGUUGGGACAGAUGAGCCUCAAGAUGACUUUAAAGUGUAAGACGAAACAAAGAAGACAACAGCGAUGCCCUGCUGAAGCCGGUAGCAAGGCCAACCCCUCUAGUUCGCCCUGCUAAUGGGUUGGGUUUGUUUGGGUUAAAUGGGGUGGAUUCUUAUUUGGCUUUUGCUUGGAAGGGUCCGAAUGGGUUAAUCAGUGCUCUAAGUUGGGGCGGGGUGGGUUUAAAAGACAUGUGGGGUGGAUGAGGCCAGUUAUAACUGAAAAGCCCGUACUCUCAAGAUGGAUGGAAACCCGUAGCUUCGAUGCCCCCAAAGCAUCUAUGGGUUUGAUGCUCGCGAGUUUGUUACUAGAGUCCAUACGAGGAGCCAUAGUCCCACAAAAGAGUCUGCAUCGUCCAAGCGGACAGCAGCUGCCUCCUAACCUGCUUGUAGAAGAACUCUAUGAUGCCAUUGAUGAACAACUCAACACACCGAGGAUGGACAACUCUCUGUCGGCAUCCUCCUGGUGCUCUUCGCGCUUGUGCAGUUGUUCUUGCUGGCAACCCCGACAAGCUCGACUAGGCCUAGCGACGGCAUCAGACAUGUGUACGCGUGGAACCCGACCCCGACGGGGUCCUUGACGAAUGUGGCAGCGACCGGCAAUCUACACGCCAUGGGGCGGCGGUGGCGUGAGCCCAUGUCGCGUGCGCACCCACGCGCACCAUGGAUCAGCGCCGGCACCACGAAGCACGCCUUCGUCUCCAUGAUGAUGUGCAGUGUGUUGUCUGAUAUCCAUGAUGGAGAUCGAACAGGUGGAGUAGGGUGGAUGAGACUCCAGGGACAGAUGGCUCUCGGGCUCUCGGCUCAAAUUAGAUACUGACCGAGGCAAAGCAGGAGAUUCUCUCAUCGCCGAGCAGACCAUGGGGGUGGGCUUCGUCGCUGCAGUGGGGGCGGCUCUUCAACCGCAUGGUGUCGGUGUCCAACGGCAACUCGGCAAGGUGUUCUAAUUCCCGUGGCCUCCUGCACUUCUAGAGUAGCGUUGGAGCCGCAUCGUCGAUGGCUCCAUGGCUGUCUAUUUGGGUUGGGUAUCACGUGGCUCGGUUUUGGUUGGCCCGAAUAUUUCCUAGAAGUUGGGUUGGAAUCAGGUUCUAGACGUCUUGAAAUGUACUGGGUUGGACUAAAAAGGUGUCCUCUUCUGCUAUGAGUGGGUUCGUAACGCGUUGGGUUUUUGUCGACGAAAGCUGGUCGGCAGUCUACCUUGGGGUAUACCCACGGUAGUAGUUUGUCGGUAGACGGUGCGCAAACUACGAACUCGAUGGUGACGCAAGACACGGACAAGCUUUUUAUCGAGGUUCGGCCGCCGAGUUGGCGUAAUACCUACGUCCUGCGUCUGGUUGUAUUGAUUUGUGUUGAGAGAAUAUGAUGUGUCCUAGGGGGGUCCCUUGCCCCUCCUUAUAUAGUCUGGAGGGCAGGGUUACAGAUCGGGAAACUAAUCCUAGUCGGUUACAAUUGCCAUGGAUAAUUCGAUAUCAGAUCCUAUUCUAACCGACUAGAAUCCUGCUCGAUCUCCACAUCUUGUUUCCUUGCGCGAAACUCCAGGUUGUCGGAUCAAGCCUUGAACUCGUCUCGUAAUGGGCCAAGCCUCCUGGCCGAAGUCUAGCCGUAAGGGUAUAGGGGUUUAUACCCCCACAGCUAGUCCCCGAGCACCAUGUAUUGUGAUGUAACACGCCGUCUUGAGCUUCUUCGAUCAGUGAAACUUGACGUCUUCAAUAAGUGGGAAGGUCGCCCAAACAGUUGCAACGGUUCUUUGACCAACUCAAAAGACAGUUGAUCAACAUUGACAUCGAAGAAGCGAGUUGUUCGAAGAAUGCAUGGUGCUCUAAAUUAAAAAAGAUUUCUUUCCUGGUGAAGUGUGCCCACUUUACUUUCUUGAAAGGUAUAAACAUCAAAAAAAAGCAAGCAUAUUCACCGCAAGGUGAAGUGUGCCCACUUAGUCCCCGAGCCUGGUAGGUGACGUAGGCACGUGGUGCCAGGGUCAAAAUAAAAGUCCUCAAAGAAAUUCUGUAACUGAGAUGCAUCGCCAGAUGCAUCGUACCGAUGUAGUCCCCGAGCUUGCUGGAAGGCGAAGUAUGAGCCUUGUAGCAAGGUCUAAAAAAUUGAAUUUACCAGUCCGUCUGCAAUGGAAUAGACCAAUCGACCAGUCCCCAAGCACCAAGUGCGCUCCUUAGAAUUCUGUGUUGCUGUACUGUACGACCAGUCCCCGAGCAUCGAGUGCUCGGUGGUCGGUGCAGUCCUUGAAGUUCCGAGCUGAUAGACUGGGCGACCAGUCCCCGAGCGUCGAGUGCUCGGUGGUCGGUGCAGUCCUUGAAGUUCCGAGCUGAUAGACUGGGCGACCAGUCCCCGAGCGUCGAGUGCUCGGUGGUCGGUGCAGUCCUUGAAGUUCCGAGCUGAUAGACUGGGCGACCAGUCCCCGAGCGUCGAGUGCUCGGAGGUCGGUGCAAUCCUUGGAUUGUUGACUCUCUGGCAUAUGUGUCUUCUUGUUUUUGAAAAGAUCUUUCCAGUUAAAGUUGACGUGACGAGACCUCCUGACAGGGUGUCAGAUGGAUGCAUGAAAAAUUGCGCCUGGCAACUGUGCAGCCGCCCUUUGCAUGAUUUGAGAAAAGGAAACCAUCAAUUGGUACGAAAGUUCCGCCGCAUUAAUUGUCUAUAAUCAUUGUAAACCGAAACGCCGCAUCCGCCGCAUGGCCCGCCCACUUCCCGAGAUUACGGGAUGUGGGAGAGGUGGAGUUGCGGGUUAUAAGAGCCUGACAGUUCCGCCUAUACUGCUUACCCUGCCAUUGCCUUCAAGCCUUCCGCUCUCGCCUCCUUCAACCACCUGCAUCUUCCUAACUCAAGCCAACCUUCGCACCUCCAAUGGCGAAGAGCGACUCCAAGAAGAGGGCCGAACUGAUGGCCAAGGAGUGGAAAAAGUCCCGCAGCACCGCGAAAUCUCUUGGUGACCUCGUCGAUAUGGGGCUUCUGCACAGCCCGGAGCUCGGUGGCUGGAGGGCACCGGAGGGGGAGAGCUACCCCGACCCCCGCGCCGGUGAGAUCGUCGUAUUUGAAGAUUUCAUUAAGAGGGGCUUUGGUGUUCCUGUUCAUCCUUUUCUUCAAGGUCUUCUUUUGUAUUAUGAGAUCGGGAUUUGCAAUCUGCACCCGAACUCAAUUCUCCUCAUUUCCACUUUUAUCCACUUGUGCGAGGCCUAUGUUGGCAUAGAGCCGCACUUCGAUCUUUUUCGGUAUCUUUUCUGCUUGAGGAAGAAGGGAGCAGUUGGAGGUUCCAAGGUUGCAGGUGGAGUAUACCUCAACCUUCGUGAUGGAAUGAAGAAUCGCUACCUGCACUGUCCAUGGAACACUUUCUUGACCGAAUGGUACAGGAAGUGGUUCUACAUCAGGGAGGAACCGGGCAGCUCCACUUUCUGCGACGUGGGAUACAUUCCUGAGAAGAGGAUGAGCUGGACCGACCGCCCGGAGUUCGACGGUCCAGUGGCGGAUCUCAUGAAGCUGAUCGACUGGUCGCGCCUGGACGGGCUUGGCGUGGUCGGCAACUUCAUUUGUCGUCGGGUGAUGCCCUGCCAGAAGAGGGUGCACUCGGCGUACGAGUAUGCCGGAAGCGUGGACCCGACCAGGAUGCGAUCGGAGAUCUUGGAGAAAGCGGAGGUACAACAGCUGUUGAACGAGCUGUUUAACUUCGCGGACGGAGGCUUCAUCCGUGGCAGUGACCGGGUGCAAGCCUUCAAGUUAGGACGACCAGCACCAAAGGUAUGUAGCAGAUUAUUUUGUUUUAGCAUUCGUAUAUCGUCUGCACCUGACUCAUCUCUGUUGCUUUUGCAGAUCGGCGAUGUCGACCGGUGCACAGUGUAUGUAUCACUGGCACCGGGGAUGGAAAAUCCUGCGGGAGAAGACCCGCCAGAGGAGGACGCUGCUCGGUGUACUCAUUACACCAGCAGUGAGGAGGACCAAUCCCGCCCUGUCCCGACCUCCGAGGAGAGGGUAGCGGGGAAGAGGCCAUUGCCGGCAGAUCCCUUGCCGACACCGGAGCUGCCAGCAGAUCUACCGGCGGAGAGCAGCCAAGCACCGAAGCGUCGUCGGCUCGUGCGAAUCGUUGACGACGACGACGACGAUGAGGAGGCUGCGCCGUCGUUAGUCCGACGGGCUCGGAGCCGCCCAGAUAAUGCGCCGGCCGCUACUGAUCGAGUGGCCAGCGACCCCCCUGCACCGCAAGUUGUCGAGAUGGGGGCGCAGGUGCCGACCGGCCGGGCGAGGAGGAGGUUCACCGCGACCCACCGCCGAUCAGACCUGUAAGUGUUCGACUUACGUAUUUUGGAUUUCUCUUUGUUUUUUUUUUGAAAUUACACUUUUGUUCCUGUAGUGCGGCGUCGGAUGUCGACCCCGGCCAGGCUGCCAGCCAGGGGACGGGCGAGCCUGUCCGCGCUGCUGAAGAUACGGCUCCCCAGACCACAGAGCAGCCUACAGCUGCAGUCGCGCCUGGGAGCACCGAGGGGCUCCCGACCGCAGCACCGACUACGACAGGCAGCCCGACCAGGGCUGAAGAGGCUCCCUCAGCUGGCUCCACAGAAGAGGAGGGAAGAUCCCCGACCGCUCCUCCUGCCGGGAGGAGUGAAGUCCCCACGCCACCCCGAGCAGGACCCUCUUCGGCAGCAGGCUCCCCAGGUCUGGUCCGAGGGCCAGUAAUACCUGGGACCACCACCGGGGGUGGCGCAGCGCAGGAGGAGGAGACCCGGGCGGCCUCCGAUGACGAGGUGGAAGAGAUUGAGGGUCGUCCCCGUGAUGGCCGCCAACACGUUUAUGUGUGGCGCCAACGCGGGGAUCACUUUAUCGGGCAUGAGGAGCUCGCCGAGACCGAGGAGGCCGCCAGGGUGGAGCGCGCGGCCAAGCGCCUCGUCGACGAAGUCAAGGUAAGCGGCUUUUUGUACUGCUGUACAUUGUAUGCCUUGCCUUGCAUGGUCGUUAUACGCUUGCUUUGCAGGGCGUAAUGAAAACGGCAAAAUACCGGAAACGGUGCUUUGACCAAAUAGAAGGCGUCGUGGCCGAGAACAAGGCCCUUGCCGCAGAGGUAGACCGGCUGCGGUCGGAAGUCGGGGAGAAGGUGGCCGAGAUGAGUGCCCAAGAGGAGCGUCGUCUCGACCUCACUCGUCGCUUGGCCGAUCAGUACCGGCAGCGAGAAGGUUAGUCACACGCUCUGAGCAGCUUUGCGUACUUGUGUAGUUUGCUUUACUGACCAGUUUAUGAUUCACGCAGACUUGGAGGAGGAGGUGGCGCGCCUCCGACAAGAGAAGGAGCAGCUCAGCCAACAGCUCGCCGGUGCGCUGGAGUCCGGGCGGCGAGUGGAAGAGGAAUUGGGUCGAAAGGACCGGGAAUUAUCUGGUAAUGGGUGCUGCUGCUUGUUGCCCCUUUGUUUGUUUGGUAUGCCGAAAAUAACGUUUUGUUUCGUUUGCAGUGCUCAAGGUGAACACCAAGAAGCACCUGGAUGAUCUGAUCAAGGACCGGGACUCCUGGAAGGUCAACUGUUGCAGGAUCUGGAAAGGAGUGUCCCCGGUCCUAGACCUGAUCAGUCCCGAGCUCCCGGAGAGCCAGCCCCGCGCGCCGCAGUUGACCCCGGUCGAGAAGGCGCAACGGGCGUGGGACUGGCUCCAGCAGUUCGUGAAGGACGCCGGGGAGUUUGCCGGCGCGCACGUCCUCAGCAUGGUGCGCGCCCACUACCCCCUGGUCGACUUGAGACGGCUGGAGAAGGGGUACCCGAAGGAAGUCGGUCCACUGGAAGCAGACGAGCUUCGGGGUAGUCUGCUGGACUUGUCGUCGACAGUGAUCGGCGACAUCAAUCUGUGCGGAACGGCCACUCCCCCCGACCAGCCGAGUUCAGAUAGGUCGGCCAGGGAGUUGUCGGGCGCGUCCGUUGCGGGAGAUGGGCGGUCGACGCCUGCGGUCUCGACCAGCCAAGCGCCGGUGGCCCCGACCCCUUCGUCCGGGCAGCAGGGCCAGGCGGGUGAUCAGCCCGAGCAGCUAGGCCAGUAGUCUGUAGAAAUAGACUAGUGUCUGCCCGUCAGGGUAUUUAUUGUAAACUUUGUAUGUAAAGUUUGUAAUAAAGUUGGUCUUUUUUGUCAUGACUGUUAUUUUGAGCGCUGUAAGAAUAUCUGAGUGACGUGUCACCGUAUUCGUCUUGGUAGUUGUUAAGAGCAUCCAUUGCAGGAGUUUUGCCGAGUGCUGUGUGCGACAAGGUACAGGCAAAAAAUAGAGAAUUUCAUUAUCAACAAUUAUAAGAUACUUACGAAGGAAAGUUAUCAAAACUUUAUGGAUAGAAACGUCGCAGCUUGUCGAUGUGCCAAGAGUUAGGCACUCGCGUUCCAUCUGGGUAUGCCAAUCUGUAGGACGUAGGUCGUGUGACCUCGAUCACCACGAAGGGUCCCUCCCAGGGAGUGGAUAGCUUGUGCAUUCCCUCCUGGCUUGUUUUCCAUCGAAGUACCAGAUCGCCGACCACGAAGGAACGGUCCUUGACAUUCCUGUUGUAGUAUCGCCUGACUGCCGCGAGAUAUUUUGCUGUUCGGAGACAGGAAUCUAAACGCUUUUCCUCCAUGCAAUUGAUUUCGAGUUCUCUGGCGUUGUCGGCGGUCGCCUGGUCGAAGUGUUCGAUUCUAGGAGAUCCGAAGUGUAUGUCAGACGGCAGGACCGCCUCUGCACCGUACACCAUGAAGUAGGGAGACACCCCUGUGUUUCGACUGGUCUGAGUUCGGAGGCCCCAGACCACUGCCGGCAAUUCUUUCAUCCAUCGACCGGGCGCUCUGUCGUUUUCGGUGUACAACCUUUUCUUUAGGGCGUCAACGAUCAUUCCGUUAGCACGUUCCACUUGACCGUUGGCACGUGGAUGUGCCACUGACACGUAUUUUAUGACUAUGCCUCUGUCAUCGCAGAAGUCCCAAAAAGUGGUGCCAGUAAACUGAGUGCCCAGGUCGGUGAUUAUGCUGUUCGGGAUGCCGAAUCUGUGUAUGAUUUGAUUGAGGAACUCCACAGCCUUCUCGGAGGUUGCCUUGACCAGAGGCAUGUAUUCAAUCCACUUGGAGAACUUGUCGAUUAACACGAAAACAAACUUGAAAUUGCCCGGGGCUGGUUUAAAUGGCCCGAUCAUGUCAAGCCCCCAGCAAGCAAAGGGCCAAGACGACGGGAUGGUUUGAAUUUCGUGGGCAGGUACGUGGGUCCUCUUAGCGAAAAACUGGCAUCCUUCACAAUGUCGAACCAGUUUUUCUGCGUCGCCGACCGCGGUUGGCCAAUAAAAACCUGCUCGGAAAGCCUUUCCGACCAGCGUUCUGGAUGCGGCGUGAUUGCCGCAGGAUCCAGCAUGUAUGUCCUCUAAGAGCUUGAUACCAUCAUCUUGGGGUACGCACUUGAGCAGUACUUCGGAGCUUGCGUUUUUCCGCAUGAGUUUGCCGUCGACCAGGACGUAGUUCUUUGAUCGUCGAAUGAGGCGCUCGUUCUCUGUUUUGUCCUGGAGGCCUAUCCCGUCUGAUAUGUAUUUGAUGAACGGGGUACGCCAGUCAGGCCCACCGGUUGUCGGAGUGGCGUCGUCUAUGAGCAUUGCCUCGGUGGGCUGCUUGUCGACCAGGGAGGAGCCUACGCUCGGCUCGUGGAUGUCCUGGACGAAAAUACCCCGCGGGAUCUGGGCCCGAGAUGAGCCUAACUUCGACAACGCAUCUGCUGCUUGGUUCUUAUCCCGGACCACGUGGAUGUACUCUAUGCCGUAGAAGUUGGUUUCCCAUUUGCGAAUUUCUUUGCAGUAGAGAUCCAUCUUCUCGUGGGUUGCGUCCCACUCCUUGUUGAGCUGGUUGAUGACCAAAGCGGAGUCGCCAUAAACAUAGAGGCGCUUGACUCCCAGCUCUACGGCUAGUCUUAUGCCAUGCAAGCAUGCUUCGUAUUCGGCGACGUUGUUUGACGCCGGAAAAAGGAUCCGAAGGACGUAACGCAGUUUGUCCUUGUUGGGUGAUACGAACAGUAUCCCAGCGCCGGCACCGUUGAUGUUCAAGGACCCGUCAAAGAACAUUGACCAGUGGUCUGAGGCAUCGGGAACGGAAGGCUCGUUGAGAUCCGUCCAUUCAGCAAUGAAAUCGACCAGGGCCUGAGACUUGACAGUGGUGCGACUCUGGAACUCCAGGGAAAAUGGACAUAAUUCCAUUGCCCAUUUCACGAUUCUGCCAUUGGCGUCUUUAUUGCGCAGGAUGUCCCCGAGAGGGAAACUGGUUGUCACCAGGACUCGAUGGCCGUCGAAGUAGUGCUUCAGCUUUCUUGACGUUAUUAGAAUGGCGUAUAUGAGCUUCUGUAUUUGAGGAUACCUGGCCUUGGACUCGUUUAAGACUUCACUUAUGAAGUAAACCGGUCUCUGGACCUUGUAGGCGUGACCUGGUUCACCUCGCUCGACCACUAUUGCCGUGGAGACAACCCUGUCGGUUGCAGCAAUGUAAAGGAGUAGGUCUUCAUUGGGCUGAGGCGCUGUAAGGACAGGUGGUGAAGUGAGGAAGGUCUUAAGCUGGUUGAAUGCGGUGUCGGCUUCUUCUGUCCAAGAAAACUUUUCCGACGCUUUUAACAGUUUGAAGAAAGGGAGGCCUUUUUCUCCUAGCCUUGAGAUGAAGCGACUGAGGGCGGCCAUACAUCCUGUUAGCUUUUGGAUAUCCUUUACGUUCUUUGGUGGUCGCAUGUCAAGUACCGCCUUUACUUUUGAAGGGUUUGGUCGUAUGCCGUCGCGACUAACAACGUUGCCGAGCAGUAGACCAGAAGGAACACCGAAAAUGCAUUUUUUGGGGUUGAGCUUCCACUUGUACCUAUUAAGUGCCUUGAAGGUUCGGUCUAAGUUGUCGAUUAGGGUGCUCGCGUCCCUUGUUUUUACGACCACAUCGUCCACAUAGGCCUCGACGAGGUCAUCACGAAUCUCGUCGUGGAGGCAUUGCUGGAUGGCCCUUUGAUAAGUGGCUCCGGCGUUUUUGAGUCCGAAAGACAUGGUCGUGUAGCAGUAUGCGCCGAAGGGUGUGAUAAAGGAUGUUUUGAUCUGAUCUUCUUCCUUUAGCGAGAUCUGGUGAUAACCAGAGUAGCAGUCUAGAAAGGAGAGGAGUUCGCAUCCGGCCGUUGAGUCGACCACCUCGUCGAUGCGAGGGAGACCAAAAGGAUCUUUAGGACAGUGUUUGUUGAGAUCAGUGUAAUCAACGCACAUUCUCCAUUCAUUAUUCUUUUUGCGUACAAGAACCGGAUUGGCGAGCCAAUCGGGGUGAUACACUUCUUUUAUGAAUCCGGCUGCUAGAAGCCGUGUUAUUUCUGUCCUAAUAGCCUCCUUUUUGUCGCGAGCGAACCGUCGCAGUUUUUGCUUGAUUGGUCUUGCGGUCUUCGAGACAUUUAAGGAGUGCUCGAUCAGGUUUCGUGGGACACCGGGCAUGUCUGCGGGUUUCCAUGCGAAAACGCUCACGUUGUCCCUUAGAAACCUGACGAGCGUGUCUUCCUAUUUUGGAUCCAGGUUGGCCCCGAUGAGGGCUGUCUUCUCGGGGUUGCCUUCGACCAGCUGCACUUCUUUGUACUCCUUGGAUUUCGAGUUCUUCCUGGCUGUCGUCUGUUCGGGUAAUCGGAGCUGGUCGGGAGGCAGCUGUGCGGCUUGGUUUGCUGUUUCCGCCAUGCGGAUUGAGAUGUCAAUUGCCUCGGUGAUCUUGAAGCUUUCUUCUUCGCAGGUGUACGCAGUGUAGACGUUGCCUUUGACGGUUAGGACACCCUUCUCCGUGGGCAUCUUAAGGACUAGGUAUGAGUAGUGCGGGACUGCCAUGAACUUUGUCAGCGAUGGGCGGCCCAGUAUGGCGUGAUAGGUCCCGUCGAAAUCCGCGACUACGAAGUUGAUGAACUCCGUCCGGAAGUGGUCGGGUGUGCCGAAUUGGACAGGCAAUGUUAUCUGUCCGAGAGGCACGGAACUUUGACCUGGCAAAACCCCCCAGAAUUGGGCGUCGUAAGGUUUUAGUUGUGCCGGGGAUAUCUUGAGGGCGGGCAGGCUGUUGCGGAAGAGGAUGUCGAUGGAGCUUCCCCCGUCCACGAGCACGCGCUCGAAUCUGAUGCUGUUGAUGCAGGGGUCAAGAAUCAGGGGGAAACGACCCGGCUCUGGGAUAGCGGCCCACUGGUCCUUCCUGCUGAAAGAGAUCUCCCUGUGGGACCACGUGGGAAAUUUUGGGUCUGCGAUCAGCCCGUCCGUGCUGUCUAUGUUGAGGCAGGCUCUCUUUAACAGCUUUCUUUCCCGCUUGGACUCGGUGGAGACCUUGCCCCCGAAAAUGGAGUGGACCACGUCAGUGGGGCUGACGUAUUGGUGUCGGGGGUCCCUAUCUUGGUCCUCAUCCUCAUCUUCGUGGUCGUGCCCGUCGCGCUUGUUAUUUUUCUUGGCGGAGUCGUCUUGGGCGGCCCGCCGUGUAUAGAUACUUUUGAGGACGUGGCACUCUUCCAUGGUAUGAUUGGACUUUGGGUGUAGUUGGCAUGGUCCCUUCAACGUUUUGUUGUAGUCUUCUUGGUAAUCCCGUCGUCCAUUGGGACGUUUGACCGUAUUUACUUCGUGGUCGUAGUCACGAGGGCGCUUUCCUCUGAAGUUGUCGCGGCUGUUGCGCCGCCGAUCCCAACCCUCUCGGUGAUCGCGAUUGUCGGAGCGGCGGUGGCUUCUGCUGUCGUAGCGACCACGACCGUCAUCUCGCCGGGGAGGCUGGUCGGGACCUCUCGCAUCGUCUCGGAUUAGUUUUUUUGCGUCAUCGGCAUCGGCGUAAUUUUUGGCCGUGGCGAGGAGCUCUGCUACCGUUGUUGGGCGCUUGCGCAACAGCUUGUUCCUCAGCGCUUCAUGGAAACGCAGGCCCUUGAUGAAGGCUGAGAUGGCCUCGUCAUGGGAAAUCUUCGGGAUUUUGAGGCGCAUAUCCGAGAAUCGUCGGAUGUAAUCGCGCAGAGGUUCGUUCUUCCUGUCCCUUAUCCUUUCAAGAUCAUACUUAUUUCCAGGCUGCUCGCAUGUGGCGAUGAAGUUGUCGAUGAAAGCCUGGCGUAGCUCUUCCCAAGAGUCGAAGGAGUCCUCGGGCAAGCCGAGAAGCCACUGAUGACCAGCCUGGUCGAGGACUACGGGGAAGUAGUUGGCCAUGACGUGCUCAUCCCCUGCCGCUGAUCGGACGGCGAUUUCAUAGAGGGUGAUCCAGUUCUCUGGAUUUUCCUUGCCGUCGUAUUUUUUAAGUUUUUCGAGCUUGAAAUUGCGGGGCCACACGACCUGGCGGAGGUGUGAGGAGAACUGUCUUAGGCCCGGAGGCCCGUGCGUUGCAUCGUACUCGAUGCGGCGCAGGUUUUCGUGGACUGCUCUCUCUGCGGCGCGCCUGUUGAUGCGGUCCCGGGCAUCUUUGGGAGGGAUGUUGUGGCGGAGAUCCCAGUGUUGAUCUUCUUCUUGGCCGCGUACGCGGUUCUGCUUGCGGCGGCCAUCGGCGUCCCGACCACCAUCGUCACGCCGUGAGUCCCCUCGACGGUUGUCGGGGGAGCGGCUGUGGUGACGCCUGCUGGGUGAGGCCCGGCUACGAUUAGUCUGGUCGGAGGCGGCUUCCGUAUAAGAGACGUCCUGGACUCUCUUGAGCAGAGUGGCUGUCUGUCCCAUUGCGGCGAUCAGGUGUGCUCGGAUGCUGGUCCGGACUCCCUGGCAUUCGGGGGUGUCAGGAAGCCGAUCCAGGUUAGCCAUGGCGACAGCCACGUUGGCGCUUGGCGUUUUGUAGACUGGCUGGUCCCCGACCAUAUCAAAGGCAUCGUUGAGAUUAUUUGGUGGCAUUUGUUGUUGCUCGUCCGCACGUCGUCGGGCGCGAUCGGCGUUACGCUGUUCGCGGAGUUGCCUCUGGUCAUCUGUUUCUCCAUCAACGAACGGUUCGUCGGCGCUGACAUUGAACACAAUAUCCCCUCGCCGGGGGGGGAAUAUCGGGAAUCGGUCGAAACCCGGAGGGUGUGAAGGAAAAUCCAGGUCGUAGUCCUCGUCUUCGGUGUUUAUAACCUCGGUGGGGACGGAGCCGGUGCUUGAGUUGGUGCUGGAAACCUGGCCGUCCCGUAGUUCUCGGAUUGUCACCAUGUUGACGUGGUGACGAUUGUUCCUUGUCGGCGACCAACCCGCCUUGCUGAAAACGGAUUGGGUGUGCUGUGAGUAAACAGAGGCCGAGUUGUUCAGGCCGCAAGGAUAGUCUUCCUUCUUGAGCUCGACGGAUCGUCCUGAGGGGGUUGAGGUUAUCGUCAGAGACGUUCCCAGCCGUUCGUGUGUGGCGACACGAGUUGGCCGGCGGGAUUUGAAAAAAUCCGCUGGAGCGGCUUGGUCGGGCCGACGCAGAACUCCAUCUAUUAGUUGGGAAACUUCGAGUAGCUUGGAGUUAGCGCGAUCAAGCGCUUGGAGAAGGUCCGAGCAGUCGAUCUCCCUUCCCUUGUAGAGUGGGAACGGUGGUCGGGCGCUUGGUGCCGUCAUGCGUGUGGUCGGAGACGGCGUGAUCUCAGAUUGGAUCUGGAUCUCUUUCGAAACCGUGGUCGCGAAACCACCGCUGCACGUCGUCCACGUGAUCUGGCCGACGGUGAACGUGAGGCCUUCGGGCACGGUCGCGGAAGCUGGGAUCGUGACCAUCUUGUUCGCCGGAAAAGUUGCACGCACACCCCCUACCUGGCGCGCCACUGUCGACGAAAGCUGGUCGGCAGUCUACCUUGGGGUAUACCCACGGUAGUAGUUUGUCGGUAGACGGUGCGCAAACUACGAACUCGAUGGUGACGCAAGACACGGACAAGCUUUUUAUCGAGGUUCGGCCGCCGAGUUGGCGUAAUACCUACGUCCUGCGUCUGGUUGUAUUGAUUUGUGUUGAGAGAAUAUGAUGUGUCCUAGGGGGGUCCCUUGCCCCUCCUUAUAUAGUCUGGAGGGCAGGGUUACAGAUCGGGAAACUAAUCCUAGUCGGUUACAAUUGCCAUGGAUAAUUCGAUAUCAGAUCCUAUUCUAACCGACUAGAAUCCUGCUCGAUCUCCACAUCUUGUUUCCUUGCGCGAAACUCCAGGUUGUCGGAUCAAGCCUUGAACUCGUCUCGUAAUGGGCCAAGCCUCCUGGCCGAAGUCUAGCCGUAAGGGUAUAGGGGUUUAUACCCCCACAGUUUUCACCCAUUAGUAGGGUGGCCUCUAGUCGGACAGCCAGACCGGGUUGCCUAUGCGCUUGAGCCCAUGAAUCCUGGUAUGGCCGAAUUUGAACCCGGCCAAGCUGACUUUUUGUUGUAUGCUAAACCAAUUCGUUUUCAAAUUGGUAUGUGACGUGAAAACUUGGAAAACACACUUUGGAGUGUUGUUUUUUACUAGAUAAGACCAUUCUUUGUAUGAGAGGAUCAUGUCCAAUUGAGGAUCUCCACUUUUUUCAAUCAUCAAAAAGCACAUCUAUUAUACUCUUUUACCCCCUCCUCUCUCUACCUUGAUGUUCAUCAUGUCUCCCAGCAAGAUUUGACAGCGUUUUAGGUGACCUUGCUGAUCCUAGGACAUCAUGCUCCUCCCUGAAGUAUUUUUUCGAGAGGUGUUUGGGAGUCUACCAAGCGAAUGAUAGGUUCUACAUCAGCCUAACCGGUUUCUAGAUCGGUUUCGUCGGUUUGUCACGCUUCUCGCUGCGUUCAAGGUCAUAUGUCAGCCACGUGUUUGCUAUUCGAUGUCAAUACAUUCCAAUUUGAGGCCUUGUUUAGUUCACCCCAAAAAAACAAAAACUUUUCAAGAUUCCUCGUCACAUCGAAUCUUGCGGCACACGCAUGAAGCACUAAAUAUAGACAAAAAUAAAAGCUAGUUGCACAGUUACUACACAAUUAGACAAAUAUUUAUCAAAUAAAAACAAAAGUGCUACAGUCCCGAAAAUCAAAAAGUUUUUGAAACUAAACAAUGUCUGAAUAAUGUUAUAUAAAUCAGCGAAUCAUUCUGGCUGGGAAUCGUUCUCAGUCGACAACUUUUUAUAGAGAGAAGCUUUUACCCGAACCAUUGGAAAGUACCCGUGGAUUCAAUCGUUUGAGGCAUCACGUGAUGGAACCAGUUCUUGCCAUCGGAGGUAACCAGUUUUUGCCAGGCGCGGCGGCGCGUGAUGAGCAGGAUGAGACCUCGUUGACAACGAGGCGUGCUCGUGUGCUGCUGCUGGGCAAGGGCAAGUCGUGCAUGCAAGGCAACGUACAUGUGUCUGCCCGACAACAGUGGGAUUAUUGAGCUGUAGCGCCGAAACGUUAGCCAUUCGAGGUUUCGUUCUCUCCUACCCAUACACACGUGCAUGUGAACCGAUCUAGUAGUAGAAAUUCCGUGACAGACACUGAGACACCGGCCGAUCGCAAAAACCUACUCCUCCGAAUUGAACUCCGAUCCGUUGGGCCCCAGCAUCAACAUGCACCUGUGUAGCCUAUAGGAGUACAACACGUGCUUAAUUAACUUCAUCCAAGGCCAAGGACACGGGGAAAGAGGGCAAAGCAGAACCAGGAACAGGAAUGAAUGUUCGUCGCAGCAGGCCAGCGGCAGCGGCAAGCAACCGUCGCCGGGUUCGCGCGCCGAGAUCGAUCGAGGCCCCCCCGAACCCGAGCAUCGUGCUCCUCCCGCGCCCGGCACCGUCCCGCGGUACACGCGGUCCGUCCUUCCGUCCUCGCGCCGGGCCGUGCCCGCCGCUAGCUAGCUGCCGUUUUCCAGAUUCCCAGUUCCAAUUCCAAUUCAAGCGCUGCGCCGCGCCUGCGUGCGUGAACCUGCGGACAUGCGUGGCUGCGUGCAUGCGGUGCGAACGAGACGAGAAGACGACACGACACGGGCGCGCCUGUCCCGGCGGGCCUGUCUUUCCGUGCGCGCCCACCUCGUUUCCCGCCGGGUUCGCCUCCACCCGAUCCGGCGGCCGCAAACACACACACACACACGAACUCCCGCGCCGGGAAUUGAACGGUUCACGGACGUAGUACAGUUAGGGCCAGUCUUAAUGCAUACUCCCUCCGUCUAUGAAAGAGUCAAUUUCCAGAGUUGUCCUAAGUCAAAUUUUUUAAACUUUGACCAAAUUUCUAGAAAAAAAAUGCUAAGAUUUAUGGUAUCAAAUUAGUAUCAUUAGAUUCACCAUAGAAUAUAUUUUUAUAUGAUGUGCAUUUUAUAUCAUAGAUGUUGUCACUCUUUUCUAUAAAGUUAGUCAAACUUUAACAUAGUUAUCAAGACUAUAAACUAGGAGGGAGUAGUUUCAUAACAUAGUUAUCAAGACUAUAAACUAGGUAACCGAGCCACAAAAGUUUCAUAGAGAUGAAACUCCUCUCUCAUCUGAUGAAACUCCUUCAUUUAAUGACUCUGCUAAGAAAGCAAUUUUACUUAUGUGGCAUCCUAUUUAAUAUGCAUGACACUCUCAUAAAACAUGCAUUGAGCCCGCGUAUACGUUGACUCCAUCAGGCAUUCAGGCACGUGCGUCAUCAUUCACUAGUGUACUUGCAUGCAUGCUCUGGUUUGUAGGCUAAAAGCUCGCUCUGGAGUCUGGAGUGCGUGGGUAGUACACCAGCUUAGUGCCGAUCCAUUAUGGAACGACACAUGCGUGGUGGUGGCGCUUGAUUCUAGCGGUUGGCCGGGCUUUGCCAACGCGGACUCCAUGUGGCGCGGGCGCGGCACCGAUCGGUCGCCAUCCGCCGCGCGCAACCGCCGCCCAUCGCCUGCCCGCGCGAAAAAACUACGCACGCGGCGCGCUUCUCUCUGUCGUCGUACUACCUACAGUGCUUGCCCCCCGGAAAGACUUCGCACGAUCAGAAAACCAACUUUUUGGACUCCUAACAUGUGAAUGUGAUUAAGAUUAAGAAACUAGACACAUAUUUGUGGUAUAUAUGGGGAAAAAAACCUAUAACGCUUAGUAUUUGGUUUGGCGGAUAAUGGAUAUUCUCUCACGCCCCAAAAACCAAACACGUUGUAUGGAUUAUAUAUGCAAAUAUCAUAAUAUGUACUCCCUCCAUUUUAAAGUAUAAGUCACUUCAGUUUUUUUUUUCUUACAUAAAAGUUGUUGUGUAUCUAGAGAUAUGUUGUAGCUAGAUACAUACAUAGCAAGAAAACAUAGCGAUUUAUAAUUUGGAUUAGAGAAAGUAGUAACAUAUGUAUUUGUAGCUUUGGUUAAUAAUGAUUGAUAUUCCUUCCAUUUGUAUAACUUCCAAACAACGUGUGUAUUGACACUAUAGUAAAGUAAAUUUUGUUACUAAUACUAUUACUAAGGCUCUGUUUGGACACAUUAGCUUAUUAACUGAUUUGGUCAAAGUAGUGAAAUAAUUGUUAGUUUAGUAUUAGCUACAUUUGUUUAGAUCCAAAGAAGCUAAUUAUAGCAGCUAAUUAUUAACUCCAUCGAUCCAAACAGGCCUAUAGAUUGGAUGCACUAGCUGCUAAUAACUAAUUACUCGUAGCUAGUUGCUAUUAGCUUGGUAAAACUAGUACUAGUUGUUAGCUAGCUACUAGAUCUAUUAAUCCAAGCAGGGGCUAAGCAUUAUGGUAAUAAUUCUUGAACCAAAAUAAGUAGAGGGUGCAAAGUUGCUGCUGCCGAGUUUUAAUUUCUUGUGGUUUGUGACCGUAAGAAACCAAAGGCCAACGUGAGAGCUUAGCGUGACUUACACGACAUAAAUGAAGUGGAAAUGUGGGCUCUUGCAGGGAUUGCUUGCUGGUACUCCUGAUUUUUGACAAAGAUUUGUUCAUGUCUUUAACCGAAAAAGUUAGAAAUUGACAUGUACACACCUGGCAUGACGAAGAGCCGUGAAUAUGUACACAACACGAUAGGUUUUUUUUUUCAUAUAUAUACUAUAAUCUUCUAUUAGUAUUCUCGAAAAAACAUAAUCUUCUUGUAGCUUUCUACAUAAUGAUAUCGUUCCGCAGCAAAAUGAAUUACCUAGAAAAAUAGGUCUCGCCAGCGUCUCAGAACAAAGGUUGCACCAUUUUUUAAAAAAUAAAAUGUAGGAAAAGUUGGUACACUUUCCGUGUGUUUUAUUUUUUUUUUCUUUUUAAUGUAAACAAGGGGGAAAAUAUAUAUCAUGUUUAUAUCCUAUUUUAAUGUAAACAAGGAAAAAUUAUAUAUUUACAUGUGCAUCUUGGUUUGCAGAAUCUCAAGAUCAUGUUUAUAGCUAUAGGAACAUAUUAUUUAUAUGUCAGAUGUCGACCAAAUGACGGACAUGGUUGAGACGCAAAACACCUGGAGAUUCUAAAAACAGUUGCGUAUCAGCUAGCGUCGUUGCAGUACAGCCGUUGUUGAUCUUAAUUCAACGAGAUAAACGGUCAGGUCCGGGCGUUCCCAACCAACUCACAAAUUUUCAAACCCCUUUAUAUCAUCAUUAAUUACUCAUUAGCAGGUCAAGACAAUCAUGAAUCGCCAUGACAAAUCACCCCACACCGAGAUGAUAAGUAGGUUAGAGGAGGAAGACAACUUGUUCUUCAUGGUCAUGGCCGAUCGUCAUCAGUCAUCACCGUCACCUGCGUACACAAAAUCCGCUGAGAUGCCACGUCAGACUGCUGACAUGGUCAAGUGCAUGCAGGAAGGUGCCCUGUUCCCAGCAACAAGCAAGCUCAACUGCCCAAGCCCACAUCGUUGACUCCUCUAUCCCUUGGUGGGGCCCAGUAGUGCCGCCGGCCGCCCCUGCCGCUGCUGCUUGCUAUAUAAACGGCCUCCGCUUCCCGCCCUCUUCACCGGCUCACUUCCAAACAGAAUCGCUUUGCUCUGCUCUAGUAACCAGGACACGCACCGGCCGCGGAAACAGGCGCCGUGUUUCCUUGGUGUCCCUCUCGACACAGGCACAGGCAGGGGAAGGGAAGGCCGGCGAUGGAGAUGGAGGCGGAGCUGGCGUCGGGACGGUGGUGGACGUGGAACGCCGCGGCGGGGGCGUGUCUGCUGCUGCUCCUCAUGCACGUGGCGGCGCGGGUGGCGGACGCGCUCUGGUGGCGCCCGCGCCGGCUGGAGGCGCACUUCGCGCGGCAGGGCGUGCGCGGGCCGCCGUACCGCUUCCUCCUGGGCUGCGUCACGGAGAUGGUCGCGCUCAUGGCGGAGGCCGCCGCGAAGCCCAUGUCGCCGCCGGACUCGCACGACGCGCUCCCGCGGGUGCUCGCGUUCUACCACUACUGGAGGAAGAUCUACGGUACGCAUACGCAAACGCAUGCGCUACGUUCUUGUCGAGAUCGUCGUCGUUGGUUCUUCGCUUGUUGUCCGGCUCUGGAGCUGAGUGACAUAUAUUAAUGGCGGCUCCGGCGGCUCGUGGUGGCGCAUGCAGGACCCAUGUUCUUGAUAUGGUUCGGGCCGACGCCGCGGCUCACGGUGGCGGACCCGGAGCUGGUCCGCGAGGUCCUCCUGACACACGCCGACGCGUUCGACCGCUACGAGGCGCACCCCGUCGUCCGGAAGCUGGAGGGACAUGGCCUCAUCAGCCUCCACGACGACAAGUGGGCGCUCCACCGCCGCGUCCUCACCCCGGCCUUCUACCCCGACAACCUCAACGUACGCGCACACCGCUCUGUUUCUCUCUCUCUCUCUCUCUCGGUUGCUUUAAUCUGAUGAUCGCUGUCGGCAAUCAAUUCAAUGGUGGCGCGACACUGACACGUGCCCUGUCCCUUCCCGCGCGCAGCGGCUGGCACCGCACGUCGCCAGGUCGGUGGCGGCGCUGGCGGAGCGGUGGCGGGCCAUGGCCUCCGCCGCCCCCGGAGGCGAGGUGGAGCUGGACGUGGCGGAGUGGUACCAGGCCGUCGCCGAGGAGACCAUCGCGCGCGCCACGUUCGGCCGCAGCUACGACUCCGGCCGCGUCGUGUUCCGCAUGCAGGCGCGCCUCAUGGUCUUCGCGUCCGAGGCCUUCCGCAAGGUCUUCGUCCCCGGGUACAGGUUCUUGCCGACCAAGAAGAACCGGAUGCAGUGGAGCCUGGACAGGGAGAUCAGGCGGGGACUCGUGGCACUCAUCGGCAACCGCAGCAUGGAGGCCGCGCGUCAAGACGAAGACGAGGACGACGCCGAACUCAACGACAAGGGAAGCAACGGCGGCUUCCGGGACCUGGUAGGGUUCAUGAUCAAUGCCAACGACAAGAAGACGAAGAAGUCGGCGCCGGCGAUCCCCGUGGAGGACAUGCUGGAGGAGUGCAAGACGUUCUUCUUCGCCGGCAAGCAGACGACCACCAACCUGCUGACCUGGGCCACCGUGCUCCUCGCCAUGCACCCGGACUGGCAGGAGCGUGCUCGCCAGGAGGUCCUCGCCGUGUGCGGCGGCGCCGACGAGCUCCCGUCCAAGGAGCACCUCCCCAAGCUCAAAACGGUACGCCAGCUCCAGCUCCCCGUUGCACGUUUCUUUACAUUUGCAGUCCCUUUCCCAGUGGGGGCAUUUCGGUAACUCCGCAACGACAAAAAGUCUCACUUUGUUUGUUCCUCCCUCUCCCCUCGUUGUCUCUCUCUCUGACACACACAGCUGGGGAUGAUCCUGAACGAGACGCUCCGCCUGUACCCGCCGGCGGUGGCCACGAUCCGGCGCGCGAUGCGCGACGUGACGCUCGGCGGCGUGUCCAUUCCCCAGGACACCGAGCUGCUGAUCCCGAUCAUGGCGAUGCACCACGACGCCGCGCUCUGGGGCCCCGACGCCGCGCAGUUCAACCCGGCCCGGUUCGCCGCCGGCGGCGCGGCCAAGGCGGCGUCGCACCCGCUGGCGUUCAUCCCGUUCGGGCUCGGCCCGCGGAUGUGCAUCGGGCAGAACCUGGCGCUCCUGGAGGCGAAGCUCACGCUGGCGGUGGUGCUCCAGCGGUUCCACCUCGCGCGGUCGCCCAGCUACGUGCACGCGCCCACCGUUCUCAUGCUGCUCUACCCGCAGUACGGCGCGCCGGUGAUCUUCCGGCCGGUGACGACGACGGAGACGACGGGACCACCACCGUCCUGAUGUGAACCAUGUCCAUACGACGUACUACUAAGCUACCACUAGUGAAUAGUAGUGUGAUAGUAGGGAACAGAAGAGCCAAGGAAACCACUAACAAAAAAAAAGAAGCUUGUCCUGUCGUGGCAUGGCAUGGCCGGUGGCGGGACGCCCGGACCCGGACCCGGACCGGACCUCCCUGCUUUCUGGGCCGCCGGCCGGUUGGUUAGUUGCCGGAAAUGCCCCCCGUUGGUAGAGUAGAACAAGACCGGAACCGGAGCAGAGAGAGUCUUGGACUUGACGAUGGCGUGGAAGAAGACCAACAAACCAACCCCACAUCUGCUGUCGGGUCGGUUCCAUUUGUUGGCUUCUCCUUCCGUGGAUUCUUUCUCGCGUGUGUGUGACUGUGUGCAGCCGGAUCGGAGCUACCGUCGUCCAGCUAUGCAUAUGUAUGUGUACAGGCUUGUAUUUGUUUGUUUAUUUAUAUAUAUAUAUACCUACACAAAAUUAAAGUUUUGUAAGAUGGGAUUGAUUGGAAGGAGAGAGUCCAAAAAAACAGCGCAAAAGGAAAUGGGGACGGGAUCGAUCGAUAUUUGUUCGCGUUGCGUUGCACGCGGUAUUCCAUUCCGCGCAGGCGGCGCAGUGUUGUGAUCCGCUACUUUUUUUUGUUUUUGCGUGUGGUGUGGGCGGUGCGUGUCGGGUGCCCGCGACAACGCAAUUCGAUGGAGAAUCCGCUGGGUGCUACAGGACCGCGCCGGCCCUUUGCGCUGUCUCGCUCUCAGCUGCCAGGUACAUUAGAUAGAUGCUAACUGAAAUCUCCUGUAGCUGGUGUAUCCGUACUACUAGUAGUAUAGUACACACACCAUCGCGUGGCGUCGGGUGCCUCGUCGCCAGCAUGCAUCAUCUCUGACGCUGAUAAGCACUCCCAGCAAAGGCCCCUCUCCUCCAGCGAGCUCUCAACGCCUCUACCAUGCAUAGCUGAAUCUAUCACUGUCGAGAGUGUCGACCGCCAGCAUGCGCAUUCUCUGAUAUACCAUCGUUUUCACACAUCUAGUAGCUCGCUUAAGGCCGUUUUCGUGAAGUGAUUCAUAACAUUAUUUUUAAAAAGCUAGAUUAAAAAAAUAUUAUUCUUUCUUAUAUAUAUAUAUAUAUAUAUAUAUAUAUAUAUAUAUAUAUAUAUAUAUAUAUAUAUAUAUAUAUAUAUAUAUAUAUAUAUAUAUAUAUAUAUAUAUAUAUAUAUAUAUAUAUAUAAUUUCAUGACUUAUCUAGAUCUGAAAACCGAAUCAAUUUCUACUUUGCUGCCUUACCAAUCUUUCUAUGUUAGUCCGGGAGCAAACUCCUGACAGCAACAUGAUGUUGCCUUGUAGCCUCUAAAACAUGCGAGCCGUUUUGGCCUAAAAUAAAUAGUUUUCUAGGUGGGGAUCGCCUCCCCCGUUGACCCUAAAAAAAACCGAAUCAAGAGUGUUUUAUCUUGCUUCUUUUCUCUCUUCGUAAAAACUUGUCAUUUCAUAAAAAAAUACUUAUGUCACAACCUAUUAUAUAUAGAUAGAACUUUCAUUGCGACUGGUCUAAUUACCUCUCGCUAGCCACCAUUAUCUCCUAGCAAUGUUGCCACCACAGUGCAGGUGCUUCUUUUGCCCGGUAGACUUUUGUUACAUAUCCUUCCACACCACCCUAAAAUUUAAUCUCACAGAGACAUUGCCUAACGCGAGGAAGAAGAGAGGGCCAACAAGAAACAUAAACCACACCAAAGGAUUGAAAAACACAACAUAUAUGGAACAAAACUAGUCAUUCGUCCCCAGCACAAAACCCUGAGU